rnacentral:lncRNA from 1 species
CCUCUUAGCUAUCGCCCUUCUCCUAUGGAGGCUACAAGCUCAUUCUUCCAGGAGGCUUCAGCCUUGCUAGAAGAAGAAGCUGUACUAGAAAGGUUCCUCUUUACAACAAAAGCUGGUUCUUUAGGAACGGGCACUGUUGCAGCAUCACUGCUGAGCAGAAGAACUGCAAUGGCCAUGGUGGGACGGUCACUUGGGUCUUCUUGCACACACAACAGCCCAACAUUUACACACCUCGAAAAUUCGUUUGUGUUGCAUGUUUCACUUAGUGUCUGGUCCAUCAACUCCAAAACCUUGUCUUCUUUCCAUAGCUUCCAUGCCUAGAACAGUUCAAAAAGUUGUAGGUCAGAUGAACAGAGAAUGACUAAAAGAUCAGUACAAAUGAAAGAUUCAAAGCUCUUACAUGACCUAGAAGACUCAGAGUUCGGUCAGACUGAUAAAAUCCAGUGUUCCUCUUCCCACUGAUGAUCUCAAGUACCAUAACACCAAAGCAAAAGACAUCAGACUUCUCUGAGAAAUAUCCAUCCAAUGCAUACUCCGGAGACAUAGCCACUGCAUUGAACCAGUUAAAAGCAGCACUCAGCUAAUUGGGAAACGCAAUCAUACAACCGCUUGCCUUUUUCGAUACAAAAUAUACAAUACUUACUAAGUUCCAACUACUCUGUUCGUGUUUGCCUCUACUUGCUUACUGUCAAAAAUCUUUGCCAAGCCAAAGUCUGAAAUUUUGGGAUUCAUCUCAUCAUCAAGUAGAAUGUUGCUUGUUUUUAAGUCCCUAUGAAUAAUCUUCAAUCUUGAAUCUUGGUGAAGAUACAGCAGCCCUCGAGCAAUUCCCAUAAUGAUGUCAAACCGCUUCUCCCAGUUCAGUAACAUGCAUAGGGUUCAAUCUUGCAAGGUUCCCAUUGGAAAGCAUUACUUCAGAUAUGUAUACAAGAAUGUAUAUGUUACAUGAAAAAGAAAAGGGCUUUAAGGCAGGUUUAGAGACAAACCAAAUAUGAAGGAAUCUAAGCUUUUGUUGGCCAUAUAUUCAUAGAGUAAAAUCUUCUCAUCACCUUCAACACAAUAGCCCAAAAGUCUAACCAGAUUCCGAUGCUGAAGUUUGGCAAUUAACACAACCUCAUUCUUAAAUUCCUGUAAGCCUUGUCCUGAAGCUCUAGAGAGUCUCUUAACCGCAAUUUCUCGCCCCUCUAGAAACUUGCCCUGGAAGCCACAGUGCAUAUGCAUUGGGCAUAUGUUAGAACUUGGUGACUUGAAUUCUGUUUGGUUCAACUCCAGAAGCUCGAGAUGCGACAUAGGUAGUAAAACUAAAAUUAUGAAAUUUUUUUGGGUCUAUGGUAGUAACAGAGGGAUCGGACCUAUUACUCUUUCAUGUAUAUAUAUGCAUGCAAUGAUGUAUAGUUUUCAGGGUUAUGAUCAUUAUAUUUUUGCUAUAGUCGUUAGUAUCUCUUUCCUCUUGUACUAAUUUUUGAUAUAGUAAAAUUUCUUCUCCUCAUGGUCUUUCCUAUUUAGGGUUUUCCACACAAAUCUAUGUGUUUUUAUCCUGUUUUAUUUCUUAUUGCAUAUUCUCAUUAUUUUGUAACAUCAUAUAUGAUGAGAAAUCAGUUGAAAAUGAGAGGAAUAUGGAAGUUAAGAACAAUUACCUUGUAAACUGGCUCAAAACCCCCUUGUCCAAGCUUAUUUGCAUCUGAAAAGUUUUCUGUAGCAGCCAGUAUGUCUUCUAAGUCGAAAAACGGUACAUCAAUGCCUUUCUUAUCCUCUUCUUUGAAUUGCUCUGAGUCUAUUAAGUGUUUCACACGACUCUCACUAUCAUAUAAGUGAAGCACUUGAUUUGCUCUGUUCUCUGAACUAAAAAAAAAAACAGAAAAUAUUGUAUAGAAGACCCUGAAAUAUUCUCAAUUCAGCCAAGCACAAGUCGAAAAGAAAAGACCAGAAGUUAUAUGCUAGUGCAUAUGGCACAAAGAUUACCUUUCCUUUUGGUGAUGGUUCUUUUGCGCAAAUAAGCAAUAUAACCAAUGAUGCCUAAAACUGCAACUAGAACGACAGCAAUUGUUAUGCCUACCACAACCACUGGAAAUGACGACGAUGACUUCUGAUCAGCAGGCUUUGUAGGCUCUGCAGGAUUGACACCUGACACAAAGAAGGAACUGAAUUGAACUUCUCUCACCUACCCAGAAGGCAAAUUUAGUAAGAUACUGGGAGUGUGGCAGUGUCACUGCUGAGCAUUACAACUGCAACUGCCAUGGUGGGACGGUCACUUGGGUCUUCUUGCACACACAACAACCCAGCAUUCACACACCUCAAAAAUUCUUUUGUGUUGCAUGUUUCGCUUAGUGUCUGGUCCAUCAGCUCCAACACCUUGUCUUCUUUCAAUAGCUUCCAUGCCUGGGACAGUUUGAGAAUAGAAAGUUAAGUAUGGUAUGGUAUAUUGUUGAGAACGACUAAAAGAUCAAUGCAAAUGAGAGAUUCAAAGACCUCACUUGACCCAGAAGGCUCAGUGUUUGGUCAGACUGAUAAAAUCCAGUGUUCCUCUUCCCAUUGAUGAUCUCAAGCACCAUAACACCAAAGCUAAAGACAUCAGACUUCUCUGAGAAAAACCCAUCCAAUGCAUACUCUGGAGACAUAUAGCCAUUGCAUUGAACCAGUUAAAAGCACUACUCUGUUAAUUGGGGAUGCGAUCAUGCAACUACUUGCUUUUUUCUAUACACAAUAUGCAAUACUUACUAAGUUCCAAAAAUAAUUUAUGGUGUCAGUAUUUAUGGUGUCACUUUUAAAAUAAUGACACCAUAUGACUUAAAAUCCAUAAAGGUGACACCUCAUAUAAAAAUUUUCAAUAAAGAUAAAUGAUAUUAAUUUUAAGUUUAUAGUGUCAGUUUUUGAAAAGUAACACUAUAUAAAAUAAAAAUUUUAAAAUACUAUAACUUAAUGAGCCCGAGAAUAAUAAUAGUAUAUAAAAAACUCAUUAUUUCCACAUACCCACAAUCCAAAAAAUCUCAUUAUAUAACCCUAACCAUAAUUUUCUUCUACCUCUUCUCACACCCAUAGUUAACACACAACUGCUCUUCUUUACUUCAUGGAUUCUCAAGUAAUCCAAAAUCUCUUAGAUCUAUCAUUUUCAUUUUUUUUCAUUAAUGUCAAAAUCUUUAUUAGCACAAUUGAUUUAUAUUCAUUGAUUUGGUAUAUCUGUGAUGUGGAUUAUGUAAAUAGUGUUUUUUUAUUAAGUUGUAAGAAAGUAAAAAUUAAGUUUAACAUUCCACCAUAUCUUCUAUUUCAUUGUUAAACCUAUAAACCUCAAAAUGAAUGAAAAUAAGAUAAAUGAAUGAUUUUUUUUAAUUUAUUUCAUACUCAAGAAUGAGGGAUAAACAUUUUACAGUAUGAAAUUUUCUUUUGAUCUUACAAGAAAUUUCCUUUGAUGCGACUUUCUGUUUGUUUUCUAGGAAUAUUAUAGUAUAUUGUGAUGACGAUAUGUGUUGGUGAUAUUUGAAAAAUAAUUUUUAGAAAGUUAUCUUAAUAUUGUUAUCUCCCACAAAAGGAAAAAUGAAAUAGUUUCCAUAUCAUGUUGGAGUUGGUUUGGAAUGUUGGAAUUAACAAUGAAAAAUUAAUUUUUUUUAUUAAUGUAAAAGAAUUGUUUUUUAAAAUUUAAAUAGGAAUGAAAAUUUUUAUAAUUAUAAGAAUGAUCAAAUCUUAUAUUUUAAUUUUUUUAUUCUUUUACAUGGUAUUAUGGUUAAUAUCUUAUCUUGUUCUAUUCAUAUUGUUUCUAUUCUUAAAAUGUGUUUUUUGUUUUUUUGUCUUUACCUUUUUUUAUAUGCGUCGACCAAAAUUUAUAAUUUCCGUUUUAAGGUUAGAAAAUUUCUAUAAAAUCCUUUUACUACAUAAAUUUUUUCAAUUACUUCCAUAAAACUCUUUUUUUUUUUUUUUUUUUGAAAGAAGAAGAAGAAGAUGUUUUAUCUUUUGAUUUUCUAUGAAAUUUCCUUUAAUUGGACUGUUUGUUUAUUUUCUAAGAAUAUUAUAGUAUGUUGUGAUGAAGAUAUUGGUUGGUCAUAUUUGGAAAAUAAUUUUUGAGAAAAUUAUUCUCAAUAUUGUCAUCUCUCGCAAAAGGAUUAUUUUUGCUUUCUUUUCUUAUUGUUUUUAUAUGCAUUGACCAAACUUUGGAGCAAUUUGAAAUUGAUGAUGAAAUUUUCCUUUCAAGGUUAGGAAAUUUCUAUAAAAUCCUUUUAUUACAAAUUUUUUUCCAAUUCUUUCCAUAAAACUCUUCAUUUUCUUCAUUUUUCUUUUUUCUGAAAAAGAUGUUUGAUAAUUUAUUGAUCUAAAGAAUAUUAAAAGUAAAAAAAAUUAAAAUAUUGAAUAUAUUUUCCUUUGAUGUUUUUAAUUUUUUAUUAUUUGAACACAAUUUCAUAUCCAAAUUUUUUAUUAAUUAUUUUAAUUAGAAAAAAGAAAUAUCAAUUGGAGUUUUGACUGAAAAAUCAAUAAUUUUUAUGAAAAGCUCUUUAAUUCUUUCUCAUACUAUUUUUUCUCUUAAUAUUUUUUAAUAAUGAAUUAGGUUUUUUGUCUUAUAUACACAAUUUUCAUGCUUGUUAUAAUAUCAUGUCCUAUCAUAUUAGUAGUUGAAAACAUUUUGAUAUUUUGUUACUAAAAUUUUAUUUUAUGUAAUUGAGAUGAAAUUUAAUGGACAUUGUUAUUUCAUAAAAUGAACAUUAAAAAAAUAUUGAAAUUAAGAAAAUCCUUCCAAGAAAUAUAUAUAUAUAUAUAUAUAUAUAUAUAAUGUUAAAAAUGAUUUUUAAAAACAUAAUGAAUUAUAAAAAAUAAAUUUAAAAAGUGCAUAUUUUAAGUGGAAGAUUAGUAUUUUCUAAAUUUUAGAUUUAUAUUUUGAUUUGGUAGUUUUGAUUUAUUUUUUAUUUUCUUGAAUUGUUUUUAUUUGAAUUCAAAUGUGACUACUUUGUUAUGAGAUUCAUUAAAGAGAUAAUUGUUGAUUCUAUAGUUAUUGCAUUAAAGGUUUUACUCAUUUAAUGAAUUGCACAUAGUUUCAUACUUCCAAUUAUUGUGAUAUUAAUGUUAUUAUCAUUUGAUUAUAGUUUGAUGAUAAAAAAAAAAACAUAUUCUUAAGUAGAAUGUGAUGAAAUUAGAGGAGAAUUGACUACUUUUAUAUUAUAACUAAUCAAGAAUCAUGUUGAUGUAUCGUGAUCAUGCAUGGUGAGUCCCUUAGUUGUUAUAUGAAUUUUCCAUUGGUAUUGUAUAACAUUACUUAUUCUUUACAAAUUAUUUUUAUAUCAAAAUGGAAAAAAGAAAAAAGAAAACAUUAGUAGUUAGAUUUGUUUAUUUUUUAUAACAUUAAUUAAUUUUUAUUUUUAAUAAAAACUCUAAAACUCAUUAAACUAUGAAAUGCAAGUAUACACUCUUGGAAGGACAGUAUGAAGAAUAAAAAGAAAGGAGAAAGAGACAACAAGAUUUUGGGUUUUUAGAUGUAACUUUUAUGCCAUAUAUUAUAGGACAUAAACGUUACUUUAUUUGGUAUUGAGAAUUUUGGGUUUUUGGAUGCAACACUUGUGUCAUUUUAUGGUUAGCCAGUUUUAUGCAUAUGAAUUGUAGGUAUACAUGAAUGUUGGGAUGCUUAACAUUUCUAUGUCAUGUUUUAAUGUGCAUUCACUUUUCCUUUUUAGUUUUGGUGGGUUUGAUGUACUAUCAUUUUGUGAACAUUUGAUAUACAAAUAUUAUUGGAUGAUUUAAUGUAUUACAAGUUGAUCUUAUUUAUUAAUAAGCAUUACAAAAAUCUAUAGGCUAAUCAAUAAAAAACAACCAUAUAUUCCAUAAUCAUUUACAAUGAUGUGACACCAUAACUCAAAGGUGAUGCAUUUAACGUGGCACCAUAACUCAAAGGUGAUGCAUUUAAUAUGACACCUUAUAUAUCUCACACAACUCUAUAUCAAAUUAAGCAUUACUAAAAAUAUAUGGUGCUGCUUCUGAAUGUGUCACCAUUUAUCUACAUUGGUGUCGCUUCCAAAUACAUCACCAAUUGGUACCCUCUAUGGUGUCAGUGGAUAAGGUGACGCUAUGUUGUAGUGACACCUUAUGUUUAUAGUGACUCAUUAUAAAUGCCACCAUAUAUCUUUUUCCUUGUAGUGUAUUCACCCCCUCCCCCUCUAGGUGUAGUCCAUUAUUGAGAUUCACCUUUUCAUCAUCCAUCCACAUGCUAGGAAGAAAAGUAUCAGUAAGAUUAUGGAAGCUCUCCCAAAGAAUCUCCCCUGAUCUGUUGUCACUUAAAACAAGGUUCCCGGAGUCCAUGAGCUUCAUCACCAUGCCUGUAGAUAAAGAUGUCUCAGUAUUAGAAGACCAAUGAACUUUCCCAUUUUCAUCCAAUAAUUUGAGCUUACCAUCGUCUUUAAUGGCAAAAACUCCAGAGAGGGGAUCAGAAAGGGGAAGGGGGCUGUCUCGGUUGGCCACCCAUACAACUCUUUGUGGUUUCAACAAGUAAUACCAUAUGCCAAUGUAUUUGCCAUUGUUGAACCUUCCAUCCGAAUUAAAGAAGCCAAGUUCAAAAGUUUUGCCUACAGAAACAAGAGUUCCUCCAUCAUUUCUAAGCCAAUCCUCUAGUGUGAUGGUAUCUCUAGCAGAGCAAUAUAGGACAGAACAUAAGAAAAAGAUGGUUGAUAGCAUGUGAGUUGUAGAGACAGGAACCAUGAAUUUUCUUCUUAUCAUUUUGCCCUCUAUUGUUGUUAGUCAAAGAACCAUGAAGAGUUGCAGAGACAUGAACCACAAAUUUUCUUCUUAUCAUUUUGCCCUCCAUUGUUGUCAGUCAAAGAACCAUGAAGGGUUUGCUACUGUUGUAUUGCACUCUCAUUUUUAAUGGAGACUUUUCCUUUUGACUCUUGAGUGGAGAAAAUUCAUAUCAGUAUUCUUAUCUUGAUUUCCCUUUUUGAUGCAUAGCUUUCAUCUCUGGACUUUUGUGGCAACUUGAGUCUUUAAGAUGGCAACUUUAAUAUGCUUCCUGGUGUCUUCCAAGUAUUGACGUUUUGUAUGCAUCACCCUCCUCCUUCUACACCAAUUUGUUUCUUUGUAUGUAUAGUUUUAUCUCUUCUAAGCAAUAAAGCAUAUGGCAUCAACCAAUAAAUUUUUCUGUACUUUCUCCAAUUUGGAGGAGCUUCGUAAUGGGACAAACAAGAAAAAUUAGAAGUUUAUUUGGCAAUGCUUGUAGAAACAGUUUUUCAUAACAAUGCUAAGAAACAGUUCUCAAAUGUUUCGACUAACUCAAAUAUAAGAACUAGUUUUCUUUGUUUAUUCUCGUACGUACAAAGCGAAAGUUUAAAAAAUAUUCUUUAUUUUAUGAAUUUUUAUCCAAAGAACUCCAUAAAAAUGAAAAAAAUUACAAACACCUCAAAAUGAUUCUAAAAUAUAAUUCAUCUGCAUAACAAAUUUGGCAAAAAAAAAAUCAUUUUUCAUCAAAUGUCUAUCAAACGUGUUUUCUAAUUUACAAAACAAUUUUCUGUUUAAAUAAAAAAAAUCUAAAAUAACUACUAAACAUACCCUGAUUUUUGUUUUAAGCUUUUUUCCUUCUCAUGUCUUCUAAUUUCCAUGCAAUGAAUUAUCCACUUCAAACAUUUUUGUGCCAAAGGUAAAGCAAAGGAGAGAAUUACUAAAACAAACCCAGGAAAAUUAAGAAUCAAAGGACAAAAGGGGUUCAAGGAAGUGAUAAAUUUUCUCAAUGAAUUAACUUCACUAAUUGCUCAAAGGCAAGUUGUCAAUUGUUACAGAAUAGUGAAUAUAGGAAAUAAGAAAAACAAAAUAUGAACAUAUAGAUUUGUGUGAAAAAUCCUAAACGAGAAAAACCACGGACGGAUGAGAAGAAGAUCCACUAUAUCAAAAAUUGGUAUAAGAGGAGAGAGUUACGAGCGUCUAUAGCAUAACCCUAAAAAUACAUCAUCACAUAUACACACACAUAUGUAUAUAUAUAUAAAGCAGGUUCAUACUUUUGAAUUCAUUUAAUCUUUAUAUAAUGAAGGAAAGUAAAAUAAAUUAGAAAAAACAUAUGAAAUAAUUUAUUAACUUCGAAUUUAUUUUUUUAUUUUCUUUUGUUUUUUCCUUUCUUCUAUUUUUCCUCUUUAUUUUUUUUUUUCCAUAUUUUGCCUUAUAUUUUUUGAGAACCAAAUAUAGUCUUAAAGUUUCUUGGAAACUUUGGACUUUAGAAAAAACUUAACCUUUUUUUCUUGGGAAUAAUUUUCUAGAUUUGAGGUACAUUAUCUUAGGGGUGUACUAAGGAUGUCAAAAUACUUUCAAAAUCUAACUCCUAUUUUUUGGAAAGUUAUGAAUUAAUAUUUCUUUUUUUUUUUUUUUUUACUCUUUCCAAAUCUAAUUUUACUAGGAACCAAAUUUGUGAAUUUUUGCACAAAAUCCUAUCCAAGAGAGGAUCUUUUAGAAAUCUCAUCCAUUCUAUAUUUGAUUGAUAGAGAAUUAAAACCACGGUUGUGCAAAAAGCAUAUGAACAAAUAAAAUUAGACCAAGAUAUAUAUCAAUGAUUCAACUUAGAAGAAUAAUGCAUUAGAUUUCUACACUUUGAGUAGUUGCCUUGAUUAAGUCCAAUUACUAGAAGCCAAGGUCAAGGUCAUCGAAGUUUGUCCAUUCUCUUUCAUAAUUUCUUUUUUCCUCACUAAAGGAUAGAAUAUCUCUUUUACAAAUCUUGUCUAUUCUUGAUUGAUUUGGUAGAGAAUUUUAAAAAGGGUUGUGCCAAAAGCAUGUCAACAAUUUAAAAUGGACCGAGAGACGAAGCUUCUCAAUGAGUGGAUGUAUAUCUUUGUCAAUCCUUCAACUUUGAAGAAUAAUGCAUUAGACUUCUAUGCUUUAAGUAGUUUCCUUGAUUGAGUCCAAUUAUUAGAAGCCAAAGUCAAGGUCAUCGAAGUUUGUACAUUCUCUCUUGUGGUCCCAUGGUAUUUGCUCUUUUUUACCUCAUUAGAGGAAAAAACAUUAACACAGCUUCAUGUGGGAACCAACCUUUCUUUUAGCAUCCAUGAUAGUUUUUCUUCCCAAUAAUUAGAAAAAGAUUCAUGAGGACCCCAUAUGAGAACUAUUAUUGGUGAUUGUAUAUAGAAAUAAAGAGAAUUCAUUUAUCCUAUAAAAAACAACCCCUUCCUAACGAUUAUAUAAUUUAUUGGUAACAAUGUGAUAGAAAAUUUUGAGACACAUAUUAUAGAUGAAUCUUGGUUAUGGAUUAUAGUUAGAGGGGGUAAAUAGUUAUUUUUUCCAACUUAGAGAUGGUUCCCAAAGAAGGCUAUCAUUCCCUUCAUUUUUCCCCCUAAAUUCCAUUUUAAUAUUUUGAGCACAAAAUCAGAAAACAUAUGCAAGAAUAGAUACACCGAUAUAUUGUCCCUACAAUGUAAACAAUGUUUAUCAUAAUGAAUCAAGAGUGUACAUACAAACACUUUGAUGUUGGAUUUGAUGGGAAAACAAAAUCAUAACAGUUCACAAGGUAUAAACAACUCAUCACCCAAAUCACAAACACAAAGGGAUACAUAAAAUACCACCCUAAAGAAAACAAUAAGGGAUAUGAAGUUAACUUUAAGAGAUACAAAGUAUAAAAAGAAAAUCAAAAUCUGCUAAAACAAUUUAUCUUUAAAAUGUGUUGAAUAUCCCUCUGAACUAGCUAGCCAAUUUGCUUCAAAUGUAGUGAUUCCAAGAGCAUAUGACAGCUAAGACAAUAAACUUUCCAUUGACAUAUGGUUGACAUAUUAAUUUAGGACCAUUUGUCCCCAGUAAAUUUUCAAAGUUGUCUCUAGUUUCAGAAUUCCCGCUCAUGCUACUAGAGUAAGAAUUUGCAACUCUUUCAACUUAUUUUCAAAGUCUAUGUGUUGGGACACUCCCAUGUCACACUCUCCCAAUAUUAAUUUAAAUAUAGAUUCAUAUUAAUUAGUCUAUGAAUGAUUUGCUUAUCCUCUUGCAAAAUAGUUAAUUUGAUUAAUGAUGAUCUUAAAAGCUUUUAAGUUAUAAACAUAUCUUUGGAUGAUUAAUGAACAUGAUUAUGUGUUCUUUACAAUUUUGAUUUGCUCAUAUAAGCUAAUAACAUGUCUUUUAAGUGACUUGAAAAGCUUGAAGAAGGGCCUUGUGAUUCCAUAAAAGCUUAGUAAUGAUCCUCAAAGUUCAAAUGCAAGCUUAUGUCUAUUUAAUAUGUCUUAAAGAAUUAGUACCACAUAAAAUGAAGUGAUGUCUAGUGUCUAUGUGUUUUGUCCUAGAGUGAAGAACAAGGGAAUUGAAGUUGCUACUUGCACUACUAUUAUCAUCCAGUACAAUCAUGAUUCCUUGAUCUAUUUCAUAAUCACUUUACAAUUGCUUGAUUCAAAGAAGUUAGGCACAAGAACUACCAAUUACAUAUUCCGCUUCAUCUAUGGAUAGUCAAACAUCAUUUUGUUUCUUACUCAUCUAAAUCAAGAUGUGAAAUAGAAAAAUGUAUACUUCAAUUGCAAAUAAAGUGGACAAUGUUCCCUUGCUUUUUAAUUAUGAGAGCUAGCCUCACAUGAGCAUUUGGUUUAGAACUAGGUAAUCAUUGAGUCAUCUCCACUAUCUAAUUAAGCCCUUGAAGUCCAAAUACAAGCGAUGAGGUUUGACAAUUUUAUGCUAUGCAAUUAAUGAUAAUGUAGAGAGGACCAAAAAAACAGAGGAGCUUCCUAUUGACACUCAUUAGGAAAAAAAAUUACAUUGAAGCAUAAGAAUAAAUACUCCAUAAAAUUCAAUUUUAAUGAAAUUAUAUAAUACAAAUGAAAAUGAUGUUGUUAAAGAGCAUGGUAUAUAUUGUGAACUCAAAUUCUACAAGUUAACCUUUUAGAAAAAUUGGUAAUUGAGUAGAGCUUGGUUUGACGGGAGGUCAUGUGUUCAAGAGUCGCUUCUCCCCAAUUUGCAUAUUUAUUUCCUCCUAGGCUACCAAUGAUCUCAUUCUUGGAGCAUGUGUUUCUGGUUUGGUAGAAGAAGCAGCAGCCCUACUAUAUAACAGUGGAAGAAGCAUUAGAAUCUUUGUCUCUUCUUCAAGGUCUUUAGAUUUUUUCAAUUUGUUUUCUUUUCAAUUCUCAUGCAUACAUCUAAUUUUCCACUUCCAUAAUAUUUUAACCUCUGGAUGUGAAAUAGUAUUUGUAGAUCAAUCAAAAGUAUUCCAACGUAAUAUGUCACUAUAUAAUAAUCCAAUAUUUCAACCUCUAUAUCUGAAAUAGUAUAUGUAGAUCAAUCAAAAGCAUCCCACCAUGUAUAUUCAGCUAAUGUAAUCGCUACCACCAACAAAACUAAUUAUUGGUUUCAUUUUAAGAUGUUAUAGCUAAUAAAUCCCUACUUUCCUUACCAUCAAUUACUCAAUAGAUAUCAUGCUUCAAUUUAUUCCUAAUUCCAACGGUAAAUCACUGGUAAUAGAAGGCAUGAUAUACAUAUAUAGGGUCAUUUCUUUGAGUGACUUUACUCAAAAGGAUGGUCUUGAUUACAACUAGCAAAUUCUGUUUAUAAGAAGACCCUAUACAAAACUCACAUGGCUAUGAUCAUUACUUGAGUCACUAUCACACAGAAUUCAUACCAGUUUUGUUUACAAAUUGUUCUUAGGAAGAACAUAUUCCAACUGGGGGCUAAUACAAGUAGAGGUUCCAAGCUACAGACCAAGAAGGUAUGUACCAACAGAUACCUAGCUAGGAUUGCUUCUUCUAGUAACGGUUGGUUAUUAGCACAUAAAAAUGUGAGCAGGCAACUAAGUUGGAACCUUAUAGACACCGUUAGUCUCCCUAGCUUAUGAUAAAGAAUCUUUAAGGCCAUUAAGUCAACAGUUCACACUUACUAACUAGGUUUUUCUCUUUGUCGUGACUUUUUUUUUUCUUAUGCUUUUGGUAGAGCCUUGGUUAACACAUCUGCAAUUUGAUCCUCAAUCUUGCAAUAAAGCAGUUUAACUUCACCAUCCUUUUGUUCUUCUCUUAAGUGAUACAACUUGAUCUUGAAAUGCUUAGUCUUGCCAUGAAAAACAUAAUCAUUUGAAAUUGCAAUUGCAGCUUGGUUAUCUACAUGAAUCUGUGUUGGCUCAUUUUGCUUCAUGUGUAGAUCUGCAAGUAUUUUUCUGAUCCAAAUUGCUUGAUUUACAGUAGCAUUGGCUGCUAUAUAUUCUGCAUCUGCUAUACUUUGAGCUAUCACAUCUUGCUUCUUUAAGGACCAUGAAAAAAUUCCAAAUCCAAAGCUGAAACAAAAUCCUGUUGUACUUCUCAUGUCAUCAAUAGAACCUGCCCAAUCACUAUCAGAAUAACCAUGAAGUUUAAAAUUCUGAUAGUAAGAAUAUUUAAUGCCAUAAUUUGUUGUGCCCUUGAUAUAUCUUACAAUCCUUUUGGUAGCUUGAAAAUGCACUUCACUAGCACAAUGCAUGAAUCUUGAAAGCAAGCUUAAUGAAAACAUUAUGUCUGGUUUGGUGGCUGUAAGAUACAUCAAGCAACCAAUCAGGCUCCUGUAUUGGCUUUCAUCCACUUUUUCUGCUCCAUCAUCUUUGCUAAAUUUCUCCUUCUGAUUCAUUGGUGUGUUGGUCCUUUUGCAAUCUUCCAUGUGAAAUUUGUUAAGUAUUUCCUUUGCAUACUUCUUUUGGCUUAUGAAGACUCCAUCAUGAUCUUGCUUCACCUCCAUACCUAGAAAGUAGGACAUCAAGCCAAGGUCUGUCAUCUCAAAUACUUUGAGCAUUUCAGCUUUAAACUCUUUUACCAGUUUCUCAUUGCUACCUGUUACAAACAGAUCAUCAACAUAAACAGAAACUACAAUUAAGUUAGCAUCUGUUCCUUUUAUAUAUAAUGUAGCUUCACUUGGACUUUUAACAAAUCCAAGACUUUGAAGAUGUUCAUCAAUCCUGCUGUACCAGGCCCUAGGAGCCUGUUUAAGACCAUAUAAGGCCUUUUUCAACAAGUAAACCUUCUCCUCUUGUCCAUUGACUUGGAAUCCCUCGGGCUGCUCUACAUAAAUUUCCUCUUGAAAAUAACCAUUUAAAAAAGCAGAUUUUACAUCCAACUGGUAAGUCAUCCAUCCAUUUUGUGCUGUCAAAGCAAGCAACAUUCUGAUUGUAUCCAAGCGUGCUACUGGAGCAAAAGUUUAUGAGAAAUCCACUCCAAACACUUGACUAUACCCCUUCAUAACUAAUCUAGCUUUGUAUUUAUUUAUAGAACCAUCUGUAUUAAGUUUGGUUCUAUAAACCCAUUUGACUCCAAUGACCUUUCUGUGUUGAGGUAUGUCCACCAACUCCCAGGUGUCAUUCUUUUCAAUCAUUCUAAGCUCCUCUUUCAUUGCUUCAGUCCACUUGUCAUCCUUCUCUGCCUCUUCAAAUUCUGCAGGCUAAAAAACAACAACAUUACUUCUUUCAUAAACAUCAGAUAAGGACCUUGUACCUCUAACUAGGACAUCAUCUAUGUUUUCAUCAAAGUAUUGAGGAACCUCUGGUAGUUGCAUCUUUAUUGACUCCUCCCAAUUCCAUUGUCUAUCCUCUAUGAACUUGACAUCUCUACUUACAAGAAUUUUUCCAUUUUGUGGUUGGAAAAUUCUGUAAGCCUUGGAAGAGUUGCUAUAUCCAAUGAAAACUCCUGGUUCUGCCUUCUUAUCAAGUUUGUCUCUUUUCACCUGUGGCACAUAAGAAAAACAAAGACAACCAAAGUUCUUAGAUUCUGCAAAUCUGGUUUAUAACCAAACCAGGCUUCAAAUGGAGUUUUUUUUUUUUUGCAAAACUCUAGUUGGCAGCCUAUUCAGCAAAAAACUGCAGUGUUUGCAGCCUCUGCCCACAAUUUCUUUGGCAACUCCUUCUCAUGUAGCAUACACCUUGUCAUCUCCAUAAUACUUCGAUUUUUUCUCUCACUUACUCCAUUUUGUUGUGGAGUGUAAAGUGUUGUGAGUUGGUGCUCAAUACCGGCUUCUUCAUAGAACUUAUCAAAAAUUUCAUUUGUGUAUUCUUUCCCAUUAUCUGACCUUAUCUUCUGCAUCCUGCAACUGCUUUGAUUCUCCACCCAUGCUUUAUAUUUCCAAAAUACAUUAGGAACCCCAUAGUUGGAUUUGAGGAAAUAAAUCCAACAAAAUCUGGUAUAAUAAUCAAUAAAUGCAAUGUAGUACUUACUACCAUUUAAAGAUGGUGUUUUCUGAGGUCCUCCAACAUCUGUGUGUACCAGUUGCAGCUUGUGCAUUGCUCUCCAUGUUGUUUGAGGGAAGGGUUUUCUAGUUUGCUUUCCAUAUUGACAAGCCACACAAUCAGCUAGCUUGUCUUGCAGCAAUGGCACACCUUUCACCAAAUUAUGUUUCUGCAUAUAUAGAAGUCCAACAUGGUGGAAAUGCCCGAGCCUUCUGUGCCAUAAUUUUGCAUUGCGUUCAAUGCUUGAAAAUGCUAUUUGCUCAUCCUCCAUUAGAUUUAGAGCAAAGCUUUUUGCUCUCAUUUUCACUUUGAAUACAUCUCUACCUUUCGCGUCUUUGAUCAAGCACCAUUUGUCUUCAAAUAUGACUUUGAAACCUUUUUCAGUUAGCUAUCCAACACUAAGCAGGUUUUGAUCAAUGUCAGGCACAUAUAAAACAUUAGUAAUAUACUUCAAACCUAUUAAGCUUUCUAUAGCCACAGUUCCUUCCUUUACCCUUAACUGAAAUAAAUUCACCAUUUCCAAUUUUUACCUUGGAGAUAAUAGUUUUAUCAAGCUCCUUAAAGAGCUCUUGGUCAUUGGUCAUGUGGUUUGUGCAGCCACUAUCAAUCAACCAAGAAUUGCUAGAGUUGUUACUUGUUGUGAAGCAUGUUGCAACAAAAAGUUGCUCUUCUUGAUGUUGCUUAGUAGAAGCUGUAGGGACCCCUCCCUCCGAGAACACGUGGCACGCAUCUUACAGUGACACGUGGCACGCAUCUUACAGUGACACAUGGCACGCAUUGUCAUCCGGGUCAUCCUCAUCCGGAUCUUCCUAUAAAGCACACAUGGCGCACUUUUUAUCUGGACUGCCUCAAGGAAGGGCAAACGACGCUUACAAAGCAUAGACAUUCGGACGGCUUCCAUUAAUGCGUCCGCUCCACAAUACAUCCGGAUAACCAACAUGGACUAUCCGGAUAUGAUUGUCCGGAUCAUUGACUAAAGUAAAGCGAGUCUUACACGCUAUCACAACAACCAACCAUGGCCCACGUCCCAUCACCUGCAGAGUGAAAGGACGGGUUGAGGUGACAACAAGUCACUUCCCACGAUCGUUCUAGAUGAUCACUUCCUACGAUCUCUGAUAGCCGCAUCACCUACCACGGUUUCUGACAGCCGCCCGUAGGGUGGUGAUGACCCUGCUGCCAUCUAAAUAUCAUCAUGACAACAUGAAAUAUCUCCCCACCAUUAAUGAGAGGAACAAUACUCCUGGCACUAUAUAUAAACCUUCACACGAAGAGGAAGGUAAUCGCCUGAUACCUAGAAAAAGGCCAACUGAUUUAUAUCUCCCUCUCUAACCAUGGCUAACAAAACCAUCGGAGGGUGCGUCCGGACACCCUGUCCGGAUGCCUUUUGCAGGUAUAACGACUGAAUCAAGAACCUAUUUUGGUUGAGGUCGCGGAUCCAUCCAUUUGGCAACUACGUGGAACACUAGGAGCGCGAGGUAUCAACAUAAGCUUUUGCCUCUUCAUGUUGUCGUGACUUGCAAAUCCACUCCAUGUGUCCAAUCUAACCAUAUUUCUUGCACUUGACAUCAGGCCUCCACCAACACUUCCUUUGUGGGUGAUUUGUCUUUUUGCAGUGUAGGCAAGGUGGAUAGGUUCCAUCCUUGUUUUUGUUGUUGUUGUCAGUCUUGUUGAUCUUCUUCUUAUUGUUGUUUUUCUUGUUUUUGCCUCAUCUUGAAUUUUAUGCCUUUGCUUGAAGAGCACCCUCCAUCGAUUCUUCUUUUCUUAUCAUUCUCCUUUGCUCUUGUGCCUGCAAUGCAUUCACCAAUUCUACCAAGGAUAUGCUUGACAAAUCCUGCAUAUAUACUUGAGUGUUGCAUUUACAACACACUGAAAGAGAAGUUCACCUAUAUCAGAAACUGCCACACGCACAUAGAGAUCAUGGCCGCCAUCCAAAUACGCCUCCUGAAUGUCAUUAAGAUUUUCCUCCGAAAUCAUACUGAUGGCGGUGUCUGCACGAGUCUCGACUUCAACAUAGGCAUAAGCCUGGCAGUUGUUACAGUCUCUGUUGCAGUGAUUUUCGCAUUCUUUUUCAUUUGUAGUACUGUUGAACUGUGUGUCUGAUUUUUUCACUCUCAUCAUCUCUAGCCUCAAAAAAGUGUCAUUCUUGCUGCACAGGGGUGAAAUUCUUCUACAGUCCCCCGAAAAAUCUCCACCAUUCCACUUUGCUGGAAAAUUUGGUUGGAAUCCUGGCAAACACCUGCACAAAAUCCUAUUUCUAGUACUGCAGCUGCCAAAACUUCCACAGGGAUUAUUCCCAUCGCAUCUGUCUUUUGGUUCCUUCAAAAGCGAAUACCAAGAGCCCGUCUGAUUACGGAUCUGUAGAUACUCUAUCUGGCCGGAAAAUUUCAUCACCAACCUCCUAUAAUAAAAAGAGGUUGUUGGUUGGCUACUAUUAAUGCUGGAAUUUGAUAACAUUUUGGAUAAUUCAGAAUACAUCUUAUGGUCCCAACCGGAUGUAAUGAAAUCAUCUGAUAUCCCACUCUUCCAGUAUGUAUUAGGCCCAUUCUGGAUGAUGUACAGGUUCUGUGCUACUUGAUCUUUCCUGAAAGUGAAGUUCCCCGAACCCGGGUCACUGCUGCUUUUCCAUGAAGUCAACACCAAGUUGCCAUCCAUCUUCAUACCUGGAAGAAAAGUAUCAGUUGCGUUUCCAAAGCUUUGCCACAGACUUGUUGGUAGCUGAUCAUUCUUCAGAACCAGGUUCCCGGAAUCUAUGAGCUGCGCUAGCUACCUUUUCUGUAGAUGACGAUUUCUGGAGAGGGGUUGACCAGAAAGGUCUCCCUCUUCCAUUCGAAUUCAACACGAGGUUACCAUCUUGAAUGGACAAAACUCCAGUGGAAUCAGGCAGUGGGUCGUUUCUAUUGGCUACCCACACAACGGUUUUCGUCUCCAACCUGUAAUACCAUAUACCAACAUAUCUUUGGUGACUAGACUCCCAUUAGGGGUGAAGAACCCCAAUUCAAAUGUCUUACCAACAGACAAGAGAGUUUCUCCAUCACCAUCACUGAUCGGAUCAUUCUGCCUUAUGGUAUCUCUUGCUGCACAUGUUUGAUAACAACACAACAAUGUUGGGUACAAGAUGAAGAUGGUAGAUACCAUGUGAAUUGUUGUUGACCAUGUAAUUGCAAUUCUUCUUCUUUUGAUUACUAUUAGGUAGUUAAGACUUCCCUUCUUCACUUGGAGCUGUGGUAGAGGCUGCUGCUGAAUUAAUCCCCAGUGUUUUCUGUCAACAACCAUGUCCGGUGUUGUUCCUAAUUCACAAAAAAUGGCAUAUCUCAUUGAUUUGGUAAACCAAUUCAAACAUUGAUCUGGUCAAAUUUUGUGAACUCAUUAUUACAACAUAGUACAUAAGACUUUGUUUGGGAAGUGUUUUAAAUUUUAAAAUUUGGCAUUUCUUAAAAUCUUGACUAAACACAAAGUCAUAGUUUAAAAUUUUAUCGAAUGCCUCUAAUACUUUAAAUCAAGUGAAACGUGAAUGAAAUUAACAAAUAAGAAGAAUAAGAAAUAUAGUUUCACACUUAAGUAACAACUAAUACUAUAGAGAAAUGACCACAAGCUGGAAAGUCUUGACCAAUUUGAAAAAUCAUUUGAUGUAGUUGAAAUAAUUGAAUUUUGGAUAAAAUUCAUAACUGUCUCAACAUUAUUUUUUUUCCCUUUUUAUUUUUAUUGUUUGAAUAUUCAAGAGUUAAAACCAUUCCAAUGCUCCUUUUUGCCAUGUAUAAUUAAACUGAACCAACAAUUAGGAUAAGCACGAAAAAGAAGGAACCGAGAAGAAGAUAUCAACAAUAUUAACCGGUUUUAUUAUGGGACAACUCAUGAUGUUCAUAUUGAUCUAUUAUGCACCUUUGCAUCUAGCAUUAGCUAGACUCAUACUGUCCUAGCUCUACUAUAUCUUUUAUUUCAUUUCGAUCUUCUGAAACAAUCACAAACACUUUUCAUUAUUAUUAUUAUUAUGAAUCAAAUGGGACAUAAAUGAAAUUAACAAAUGAGAAGAGUGAAAAAGGUAAUUAACAAAAUUUCAAGCUCAUCGUUGCUAAAUAUUUUAUAAAUAAAAAUUGCCCAAGAAACGAGCCUUUAAAAGUGUACCUUUAUUUAAAAAUAAAUAAAGGUAAAUUAAAGUAUUGACUUAGUACAUAAAUAUCAACACGAUUCCAAUCCAACGCAUUUUUUUGUGGGUUUUGGUUGAAUAUAAUUCUAUUUAUAUCAAAUCCGUAUCAACUUGUGUAAUAUAUUUUACUAAUAGGUUAUUUUUAAAUCAACAUACAUAACACGAAUUUGACUCAAGUUAACCUUUAUAUUUAAUAAUCAUACCAAUUAACCUAAUUAUAAUUCUAACCGUUUAAUUAAUAUUUGAUUCAUUUUAAAUUUAUUUUUGAACAAAUAGUUAAUUAAAUUAUAACUAUAUUAACUUGUAAGAUUAAUUAUAUAAAUUUAUACAAAACUUAACUCAAUUAAAAAUUUGAUUUAAAUGAGUUAAAUAAAUUACAAAACAUGUUAUUUGUUUAAUAAUUACAUUGUAUUUAGGUUUAUGUUUUUUACUUUAUUAAUAUCAUUAUUAUGAUUGAGUCAACCUAUUUAGUAGAAUGUUUUAGUCUUGAUAUCACACAAAUUGUCAUCCCUAUCUCUAAUCUUGUCAAACAAAUAGUUUGAAGGACAUAUUUUUUUAACUAAAGAAAAUUAUUACCUUACAUAGAGUUUUAUUAAAAAAAAAAAAAAAAAAGCCAAAUAAAAAAAUGUAAUUAAAAAUAAUUAGAAAUUUAUGCAUUUUCAAAUUAUUUAAUAAAUUUAAAGAAGUGAAAUGGAUUUAAAUUGACUUAUAAAAAUAAGUUAUCAACUUCAAAUUUUUUUCCUUUCUAAUUUUUUUUAAAAUUUUUUUCCCUCACAUUUUUUUUCAUAGUUAUAGGAAACAAACAUAACCUAAUUAGGAUCCUACUAUCAUGUUUUUUUAUUCCCAAAAGUUUUUGGGUCUAACCUUUUUCUAAACUUAUUUCAAAGGGCAUCUAUAACACAAGAUAUUAAGUGUGCUUGCUCGACAUGUAGUCUUUCAUUGAUUUCCUUUUCGAUUAAAAACUUUUAGACAAGUCAGAUAUAUAGUUUUUGCUUUCUUAACAGAAACCAAAGUCUAAGUCUUUGCACAAAAUCCUAAUCAAAGAGAUCUUUUAGAAAUCUUAUUGGAAGAGAAUUUAAAACCAGAGUGGUGACAAAAGCACACGAACAAAUAAAAUUGGACAAAGAAAUUAAGCAUCUCGAUGAGUUGAUAAAUAUCUUUGUCAAUACUUCUACUUGAGAGAGAAAUACAUUAGAUUUCUACACUUUUGAAUAGUUGCCUUGAGUGACUCCAAUUAUUGGAAGCCAAGGUCAAGGUCGUUGAAGUUUGUCCAUUUUUUCCCCUUGGUCCCACAUUAUUUGCUUCUCCUUAAUUUCCUCCGGUUUGGGAAAAGGACAUUCACACGGUUUGGUGUAGGAACCACCCUUUCCUUUAGUAUCCAUGAUUACUUUUCUACCCAAUAAUGAGGAAAACAUUUAUGAAGGCCCCAUGUGAGGACUAUUAUUGGUGACUCUAGAAAUAGAGCUAUUCAAUUUCCCUCAUAAAUAGUGUAACAUCCAAAAUAAACUUUAGAGACAAAAUAGUAAAUUAUUAAUUAAUUAAACUCAUUAAAAAUAAACGAGUCAUUUUACAAUUAAAAAUCGUAUCAAUUAGAUUUUCAGUUUAUCUUCUUUAUUUAGAAAACUUUAUUAACAAAAAAUCAAAGAAUUGAAGAACGUAAGGUUAAAGAUUUGGAAGUCUAUAGUUUGAAGUUCAAUUAUUUUUUUUCAAGUAAGAUUCUAACCCUAGAUUAAUAUAUUAUAUUCAUUAGUUAGUUUUGACUGUGUUAGAUAUUUUUAGAAAAUUUUAAUUUAGAUUAUAAUUAGUUUAUUUAAUUUAUUUUAAGAUAUAAAAAAUUGAAAUUAUGAAUGUUGUUUCAUUGAUGAAAAUAGAGAAAUUCAAAAUUUUUUUAGAUGAAUAAAUCUAAACAAUGAAAUUUAAAAAAAUUAAAUGAUUAAAUAAGUAUAUGAUUAUAUGUGGCUUAAGGGAUUGAAAAAUAAUAAAAAGAAGAAUAGCAUGUUUUUGGAUUUUGGAUUUGAGGAACUUUUUAAUAAUAAAAAUAAUUAAGGUUUACUAUUAAUAAGAAUAAUGAUAAUAAUGAUAAUAAUGAUAAUAAUGAUAUUAAUAAUAAUAAGAAGAAGAAUUGUGUGAAGAAUAAUUUCAUUUUCAACGUAGAAAUGUGAUUGUCAAGGCCUCAGUGAAGAGAACGGUAACGGACCCUGCUGUAAACGACGAUGGGUCACGAGCAAACGGUGAAAUUGCGGAUGAACCCCACAACUGUAAAGUGCUUUUGACGCGUAAUGGGUUCCACCACUACCAUUAUUGGGGAAUAUUUCUGGUGGAUGAAAAGCCGCUUUUGGGUUCACGGUUGACUCAUUAAAUCUCCUACCUAUCUCUGAGUUUGUCAACUGAGACCACCGAGUUUUAUUUAUUUAUUUAUUUUUUUCUUUUCCUCGGUUCAAUUUUUGUUUCCAAUACGAGGAAAAGGGCUUUCAAGUCUGACACGUGGAAAGUCAGUGGGCAUCAUAAUUUUGUUACAUUUUUAGGGUUUGUUGGAGCUGCAAUAGGGACAAUAAUUUUUGUAUGGAUAAGCUACAAAUCAGAUAUCGAAUCUAAAACAAAUGUUUAAUGGUGCAACUAAAAGAUGUUUUUUCAAACAUUUUAUUUAUAUUUUUUAUGUGAAAUAUGUUUUUUUUUCUCCCAAAGAAUAGAAAACUAUUUUUAAAAAAAUGUUAUUAACAAAAUCUAAGUAUAAAAUCAAUUAAAAACAAUGAGAUUUUUUUCUUAAAAUUUUCUAUGAUAAGAUAACAUUAGAAUGACACUAUUAGCAAAAUAAAAAUUUAAAGCUAAAUAUACAUUCCUACAAUGUGAAUAAUUAAAUAGCACACAAUCUAAUAUAAUUAUUUAAUUUAUUUCUAAAUUAGAUAUUAUUUAAUUAAUUACCAAAAUUUAGAAAAAAAAAAAAUCAAACUCAAAAUUAAAGAGAACCUAAAUUUUUUUAAAAAAAAUUAUUUAAUAAAAUGUCAAAUACAAAAUUACCAAAAAAAAAUUAACAUUAUUAGAAAAGUUAUAAUAAAAUUAAAAUUUACAUUUAAUGCAAGAAAGAAAAAUAAAUAAAAUGUUGAAUGCAUGAAAAAAAUUAAAUUGAACUUUUAAAACUCAAAAUUAAAUUUAUGGGGUUUCUAUUUUAUUUUUUAUUAUUCGAAAACCUUAUUUAUAUCUAUGAGAUUUUUUAGGGAACUCGCCCAUCUACUGGCUUGGUCAAUGUAAUAUAAACUUCUUUUAAUCAUAUAAAUGUAUUUUAAAAUCAUGAAUAUUGAUUGUGCUCAAAGUAAAUAAUAUCGUAAAUACCUAUUCUGUUCAAAGUGGAUAAUAUCUACAUAAGAAAGAGCAAAUUAUUAUAAAUGAUAUUAAAAUCAAUCCUUGAAUAUGCGAGACUACCUAAAUGGUCUUAGAGGGAUGUUUAUGUGUUUGACCUUUGCAUGGUAUAAGUAAUGAUAUCUAUCUUAUCACCGACCAAUCAUGAAAUAUGAUAUAAUAUCCAUAUUUUAUCUUAUUUUAUACUAUAUCCGGUUAACCAAACAUGACCUAAGGUUAAUUGUUGUAACUAGUCAAGUUUUAGCCAUGACGGAUGCAUACUCAAUCAUGGUAUUAUCUCAGCCUUUUGGGCUUCCAGGACUGGUCCUUUAAAUUUGGGCUCAAACCCAACCUAAUGGAAGAGGGCCUUAACUCAGUUCAUGGGCCUGUCUAGCCUGCCGCGCUGGUUUCCAACUGGCUCGACCCAGCCUAGACUAGGGGUCGUGCCCGUCCACUAUAUUGUUAUAAUUUUUAUAGGAUCAUAGGUGAUUUAUUCUUUGAAUUUUAUAGUAAAGAGACAAAGCUUGAUAAUAAGAAUUUGGACAUUGUCUAAAAAAUUUUAAGGGUGUUUAGCAUCUAAAUUUUGAGAAUUUCUUUGGCUAUAAAAAAAUUUGAGAAAAACUACAAAGAAAAUAAAAUAAAGAAAAAAAGUAAAAAGGAAAAAAAAUGAUGAAAAAUAAUGAAUAAAUUUAAAGUUCAUGCGAUAUUUUUAUAUGUUAUUUAAAAAAAAUUAACUCUUAUAUAUAAAGGUUGAAUAAUUUGAAAAUAUAUAGAUUUCUAAUUAUAUUAAAUUUUCUUACAUAUUUUUAAUGAUAAAAUCAAAUAUGAAAUCAAACAUGAGAAUAUAAUUUUUCUUAAUAAUUUUUAUUUUUAUUUUUUUAACAUUUUUCUUUCUUUUUAUGAUACAUACUCUUAAGUCUAAUCCAAUGAGGUAGAGGUAGUUGUACAUAUAAGGUCCAACUAAUGUUGGUUGAUGUGGGACAUUGAACUUUCGUCUGUCCUAUGUAGUGAACCUACAGAACGAGCAUCCCUAUUCAAUUGUUAAUACUCAAGUCUAGGGUGGGCUAAACCAAAUCUUAUCAUGAUAUCAAAUUAUAUGAGGCCACAUACACUCUCAUGAAAAGCCUAAGCUAAUGGGGUAAAGGUAGCUCCACGUAGAAAACCUAACCAACAUUAGUAAUCAAUUGAAAUGGGACAUUAGACUUUUGUGCUUCCUACUUAACAUUGUUUGAGUUUCUAACAAGGUAAACAACCCUAUUCAAAUAUUUAAUUAUUAGUAGAUCAAGAAUUUGUUAGGUAUUGAUUUUAGGAAUCAUUUCUAAUAUUUUUAGCACUUGGAAAUUUUUAUUAAAAGAGUUAUUUUCUAGUAUUAGAAAUACUAGAAAUGAUUCCUAGAAACCCUAUUCAUUUUAUUUUUUAUUUUUUUUGCUCUUUCUCUAUAAGAGCAAUAUAAAGAGAAUACAACAAGAAGGUAGAUAUUGUUGACAAGAAAGGGAAUAAUUUGUAUAAUGGAAUCUGUAUACACAAUUGCUUUCUUUAAAUGCUUAUAACCCAUAUAUGAUCUAAAUUUGUCUAGAAAUGUCUAAGGAAAGUUGACCUUAUAGAGUAGUAAUCUGCUCCCUUUAGUUAUGCCUGUAACGUAGGGAUUAUACAACUCAUGUCCACACUCUCCCUCAAGUUGGUGCAUAGAUGUCGUUGAUGCCCAACUGCAUACCAUCUUAGUGAGGAUGUCUGCUAGUUGGUCUUCUGAUUUGAAAAAUGGGAAUCAGAUUAUAUUAACUUCUAAGUUUUUCUUGAUAAAAUGUCGGUCUACUUCCACAUGCUUAGUUCAAUCAUGUUGGACUAGGUUAUAAGCAAUAUCAAUGGCUGUCUUGUUAUCACAAAGCAAGUUCAUCUCGCAACAAGGAGAAUAGCCAAUUUCUAUCAAUAAUCUUCUCAGCCAGAGUAACUCACACAACCCCUUAGCCAUUCCUCGAAACUCCGCCUCUGCACUAAAUAGUGCUACUGAUUCGUGCCCGAUUGGUGUUCCAAUUGAUUCAACUCAAUUGAUGUGCUUUGAUCUCAAUCCUCAAACGGGAGUAAUCAACAAAAUUUAUAAACCUAUUUCACCAUAUACUGGGGUAGCAUUUAGCUAGCAUAGUAUAGUGGCUCUAGGAUCGUCCACAGAGAUGGGUUUUUACAUCGCAAUUGAUAUUAGUUCAAAAAUUGAAUUGGUACUUUUUCUUUUCUUUGUUAGCUUUAAAAGAAGACAUAAGUUUGAAUGAAAACGGAUGGUAUUAAGCUAACCUAACAUAAAGUAACUGAUUUUACUUACAAAGAAAAGUGUUUCUUGGAGUUUUAGAUCACUAGGCUCAGAUUCCUCAUACAAAAAGGGAGUUCCGGUCACUUGCUUCUUUUCCUCGCAUUAGAGAAUUAACAUAUAGUUAAUUCUCUAACCGGUGUGGUACAGAUGCUUCCCAUUAAUGGGUUCAAACACUAAAUUUCUCUCACUGAUGCACCUUGCAAUGGGCUCAUACCUCUCACCAAGCACUUUCCAUUCAAGGUGAUCUUUAACCUUGGAUUACCCGUCAAAAGCGAACAAGAGAUAACAAUUAGACCUCCAUGGAGCAAGAUUGCAAGCAAUAAGAAUCCAUGGAAUUCGAAAGCUUACCAAAUAUUGGCUAUUCUAGAAAAUCCUACCUUCAAACCACCUACCAAAAGCUCGCAAGAGAUAAACUAGUGCAUCUCUAUGGACGGAGAUCACUUGCCUUACCAAGUGUUAGCUCAGGUGAAUUGAAGGCGUUUUAAGUUAACUAAAAAGAUAAAAACCAUUAACAGGUCACACUUUCUCUUCAUUAAAAACUAAAACAACAAAACUUCCAAUUUAUGCAUGUGGAAACUUACCCGGCUUUCCUCACUCCAAGAGACGAAGAGCCUAGCCUCUCAUCCUCUGAGGAAAAAUCCUCAGAGUUUGGUUGGCUAGAAAGAAAAAGAAAAUGAAAAUGAAAGAGAAGGAAAAACAAAGCAAAGCUCUGUAUAUUCUAUAUACUUAUAUAUCUAUAUCUUUUACAAUGGAUGCAAGGGAAUAUAUAUAGAGAAGUUUUUCCAACCUUCCUAUCUAAGAAAUCUUAUGGUUGGUGGAUUACAAGGAGAAGAAUGGAAAUUUAUACAAAAAUAUCUUAAGAAAAGAUCUAAAAGAGUUGGUGCACAAAUAUCCCAGUUCGCAUGUAGAUUUCGCACGUUGCAUGGUGACUUGCGAAAAUCUCGCAAGUUGAUUUCGCAACUUGGAAUCCAUUUUCGCACGUUGAGCUCCAAGUUCGCAAGUUGCAAAAUCACUUUCGCAAGUUGGGUUUCUCUGUGACUGUGCGGCUGUAUUCCAUUUCCAUUUCGCAAGGUAGGCUUUAAUUUCGCACGUUGGAGUUCCAAAUUCGCAGAUGCGAAUUGUCCUUCAACUGGGUGUAUUUGUCUUGNNNNNNNNNNNNNNNNNNNNNNNNNNNNNNNNNNNNNNNNNNNNNNNNNNNNNNNNNNNNNNNNNNNNNNNNNNNNNNNNNNNNNNNNNNNNNNNNNNNNUAAAAACCAUUAACAGGUCACACUUUCUCUUCAUUAAAAACUAAAACAACAAAACUUCCAAUUUAUGCAUGUGGAAACUUACCCGGCUUUCCUCACUCCAAGAGACGAAGAGCCUAGCCUCUCAUCCUCUGAGGAAAAAUCCUCAGAGUUUGGUUGGCUAGAAAGAAAAAGAAAAUGAAAAUGAAAGAGAAGGAAAAACAAAGCAAAGCUCUGUAUAUUCUAUAUACUUAUAUAUCUAUAUCUUUUACAAUGGAUGCAAGGGAAUAUAUAUAGAGAAGUUUUUCCAACCUUCCUAUCUAAGAAAUCUUAUGGUUGGUGGAUUACAAGGAGAAGAAUGGAAAUUUAUACAAAAAUAUCUUAAGAAAAGAUCUAAAAGAGUUGGUGCACAAAUAUCCCAGUUCGCAUGUAGAUUUCGCACGUUGCAUGGUGACUUGCGAAAAUCUCGCAAGUUGAUUUCGCAACUUGGAAUCCAUUUUCGCACGUUGAGCUCCAAGUUCGCAAGUUGCAAAAUCACUUUCGCAAGUUGGGUUUCUCUGUGACUGUGCGGCUGUAUUCCAUUUCCAUUUCGCAAGGUAGGCUUUAAUUUCGCACGUUGGAGUUCCAAAUUCGCAAGAUGCGAAUUUGUCCUUCAACUGGGUGUAUUUGUCUUGUGAAAGCCAUAUCUUCCUCAUUUCAGCUCCAAUUCGUACACUGUUUGAAGCGUUGGAUUCUUGACUUCCUGAGCUUUGAAAUGGUAUAUAGCAUGUAGAAAAUGGACUUCGGGAAGUGCUCCAAAAGUGUGAAAGAAGACUGAAGCUGCUGUCCUCUAUUUUCUUCACUCUAUUUUUCCUCUCUCCGUUGUUCUUUCCUUGCAUACUUUGAACGAAUUUGGCAAAGGGCUAUGGAGCUCCAAAGCUUGGUUCUUCAUGAAUUUGAGCUUCCAAAAGCUUUGCCAUGAACUAUAUACAGCUCUCCCUCAUUCUUGGAUUGCUUUGGUGUAGCUAAAAGCUAUCAAAAACACCAAAACUUAACACAAUUUGCUUAGAAACGAUUGCAAGGGUCCUUAACAUGUCAAUUGAGUUAAAAGGUAAUAAUUACUACUCAAGAGUGUUUAAAAGAGUUAAUUACAAGCUACAAAAUAGCACUUUUUGAGUAGUAAUCAGCUACUACUUUAUGUUUUUUUUACUUCGACAUGUUUUCAAGUUUCUCCAACAAAUGUGAGGUAACCUGAUGUGGAUUUCCUAUCGGAGAUAUUUCUUGCCCAAUCAACGUCGAUAUACCCUAUAAUUUCCAGGUACCCAUUCUUUGAGAACAUAAUUCUCUUCCCUAGGGUUCCCUUAAGGUAUCUUAAAAUUUGAGUCACUACAUUCAUAUGAUCUUCACUAGGGCAAUGCAUGAACUGAUUCACUACACUGACCGCAUAGACAAUAUCAGGUCGGGUAUGUGAAAGAUAAAUUAGUUUUCCAACCAAUCUCUGAUAUUUGCCUUUAUCAGUGGGAAUCUGGUCAGGGUAUUCUCCAAGCCUAUGAUUCUAUUGUAUUGGAACAACUGUCAGUUUACAGUCUAGCAAUCCAACUUUUGAUAAUAGAUCGAGAGUAUACUUUCGUUGGGAAAGAAAGAUACCUCGUUUAGAUUGAGCCACCCGAAUUCCUAGAAAAUAUUUCAACCAACCCAAACUCUUUAUUUCAAACUUUGCUGCCAACUGUUUUUUAAGUUUCGCAACUUCCUCGGUAUCAUUACAUGUGAUGAUCAUAUCAUCUACAUACACUAUUAGUGUUGUUACCUUGCCUUGUCGACGCUUUAGAAAUAGAGUGUGGUCAUAAUUGCUUUGUUGAAACCCAUACUUUCUCAUUGCUAGGUUGAGGCGUCCAAACCAAGCUUGUGGAGACUAUUUCAAGCCGUACAGGGUGGGCCACAGUUUACACACUGUCUUGCCAGACGUUUCAAUGUACCCAUGGGGAUAUCCAUAUAAAUUUCUUCUUCGAGGUCACUAUGGAGGAACACAUUCUUUACAUCAAAUUGGAGUAGCGACCAAUCAAGAUUCACUACAAUAAAUAGAAGGACUCUUAUAGUGUUCAACUUGGCUACAAGUGAAAAGGUCUCCAUAUAGUCAACUCCAUAAGUCUACGUAUAUUAUUUCGCUACAAGCCUCACUUUUUAGCACUCAAUUGACCCAUCCACCUUGUAUUUGAUGGAGAAUACCCAUUUGCACCCCACUAUCUUGUGGCAUUCUAGUAAAGAGACAAGAAUCCACGUCUUGUUUUUCAACAAUGCUUCCAUUUCUUCCUUUAUUGGUUGGACCCACCUAGGGUCUUGUAGAGCCUCCUCUAUGCUUGUUUGAAUGUGAUGCGCUGAUAAUGCAUUAGAAAAGCUCUUUAAGGGUUCUGAGAGCUUCUUUGUUGAGACGUAAUUGGCAAUUGGGUACUUUGAUUUGUGUGUCUCAAUAUUUGGAGAAUAGCAUUUUGGUAGUUUGCCAUGAUUGUGCUUGGGAGGUAACUAAUAACCAUCGUCAGUUAAAUGUUUUGUGGCAAGAGGAAAACUUACCUUAGGAACCUCUUCAGGAAUAUUCUCAGAAGUUGGGUCAUGAGGUACUUUAGAAUGAGGGGGUGUCUCAGGAAUUGGAGUUGGUGUCUCAGUAGUCAGCAUUGGUGGCUCUGUAGCUAUUCCAUAUCCAUGGUAAUUGGUGGCUCUGUAAUCAGUGGGAUGUCUGGGAUGUCUUUGAACCAAUUCAACUCUUCAUCGUGUGUCUUCCCCUUAAGAGAAGAAUUGGAUGGAUGAUAGAACAUCUCAGACUCGAGGAAUGUGACAUCCAUAGUAACAUAGAGCCGCAUGUUUGUUGGAUCAUAGCACCAGUAACCUUUUUUAUUGGUGGCAUAGCCUAGAAAGAGACAACGACAAGCACAAGGAUCGAGUUUAGUGCGCUGGUUGCAGUGAAGAUGAACAUAGACAACGCAUCCAAAGGUUCGGGGAAGAAGCGUCGUAGUCGAAAGUACUGAUAUACUCGAGGCUAAGGCCUAUAGAGGUGUUUUGAAAUCCAGAAUUUGGAAUGUCAUUCGAUUAAUGAGAUGCACAAUAAUUGUAACCGCAUUAGGCCAGUAAGGACUAGGUACAUGCGCACUUAAUAGGAGGACACGUGUGGUCUCGAGAAUAUGGCGAUUCUUACGUUCUACUACACCGUUUUGCUCUGGAGUAUGAGGACACGAGGUUUGAUGUAUCAACCCAUGUUGGUGGAAGUACUUCUGGAAUUGUCGAUUGAUGUAUUCAGUGCCAUUAUCAAAGGGAAAAACUCUGAGUUUGGCAGAAAAUUGGGUUUGAGUCAUUGUGUGAAAAGAGUAGAAGACAGUAAAAACCUCAUCUUUGUUUGUCAGUAGGUAGAGCCACAUCAUUCAAGUGCAAUCAUCAACAAAGAGAACAAAUCAGCGAUAACCCGAUAGAGUAGAUUUUAGGGAUGGUCCCCACACAUCAGAAUGAAUUAAGCUAAAAGGUACAUCACUCUUAUUCUUAUGUAAAUGAUAAAUUAUCCGGUGACUUUUGGCCAAAAUACAAGUUUCACAUUGAAAAUCUGAGAUAGAGAAAUCAGAAAAUAAACUAGGUAGUAAAUGCUUCAAAUAUCCAAAUGACGGAUGGUUGAGUCGUCGAUGCCAAAGUCAGAUCUGUUCUAUUCUAGAAUCACCCGACUAUCCCACAUGAUGAGUUUGUCCCAUUUUUAACAGAGCCAUGUUAAAAAUCUCUUAUCUUUCUUUAUUUUCAUGUGUUUGGUUUGGUUAAUGCAGGAGAUCUCCAUCCAAUCUGCAUUUCGCUUAACCAUCCGACAUCAGAAAAUGGAUACAAACUAGAAGUACUUUGCCCUUCCCUACUAUGCAGCCGCUUGUCACCAAAAAUGGCAAGUCCUGGUUGAACUCCAGAAGUCUGCUCAUGGGUGAAAUUCAUCUACAUCCCCAAAAAAUCUCCACCAUACCACUUUCUUGGAAAAUUUGGUUGGAAUCCUGGCAAACACUUGCACAAAAUCCGAUUUCUACUAUUUCAACUGGCAAAACUCUCACUGGGAUUAUUCCCACUGCACCUAUCUUUUGGUUUCUGGAAAAGCGAAUACCAAGAGGCCGUCUCAUUACGGAACUGUAAAUGUUGUAUUUUGCCGAAAAAUUUCAUCACCAACCUCCUAUAAUAAAGAGAGGUUGUAUCUUGAAAGUCAUAAUCAUAUCCUCCAAGUGAGCUUUUUCUUUUAUCAUCACUGAUAAUGGUAGAUCAAAACCAAACUAGAGCACUGAUGAAAAGAUUGAAAUUGCAUUGGGUUCUUUUAAGAUUGAAGAAGAGAACAGUGGAAAAGGCAUUAUGGGUAAAAGAAUUGUCAAACUUGCAAGAUUUGUUUCUAUUUCUUUUGGUCAUUGGUCAAGUAGUCAUUACUUUUUUAUUUUUUAUUUUAUUUUUAUUUUUUAAAAUCAACUCUUGAUUCAAUGAUUUCACAAUGCAUGUAUCAAUUGGAUGAUGAUUCUUGAAUUAGAAAUUUCCUUCCACACAAUAUGAUUAUAAAUAAAUACACAAGAAAAAUGAGCAACAGUACUACCAAAGAAUCAAACAGUUUUAGGUCUACUUCGUCUUGCGGCCUUAAGGCAAAAAUAUAGAAAAUAAGAUGGGAAGUUAGUGAUUUACAAUUGGUGUAGAGAACAAUCGAAUAGAUAUUCAUGAAAUCAAUUUACACUAAAACACACCUGUGAUUAUGUCCUAAGAAAUCCAAUUCUGAUGCAACAUAUAUGAAGUUGAUAACACCAACAAACAAGACUGAACUUAUGGCUGAUUCUCCCUAACUAUCUACCUUCUUCUAAGCUGACAGUUAUCUCAUUGUUGGAGCAUGUUUUCGGAUUGGUGGAAGAGGAAGGAGCUAAGCUGGGCGGCCCUCUUCUCACAACAAAGGCUGGUUGCUAGGGUAUUGGAAGUGUGGCUAUCUCACUAUUGAGCAUGAGAAAUGCAUUGGGCAAGGUGGGGCGAUCACUUGGGUCUUCUUGUACACACAACAACCCAACAUUUACACACCUCAAGAAUUCAUUAGUGUUGCAUGUUUCACUUAGUGUCUGGUCCAUCAAAUCAUACACCUUGUCUUCUUUCCACAAUCUCCAUGCUUGGAACAAUUCUCUUGAUAUUAAAAUUAGAUUUGCUAAAGUAAAAUGAUAGGUUGGGCAAUCAUAUCAAUUUGAUAUAUAAUAUAAAGAUUUUUUUUCUAGGGGAGGUCAUCAAUUCAAACCUCAUUGUUUGUUUAUUUUCUUUAUUUACUAAGCUUACAUGCAAAUCUAAAGAAGGCCACUUGUGAGAUAAUGUUGAAUGACAUGUCCUAGGAGCUGCUGACAUGGAGCUAAGUAGAAUGAAGUGGAAGUAGUUAAAAUAAGUUAGUCAUGUGGAAGAUUUACCUAUUCCUUAGGAAGUAUUUGUUGGUUUGUUUUUAUUCUUUAGGAAGUAUCUAUAGGUAGCAUGUUUGUUGCUAUUUUUAUGUUUUUCUGUUUUAAGCUAGCUGUAUAAAUAAGUGCUUUGAAGCUUAAUAAAAUAUAACUUCAGAUUCCUCAACAUUAUGUUGCUUCUUGAGAGUUUCUACCCUUUGUUUUUAUCAAAACCUACAAAUUGGUAUCAGAGUUGUUGUUAUUGAGUAACCUGUGAGGUGAGUGAGCCUAUACACCACCAUCUACCCUAUCCAAAACAAUAUCCAUGUUGUUCUUGAGUAACCUGUGAGGUGAGUGAGCCUAUACACCACCAUCUACCCUAUCCAAAACAAUAUCCAGAAUGACCUCAGAAGCUUCACUGAAUGCAUUGGCACCUCCAGUGUUUGAUGGAAUAAAUUAUCAACUGUGGGUUGUCUGUAUGGAAGCCUACCUUGAUGCUAGUGAUCUGUGGGAAGCUGUUAGUGAGGAAUAUGAAGUUCCUCCCCUGUCCGACAAUCCAACUAUGGCUCAGAUAAAACUACACAAUGAGAGGAGGCAAAGGAAAUCAAAGGCAAAAGCUAGUCUAUUUGUAGCUGUCUCAUCUACAAUUUUCACCAGAAUCAUGGCAUUGAAGACGAAAAAUGAAAUAUGGAACUUCCUGAAGAAGGAAUAUGAAGGAAAUGAAUGAGUCAAAGGUAUGCAAGUGCUGAACCUGAUUAGAGAGUUUGAGAUGCAAAGGAUGAAAGAAUCAGAAACAAUCAAGGAUUACUUAGACAGACUUCUUAGUAUUGUUAACAAAGUAAGACUUCUUGGUACUGACUUUUCUGAUUCUAGAAUAGUUCAAAAAAAUUUUAUAACAGUUCCUGAAAAGUUUGAGACUACAAUAUCAUCUCUAGAAAACUCAAAAGAUGUGUCAAGUAUCACCUUGGCAGAGCUGUUGAAUGCAUUACAGGCUCAAGAACAAAGGAGGCUUAUGAGACAAGAAGAAUAUGUGGAGGGUGCAUUUCAGGCCAUAUCUCAGUACAAGAAAGAAAUGCAAAGCAACAAUAACAGCAGCAACAACACUCAAAAGUUUCCACCAUGUCCUUACUGUAAAAAAUCCAAUCAUCCACAAAAAAAGUGUUGGUGGAGGUUGGAUGUAAAAUGUCACAAGUGUGGUCAGCUAGGGCAUGUGGAAAGAAUAUGCAAAUCUCAACAGCAGCUAGGAGAAGUCAAGGCUGCUGUGGAAGAACUUCAAGAUGAGCAACUGUUUGUGGUAUCAUGCUUUUUCACUAGCAGCUCCCUAGAAACUUGGCUUAUAGACAGUGGUUGUACAAACCAUAUGACUUAUGAUCAAGGGCUCUUUAAGGAACUUGACAAAACUGUUACUUCCAAAGUUAGAGUUGGAAAUGGAGCAUAUCUUGCAGUAAAAGGCAAAGGCACCAUGGCAAUUGAAGGCCACACAGGUUUGAAAUUAAUCUCUAAUGUCUUAUAUGUUCCUGAGAUUAAUCAAAAUUUGCUGAGUGUUGGUCAGCUGUUGGAAAAAGGCUAUAAGGUGUUGUUUGAGGACAAUCAUUGCAUGAUUGCUAAUGGACAAGGCAGAGAGGUAUUUAUAAUCCAAAUGAAAGACAAAAGCUUUGCCUUGGAUUUGAUGCAAGAAGAGCAAGUUGAAAUUCACAAAGAAAAAACAAUACAAUGCUUUGGCAUAGGCGUUUGGGGCACUUUCAUCAUACCGCCCUGCUCUUUAUGAAGAAGAAGGAUCUUGGAAAAGGCUUGCCUGAAUUAGAGGUGAAGCCUCCUACUUGUGUAGCUUAUCAAUACGGGAAACAAACAAGACUUCCUUUCCCACAAAACAAGGCCUAGAGAGCUACUCAGAAAUUGCAGUUAGUACACACUGAUGUGGAAGGACCUCAAAUAACACCAUCACUAAAUGGCAGUAAGUUCUAUAUUGCUUUCAUUGAUGAUCACACAAGAAUGUGCUGAAUUUAUUUCAUGAAAUUUAAAUAUGAAGUUGCUAACAUCUUUUGGAAGUUUAAAGCUUGGGAUGAAAAUCAAAGUAAAUGUAAAAUGCAAGUGAUCAGGUCUGAUAAUGGAACUGAAUACACCUCGGAGAAAUUUAACAAAUUUUGUGAAGAUGCAGGCAUUGAGCACCAGCUUACAACACCUUAUACCCCUCAACAGAAUGGAGUCGUUGAGAGGAAAAAUAGAACACUUAUGGAAAUGACAAGGUGUUUGCUGCAUGACAAAUGGCUGCCAAAGAAAUUCUGGGCUGAGGCUGCACAUACAUCAAUCUUUCUGCUGAAUAGACUGCCAACAAAAGCUUUGCAACAAAAUACUCCAUUUGAAGCAUGGUAUGGCUAUAAACCAAGGCUACAAAAUUUAAAAACAUUUAGUUGUCUUUGUUUCUCUUAUAUUCCACAUGUUAAGAGAGACAAAUUGGAUAAAAAAGCUGAAGUUGGGAUCUUUAUAGGCUAUAGCUCAAUAUCAAAGGCCUAUAGAAUCUACCUUCCAGAAAAUAACAAAGUGAUAGUUAGCAAAGAUGUCAAAUUCUUUGAAUCAGAAAGUUGGAGUUGGGAGAAUGAUAAGAAGCUUGAGUUUAAAGAGAAUCUUGAGUUCCAAAAGGACCUUGAGUUUCAGGAGGAGCAUGACAAUAUUGAUGAUGAACCUAUCAGGGGAACCAAAUCACUCUCUAACAUCUAUCAGAGGUGCAAUGUUGCUAUAAUAGAGCCUGCAGGGUAUGAAGAAGCUACAACUGAUAAAAAAUGGAUGGCUACAAUGAAGGAGGAGCUUAAAAUGAUUUUGAUGGACAAACCGACACACAAAAGGGCAAUUGGAGUCAAGUGGGUUUAUAGAACCAAACUCAAUUCCGAUGGUUCUAUAAACAAACAUAAGGCAAGACUAGUUGUCAAAGGAUAUGCUCAGAUGUUUGGGGUGGAUUUCUCUUAGACUUUUGCCCCAGUUGCUAGAUUGGACACUAUAAGAAUGUUGUUGGCUCUUGCUGCUCAAAAAGGCUGGAAUAUACAUCAGAUGGAUGUCAAAUCAGCCUUCUUGAAUGGAUACUUGGAGGAAGAAAUUUUUGUGGAGCAGCCUGAAGGUUUUAUUGUUCAAGGAAUGGAGGAGAAAGUAUAUUUGCUGAAAAAGGCCUUGUAUGGUUUAAAACAAGCACCAAGGGACUGGUACAGUAGGAUUGAUUCACAUUUGUUAGGCUUAGGCUUUACAAAAAGCCUAAGUGAAUUUACUCUAUACUUCAGGAAGGUUUGUGAUGAAACACUUGUGGUAUCCUUAUACAUUGAUGAUCUACUUGUGACAGGAAGCAGUAUGGAGCAAAUUGUUAAUUUCAAAAAGGAAAUGAAUGAUGUUUUUGAGAUGACUGAUCUUGGAAGGAUGACAUUCUUUCUUGGCAUGGAGGUACAACAAAAAUAGAAUGAGAUCUUCAUAUGUCAACAAAAAUAUGCCAAGGAAAUCCUGAAAAAGUUCAAGAUGGAAGAGUGCAAUCCAAGUGCAACUCCAAUGAAUCAAAAUGAGAAGUUUUGCAAAAAAGAUGGAGCUGCAAAAGCUGAUGAAAGGCUUUACAAGACCAUUAUUGGGCGCUUGAUGUACCUAACAGCAACUAGACCAGAUAUUAUGAAUGCAGUAAGUUUACUCUCAAGGUACAUGCAUUGUGCUAGUGAAAUUCACUUUCAAGCAGCAAAAAGAAUUGUUAGAUAUGUCAAGGGUACAAUUGACUAUGGUUUGAGGUUUUGUCAAGUUAAAAACUUUACUCUUCAUGGUUAUUCAGAUAGUGAUUGGGCAGGUUGUGUUGAUGACAUGAGAAGUACUUUAGGUUAUUGUUUCAGCUUUGGUUCUGCUAUUUUUGCAUGGUGUUCCAAAAAGCAAGAAGUCAUAGCCCAAUCCACAGCAGAAGCAGAAUAUGUAGCUACUGCUGCUGCUAUGAAUCAGGCUUUCUGGAUCAGGAAAUUGAUGGCUGACUUGUUUAUGGAGCAAAAGAAAAGCACACAAAUACUCGUAGACAACCAAGCUGCAAUUUCAAUUGCAAAUAAUCCGGUGUUCCAUGGCAAAACAAAACAUUUCAAGCUAAAACUCUAUUUACUAAGAGAGGUACAGAAAGAGGGAGAAAUACAGUUGGUCUACUACAAAACAGAAAGUCAAAAUGUUGAUAUCUUAACCAAACUACUUCUCAAAGCUAGAUAUGAGUUCUUGAGGCAAAGACUUGGAGUCUGCAGCUCCAGAGACAAGGAGGAGUGUUGAAUGACAUGUCCUAGGAGCUGCUGACAUGGAGCUGAGUAGAAUGAAGUGGAAGUAGUCAAAAUAAGUUAGUCAUGUGGAAAAUUUACCUAUUCCUUAGGAAGUAUUUGUUGGUUUGUUUCUAUUCUUUAGGAAGUAUCUAUAGGUAGCAAGUUUGUUGCUAUUUUUAUGUUUUUCUGUUUUAAGCUAGCUGUAUAAAUAAGUGCUUUGCAGCUUAAUAAAAUAUAACUUCAGAUUCCUCAACGUUUUGUUGCUUCUUGAGAGUUUCUACCCUUUGUUUCUAUCAAAACCUACAGAUAAGGUAUUGGCCCACCAUCACAUGAUAGUUUAAGCUUUGGGUUGAAUUGAUAAUUUAACAAAGAAUGACUAAAAGAUAAAUCAUCAUGAGAUAUUCAAGCCACUUACAUAACCUAAAAGGCUCAUAGCUUGGUCAGAUUGAUAAAAUCCUGUGUUCCUCUUCCCACUGAUGAUCUCAAGUACAAUAACACCAAAGCAAAAAACAUCAGAUUUUACUAAGAAAAACCCAUCUAGCACAUAUUCUGGAGACAUAUAGCCACUGCAUUACAUGGAAUGUUAAAAAGUAAUCAGUUGAUUAGGUAUAUGCCAAGGCAAAUAUCUUUCCCCAUGCAUACAAUACUUACUAAGUGCCCACUACUUUGUUUGUGUUUGCCUCUGUUUGCUUGCUCUCAAAGAUCCUGGCCAAGCUGAAGUCUGAAAUUUUGGGAUUCAUAUCCCCAUCUAAUAGAAUGUUGCUCGUCUUCAAGUCCCUGUGAAUGAUCUUCAACCUUGAAUCUUGGUGAAGAUAAAUUAGCCCUCGAGCAAUUCCCAAAAUGAUGUCGAAGCGACUCUCCCAGUUUAGUAACACGCAUAGCAUUCGAUCUUGCCCAGUUGCCAUUAGAAAGAAAAAUUUUAGUGGCAUGGUUCAUUCAGUUAGAUCCUGUCUAUCAGUUCAUGGCACGUAUGCAAUGAUACAACAAAAGUAGGGACUUGACGUAGGUUUAGAGGCAAACCAAAUAUGAAAGAGUCUAAGCUUUUGUUGGGCAUAUAUUCAUAAAGUAAAAUCUUCUCAUCUCCUUCAAUACAAUAGCCCAGAAGUCUAACCAGAUUUCGAUGCUGAAGUUUGGCAAUCAACACAACCUCAUUCUUAAAUUCCACUAGGCUUUGCCUUGAAGCACUUGAGAGUCUCUUCACAGCUGCUUCUUUCCCAUCUGGAAAUUUGCCCUAGAAGCCACAAUGCAUAUGCAUUAGACAUUGAUAAUCAGAAAUCAGUUGAAAAUAUGAGCAUUGUUUGAAAUAAGUUAUAUUACCUUGUAAACCGGCCCAAAGCCCCCUUGUCCAAGCUUAUGCGAAUCUAAAAAGUUAUCCGUAGCAGCCAGGAUGUCUUUUAAGUCGAAAAAUGGUACAUCAAUGCCUUUCUUAUCCUCAUCUUUGAAUUCCUUCAAGUCUAUUAAGUGUUUCACACGACUUUCACUAUCAUACAAGUGCAGCACAGGAUUUGCCCUGUUUCCUGAAUUAAAAAAAAAAGAAAAUAUUAUAUAGAAAACCUCUGCAAUUUUCUCAAUUUUGCCAGGUACAAUUUGAAAAGAAAAUAGCGGAAGAUCCAUGGUAGAGCUUAUGGCACAAAGAUUACCUUUCCUUUUGGUGAUGUUUCUUUUGCGCAAAUAAGCAAUAUAACCAAUGGUGCUUAAAAGCGCAACUAGAACAACAACAAUUGUUAUGCCUACCACAACUACCGGAGAUGAUAAUGACGACAUCUUAUUGCCAAGGUCUAAAACAAAGAAGAACCACUCUCAUUCAUGGAAAAGGCAAUGCAUCUAUCAUUACUAACCUCUAUGUCUUUCAUUGGAAAAUAAGUUUAAAUGACCAAAACCAAGCAAAAAGAAAGUAUUGAGUUCAACUUCUCACAUACCUAGAAAGCAAAUUUAGAAAUAUACUAGGUCUGUAGCUCACCUUGUGUAAAAUCUAAACUUGAUCCAUUUCACUUAAAUUUUUCACUGCAAAAGCACUUAGUGGUUCCAUUUUGUGUUCUGCAAUUUGAAUUAGGCCAAUCCUUGCAGUCUGCUGAUGAGGUACACACUAGCUCCAAUGGUGGAUCCCAACUGAUCUCUAUCUCAAUGCUAUUUUCCAAUGACUUCUCAGAGCCAAAAUUGUCGAUUUUGACCACUGUGCAGACAUUGGUCAUGUGAAAAGGCAGGUUUAGUGGUGGAAUUUUGUUGAUAAGACUUCGAGAACUGCAAUCUAAUUCUUUAAGUUAGAUUACAAAUGUUAAUGUCUCUAGAUUAAUGCUAGUUACCCGAUAGGUGCCACCAAGUACCUUGAACUGAACCUGGCCCGUGGUAAUGUUGCAUUCAAAAUUAAAGUACAUGGGAUCACCACACUUUGAUCCAGUGCUUAGAGGAUAAGGAAUCAUGAUUGAGCCACAAGCUUGACAAUUUCUUAUUGUUGAUUCUGCAAAUAAAAUGUAGAAUCCCUUGUUAAAGGGUAUUUCUUCCGAUUACAGUUUCUUCCUAAUGUCUAUAAAUGGAUUUAUGCUUGUGUUGAUCAAUAAACUAAAACAUGAGGUACUUCUUCUCAAGAAAAGGGGAAAAAGAAAUUGGAAAGGGACAUACCUAUAUCUGAAAUAGAUACACGAACAAAGAGAUUGUCAGCAUCAGAGUCAUACUCCUCCUGAAGACCACUAAGGUCGUCUGUCCAAAUCAAGCAUUCUGGGUUAUUGCCCCUUUAUGUUAUUUAGUUUGAGCAUAAUGUCACGGACUUAGUCGUUCACUAAGCUCUUGUGGCACUUAGGCAAGUCAAGACGCUUGAUCUUGCUAAGUCAGCCUUGCUCCCAAUGCUUAGCUUGCUAGGCUAAGACACUCACGACUCGAAAGCUUAAGAAGCUUAGUAAGCAACUCUUUAAAGGAAGCUCUUAUUAACUCAUGGAAGCCUUUACAAGUGCUUGGAAGCUCACUUGCUUGGUACCUUGGCCAAAUGAGGCCUUCACCUAUUUAUAGGCACCAAUGGAACUCUCUGGAACCUUGGAGGGUUCCUUACAACUUAAGUAUAUUCUAGAAUGUCCUACAUCAUUCUAGGUACAAGCCUAUGUACAAGGAUAUACAAGAGACUUCUGGAAUUCUCUAGAAAGCCCUGGACUCCUCUCAUGCCUUCCACCAUAGUGUAGAAUUGUGUGGAUUCCUCCAGGCUUCUCCACAACCUUCCACACUCUUCCCACUCUAGGAGUCUCCAGAAGCUUCCUGGCUCUAUAUAAGCCCAUGGGGAGGCUCAUUUGAAUCAGCUUGUGACACUCUCCUCCACCUAAGCCGCAGACGUUCUUGUCGCGCCUUCUGCCCGGAAUUGCUCAAUUUGCUCCUAUAACUGCCAUAGUGCAUCUGUUGGCUCCCAGCUAGCCUCACUUUUUGGUAGUCCUUUCCAUUUCACUAAGUAUUCCGUACCAGGAGGUACACCUCGUCUCCUGAUGACCCGAUCUACGAGAAAGUGUUCUAUCUCCUUAUCAUAGGAGAUCACGACCGUUGUAGGUGCCCUCUUAGACAACCCUCGGCUUGGAUCAUCUUUGUCUUCGUGAUAGGGUUUCAAGUAGUUUACGUGGAAGACAUGAUGAAUCUUCAACCUUGGCGGUAGCUUAACUCUAUAGGACACCUUGUCGACAUUCCCAAGUACGGGGAAGGGUCCUUCAUACCUCCUCAUAAGGCCCUUAUGCACUAACCUUAGGGAUUUGAAUUGUUGAGAAAUGAGCUUGAAAGCACCAUGUCUCCGACUUUGUACUCCGUGUGUCGUCGCUUCUUGUCAGCCCACUUCUUCAUUUUCUUAGCGGCCUUGUCCAAGUAUGAGCGUGAUAUGUCAGCUUGCUCGUGCCACCCUUUCGCGAACUUGAAAGCUGCUGGACUUCUCCCCGUAUAGCCUAUCGUUAGAGUGUGAGGAGUUAACGGUUGCUGCCUUGUGGCCAACUCGAAUGGGCUCUUAUUGGUUGCCUCACUCCUUUGCAGGUUAUACGAGAAUUGGGCUAUGUCUAGCAACUUAGCCCAAUCCUUCUGGUUGGCACUCAUGAAGUGCCUUAAGUAUAGCUCCAAUAAAGCGUUCACCCUCUCAGUCUGCCCAUCCGUCUGUGGGUGAAAGCUUGUGGAGAAGUGAAGCUCCGAACCCAUAAGCUUGAAGAGCUUCAUCCAAAACUUCCUAGUAAAACGCGGAUUGCAAUCACUUUAGGCAACCCCCAAUACUUGACUACGUGCUUUAGGAAUAGCCUCGUCGUCUCUUCCGCAGUGCGGUCAGUCGGGGCUGCUAUGAAGGUUGCAUAGUUAGAGAACCUGUCCACUACCACUAUGAUAGAACCGUUGUCCUCCGACUUGGGUAGCCCGAUGAUGAAGUCCAUGGUGACGUUGUCACAUGGGCGCUCUGCUAUAGGUAGUGGCUUCAACAGGCCUCUAGGUUGUUAUUGUUCCACCUUGUCUUGUUGGCACACAAGACAAGUCCUCACAUAGGCCUCUACCUCAUCCCGUAUUUGAGUCCAAUAAUAAGCCGACUCGAGUAGUGCCCUCGUGCGUCGUUGCCCAGGGUACCCAGCCCACUUGGUGUCAUGGCACUCAUUUAUCAGAUUCCGUCUUAUGUUCCCCCAUUUAGGCACAUAGAGUCGUCUCCCCUUAGUGUAGAGUAGGUCGUUCUCCACCCAGAACCGCUUAGUCUUCCCUUCAUGAGCUAGGACGAUGAGGCUCUUAGCCACUGGAUCAUGUUGCAGUCCCUCCCUUAGAAGAUCCAUUAUGUCUCCUUGGGGCUGACUCGUCAUGGAUGCUAGCUCCGUUUUACUGCUUAGGGCGUCAGCCACAUGAUUAGCACUCCCUGGCUUAUACUCCAACGUAUAGUCGAACUCAGCCAGGAAGUCUUGCCACCUAGCUUGCUUAGGACUCAACUUCUUCUGUGUUUGGAAGUAGCUAGUGGCAACGUUAUCGAUCUUCACUAUGAAGUGAGACCCUAGAAGAUAGUGCCUCCAGGUGCGCAAGCAGUGGACGAUGGCGGUCAUCUCUUUUUCUUGCACCGUAUAGCGCAUCUCUGUGUCGUUUAGCUUGCGACUCUCAAAUGCGAUCGGGUGUCUUUCUUGCAUAAGGACUCCCCCAAUAGUGAAGUGUGAGGCAUCUGUGUGUAUCUCAAAAACCUUGGUGUGGUCGGGUAGUGCUAACACCGACUCCUCAGUCACAGCCUUCUUAAGAUCUUUAAAGGCUUGUUGGCACCUUUCGUCCCAUUCUCAUGCCUUAUUCUUCUUAAGGAGAUCAGUGAGAGGAGCGGCCCUUGCUAAAUAACCUUUGAUGAAUCGCCGAUAGUAAUUAACUAAACCAAGGAAAUAUCUGAGCUAAGGUACCUUGGUUGGUGGAUCCCAUUCCUGGAUGGCUUUCACCUUGCUAUCAUCCAUCUUCAGCUUGCCAUCCUUGAUGCGAUGCCCUAGGAAGCUCACUUCUUUUUUAACAAAGGAGCAUUUUUCCUUCUUCACGUAUAGCUCGUUCUGCCUUAAGAUCUUAAAGACCUUCCUCAAGUGCUUUACGUGCUUCUUUAGGGUGUUACUGUAGAUGACUAUGUCAUCCAAGUAUACCACCACGAACUUGUUGAUUACUACUCAAAAAGUGCUAUUUGAUAGCUUAUAAUUAAUCCUUUUAAACACUUUUGAGUAGUAAUUUUGGCAUUUUAACUCAAUUGGCAUGUUAAGGACCCUUGAAAGCAAUUUUAAUCAUUUUGUGUAAGUUUUGGUGUUUUUUGUUAGUAAUUUGAUCACCAAAGCAAUUCAAGAUUGAGGAGAUUUAUGAGGAAUCUUGGGCAAAGCUUGGAAGUCAUUUGCCAAGAGUAAAUCAGGAAUGCAAGGAGAAAAAGUUAAGAGAAUCUGCCAUGAAGCAUAUUCUUGAUGAUAGUAGUAGCAGCCACUUUUGGAGCACUUUUUGAAGUCCAAUUGAUGCAUGCUAUAUACCAUUUCAAAGCUCAGGAAGUCAACAAUCCAAUGCUUCAAACGGUACGCAAUUCGGAGUUGAAACGAAGAAGUUGCAGCCAUUGCAAGCCAAUCACUCCAAGCUGAAGGAAGCAUUUUCCAAAGUGUUGCGAAAUCACCCUUUUGUUGCGAAGUGAUUUCGCAGCCUUUUUGUACAGUAGGGUGUAUUUCCUUCUGAAGUUGCCCGAUAUAUGCCGCAAACUGGAAGCUGAGAACAUCAAGGUGGAAGCCAACUUCGCAGCCCUGCGAGAAUAGCUUUUUGCUGCGAAGUGAUUUCGCAGCCCUUCUUGAGUGUUUGCGAAAUCUCGCAGACACCAUUUUCUCUUGCGAAAUGGUCCCUGGAGCAUCCCGAUAUUUGCUACCGACAUUGGGAGAUAUUUUACAUCAGAUUUUUGUUGUCUAAAUCCCAAAAUACUUCUUGUAAGCCACCAAUUACAAGAUUCCUUAGCUUUUAAGUUAGUAAAAAGAGAAAAUAUCCAUGUAAUAAUUAGUUUUAUAUUAUGUUCAUAUAAAUACUUCUCGGGAGCCUGUUCUCAAAAAGGGACCCUUUUGUAAAGUUUUGGGAAAGCAAGUAAAGUUCAGGUCCUUUGUUUUGUCUUACCUUCUCACUUUGUAUUAUUUAUUUCUUACUAAGUUAUGCACUCUCUGAGGAAUUUUCCCCAGAGAAUGAGUAACUAAACCUCUAGUUCCUUGGAGCUAAGGUUGCCGGGGAAGGUUCCAAAUGCAAGAAUGCAAAGCUUUGUGGUUUCAGCCAUCAAUUAAGAGGAAGUAAAGUCUUUUAGUGAUUUCUAUGUUUUUAGUUAACUUAAAACACCUUAGAGUCACCUGGGCCAACACUUGGUAAGGCAAGUGAUCUCCAUCCAUGGAGAUGCACUAGUUUACCCCUUGCGAGCCUCUGGGAGGUGACUUUAAGGUAGGAUUUUCUGGAAUUGCCAACACUUGGUAAGCUUUUGGACUCCAAGGAGACAUCCAUUAGUUAUCUCUUGCGAGCUAGAGAAGGGAAGUCUAAGGUUAAAGAUCACCUUGAAUGGUUAAGGCUUAGUGAGAGGCUUAAACCAUUGCAAGUUGCAUCAAUGAGAGAAUUAAAGUUGAAAUCUAAUUAAAGGAUGUAUCUGUACAACACCGGUUAGAGAAUUGACUAUAUGUUGAAUCUCUAAUGCGAGGAAAUGAACCAUCUGACCGGAGCUAUGUCUUUUGCAUGAGGAACCACCCCAGUGAACCUAACUCUCCAAGGAAUGUUUUUCUUCCUAAGUUAUUCUCACUACUUAUUCUGUUAGUUAGUUUAAAUCUAAAUCUUUACCAAUCAAAAGGUUGUGUUUUAUUUUUUUAGCUAACCUUGAAAUGAAACAAGACCAAUUCACUUUGAAUUGGUAUCAUUGAUAGCUUGCUAAUCCUUCCCAGUGAACGAUCCUAAAGCCGCUAUAUUAUAGUAGUUUUUUCUUUGCUACCCUAGUAUAUGGUGUAAUAGGUUAUAAAUUUUGUUGAUUACUCCCCCAAUCAAGGAGCACCAGCUGGACACGAAUCAGCUGAGACACCAAUUGGGCACGAAUCACUUGUCUAAGCAUGGGUGGAAGAUCUUGUUCAUGAGGGUGCAGAACGUUGCUGGGGCAUUGGUGAGUCCGAAAGGCAUCACUAAGAAUUCGUAUGAGCCAUACCUGAUCACACAUGUGGUCUUUGGCUCGUCCCCCUCCGCAAUCCUUACUUGGUAGUAGCCCGACCUUAGGUCUAGCUUCGUGAAGUACCUUACCCUUCCAAGUUGAUCGAAUAAGUCAGCAAUGAGCGGGAUAGGAUACUUGUUCUUUACCGUCACCUUGUUGAGUGCCCGAUAGUCUAUGCACAUUCGUAGGGACCCAUCAUGCUUCUUCUGAAAUAGAACCGGCGCGCCAUAGGAAGCCUUGGAUGGUUGGAUGAACCCCGCAUCUAGUAACUCCUUAAGUUGUCUCCUUAGUUCCUCCAACUCCGGUGGUGUCAUUCUAUAUGUACCAUAGUAGGGGGCUUAGCUCCCGACUCCAACUCAAUCCUGUGAUCUUCCUCUCUCCUAUGAGGAAGUCUCUUAGGCAACUCGGGCGACAUCACGUCCUUGAACUCAUCAAGGACCCCCUCGAUUUCCUUAGGCAUGGGUUCUCCCGACCCAUCGUCUCUUUCUUCCUUCAGGGUGGCGAGGUAGGUCACCUCUUUCCUCUUUAACCCCUUCCUAACUUGCAUAGCUGAUAGCAUAGGGGUCUUAAGCGUACCUUCAGUGACCGUAGGGACCAUGCAUGGCUUCUCCUCCUCUAAGAUAGCCAUUGAGCAUAGGAAAGGUAGUGGCACGACCUUGACCUUCUGUAGGAAGUCCAUUCCUAGCACCAUCUUGAAGUUAUCCAUGGGUGCCACUAUGAAAUCGACCCUUCCUUCCCAUGAGCCGAUGUGCAUAGCCACCCUGCAAGCUACUCCAUGUGACGGGCUUGGCAGCUGAAUUAACUGCCUUGAGUCAUCCUCCUUCCUUGGAUGCUUGGAGCUUUAGUCUCUUUGCCUCAUCCUCCGAGACAAAGUUAUGAGUGGCACCAGUGUUCACCAAGGCCUUGGUGGCCUUCCCAUUCACAAGGGCCUCUACAUACAUUAGCCCUUUGCUUUGAGGCGUCUUAGGCAUCGGCUUGGCCUUAAGGGCAUUUAGGAGUUGCAACGAUCCCACUUUAGCAUCGCCUUCCUGCUCAUUUUCCUCAAUCAUAGCAUUUAGAGCUUUCCUUUUAGGGCAGUCUCGUGCCCAGUGUGUACCAUCGCACAGGAAGCAAUUGGUCCUGGGCAUGAACUCCUUCCACUUAUCUUUGCCUUUACCAUCCUUGCCACUAGGGUCUUUGCUUGAUCCUUCCUUAGAAGUGUGGCAUUGUGAUCCAUUGUUUCCCCCACCUUUGGCCUGGUUACCCUUGGAUGGUGGUUUUGGCUUGGAGGAGUCUCCCCUUCUAUAAUCUACCAAGGACUCUGCUACCGCCAUGGUCAUGGCUAGGUCUUAGACACCAUGUCUCCUCAACUCUUGCUCGGCCCAACUUUGCAAGUUGUCCAUAAAGUUAAAUAGUAGCUCCUCCUCAGCCAUGUUAGGUAUCUCAAGCAUAAACGUAAAGAACUCCUUGACAUACUCACGGAUCGAGCCUGUGUGCUUGAGACGCUUCAUACUCUUCCUUGCUAGGUAAGCCACAUCUUCGGGAUAGAAUUGCCUUUUGAUUUCUCUCUUAAAGGCAUCCCAUGUGUCUAUGGUGCACGUCUCUUUCUCUAUGUCGGAAAACUGUCGACGCCACCAUAGAGUAGCAUUAUCGGUGAGGUAAAGGGUCGUGGUGCAUACCUUAGUGGCUUCAUCCGUCAAUGCAAUGGCCUCAAAGUAACGCUCCAUGUGCCACAAGAAGUUAUCUAGCUCCUUAGCAUCCCUCUUUCCAUUGAACGAGUGUGGCUUGGGCACCUCCACCCUUGGUGCCUCAUGAGUGGCCAUGACUCAUGUUGAUAUCGCAGUCUUGUAGAUGGCUAGCUCUUGAUGAAUCUCUUGGUCUCGGGUCUCCAUGAGCGCAGCCAAGGCCUCCAUCCUUGAUUCCACACUAGCGAACAUGAUCAUGACCUUGUCUUGGAAGGACAUGAACUCCUUGUGUGACACAGUUGAACUUGUGAGCCUAGCACCCCCUCGCGAAGGUCUUGGAUCUGCUCCCUUAGAUCCUCUAAGCCUUUCUCCAUGCCUUGCUCGAUCAAGUCCACCCCUUCCCGGGUGUCCGUCAUGGCUAGCUCCACCUUAGCUAGCCUUGCCUCCAUGUUGGCUAAGGCAUCACGAGACUUAUCCUUCCUGCCUCGGCCCCGUGCAGUAUGCUCCAUCUCCCUUCCACGGGUUUGCUCGCUAGUCUCCUCCACGUUAGAGCCCGACAUGCUUCCUUUGCUAUGCCCACUUCGUAACCGCGCUCUAAUACCACUUGUCACAGACUUAGUCGUUCACUAAGCUCGUGCAGCACUUAGGCAAGUCAAGACGCUUGAUCUUGCUAAGUCAACCUUGCUCCCAAUGCUUAGCUUGCUAGGCUAAGAUGUUCACGACUCGAAAGCUUAAAAAGCUUAGUAGGCAACUCUUUAAAGAAUGGAAGCUCUUAUUAACUCAUGGAAGCCUUUACAAAUGCUUGGAAGCUCACUUGCUUGGUGCCUUGGCCAAAUGAGGCCCUCACCUAUUUAUAGGCACCAAUGGAACUCUCUGCAACCUUAGAGGGUUCCUUACAACUCAAGUAUAUUCUAGAAAGUCCUACAUCAUUCUAGGUACAAGCCUAUGUACAACGAUAUACAAGAGACUUCUGGAAUUCUCUAGAAAGCCUUGGACUCCUCUCAUGCCUUCCACCAUAGUGUAGAAUUGUGUGGAUUCCUCCAAGCUUCUCCACAACCUUCCACACUCUUCCCACUCUAGGAGUCUCCAUAAGCUUCCUAGCUCUAUGUAAGCCCAUGGGGAGGCUCAUUUGAAUCAGCUUGUGACAAUAAGCUUGACAUUGGCAGUCACUAAGGCAAGCCUUUUUGCAAUAUUGAUUAUCAUUCGUAUCUACUAAAAUAGAAGACUACGGUUUUUUGGCUUUCAUCAUUUUUAAGCGCAAGAACAUGUCUUCAAUGGAAUUCUUCUUGUAUUUGGGUGACUUUCUGGUACACCCACUUGAGAACUCUCCAAUUUUCCAACUAUUCGGCGAGAUUGGUUUGAACCCAGGCAAACAUUUUCACAUCAAAGCAUUCUUAGUGCUACAACUUCCAAAUUUCCCACAAGCAAUUGACACACUGCAUCGGUCUUUCGGUGCCCACCAGACUGGAGACGAUGUAUUCCAAUUCGCAUAGUAUUGAAUUUCCCCUAAAGAACUCAUUACCAACUGUUUUUCAACUGAUGAGUUGGGGAUAGAGCUAUGCCCUUUAUACACGUUCCUCUAGGAGAUUUUGGACAACAAGCUGCGUGUUGCUUCAGGCAUCUCAUCAAACGUUCCAUCCCAGUCCUCACUGUACCAAUGUACAUAUAAAAUUUGAGAUAUGAUAUACUGGUACUCUUUUUCUUGAUCUAGCUUGAAGGUAUAGUUUCCAAGUGUGGCGUCAACGGGGCUUAACCAUGAGGUCAAUAUUAAGCUUUCAUUCAUCUUCAUACCAGGAAGAAAAAUAUCGGUGGGAUUACGGAAGCUCUCUCAAAUAAUCUCUUCGGAUCUAUUGCCACUCAAAACAAGGUUCCCAUAGUCCAUAAGCUUCACUAUCCUGUCUUUAGAUGAAGGUGUUUCAAUAUCAAUAGACCAGUGAACUGCUUCAUUAAUUUCGGCCAACACCUUCAGCUUACCAUCUUUUUUAAUGGCAAAAACUCCAAUGGAGGUACCAGAAAAGGGGUUCUCUCGGUUGGCUACCCACACAACUCUUGGUGGUUUAGACAUGUGAUGCCAUAUGCCCAUGAAUCUUCUAUUCUUGGAGCUUCCAUUUGGAUGAAAGAAGCCUAGUUCAAAAGUUUCACCGGAAGAGACAAGAGUUUCUCCAUUAGUAAGCCAAGUGUCUAGUGUGAUGGUGUGUCACGCCCCAAGACCCACUCCAAGGGCGUGACGGUCAUUUCACACCUCAAACCCGAAGGCUUAAAGUAUAAUCUGACCCAAACAGUCAUAUUGUAACUGGAUGUUACCAAUUACCAAAUACCUGCUCAGAGUAGCGGAAACAAAGUCUAAAAUCCUCAAAAUUCAAUUUCCAAAUAACUUCCAAAUACCAAAUGAUCCAAAAUAACAUAACUAAUAGUUAAACAAAAUCCAACAUAAAAUCCUAAGUCAAAUCCUAAUGAUGACCAUUCCUCAGCCUAGCCAUCACUCCUCACCCGAACUAAGAGUACCUGAAAAAUUUUCAACGAUUGGGAAUGAGCUCACAGCCCAAUAAGGAAUAUUAAUGCAGUUCAUGGAUCAAAUAUUUUCAUUUCAAAUAGGAGAUAUCAAUUUUUUUUUUUUUCAUCAAAUAUCAGAGUUUCAAAAAUGCCAAUAUAUUCAAAAUUCAACCAACCAAUUUCAUAUCAAAUUCAAACACUUUCCCAUCAGACUUAAUCAAAUCCAUUCAAUUUUUCAUUACUCUGGUUAUCAAAUAUCAAAUGCCCAGUUAGGUGGGACUUUUCAAAUGGGUGGCUAGCCUCAAAUUGUUCCUGGUGGACGGAACCAAACACUACUAGUACUAGUAACCUCUAAACAAACCCCUAGAGGUUGGGGUCCAAAUCAAUUACAUUCCCACCAUGAAAUGUAAAGGUCAACUAUUAUAUCCCAUUGACAGGGCCGAAUAGUCAACUAUUAUAUCCCGUUGACAAGGGCCAAAUAAACCAGAGUGAUGUUUUUUGUUCAAGUAUUCAAAUUUACACAACAUAAUAUCUCCAUAUUUUGUGUCAUAAAUAAAACAAAAUAUUCCAACAUAACAUUUAGUGCAAAACAAUUUGAUCCAUGCAUGGUAACAAAAUAUCAUUUUAUUUUCCACAAUUCAAAAUAACAUAUAAAAUAAUUUUAUUUUAUAAAUAUUACAUUAACUUCCCUUACCUCAAAAGAAGUCCUUGAAAGCUUGGGAGAAGAAUGAUUCUGAAAAAAAAUAUAAUCUACUCUUCACCUAAUAUAACAUAAGAGAAACAAUUAUUACUAUUUAUUUAUAAUUUAACUAAUCUAUUCCUUAUUUAAAUAAAACUAAUAAAUUCUCAAUUUGUUUCUAAUAACACAUUACUAAUUUAAUUAAAUUACAAUUUUAUGUCAUUAUAAAAUUCUCUAUAUAUAUAUAUAUAUAUAUUUUGCUAAAUCUAUUAUUACUAUUAUCUUAUUCAUUAAUCUAAAACUAAAUAUUAUUAUUUUAAUUAACCAAUUCAAAAGCCACUAGAUGUCUCGAGUACACCAAACCACCAAACCAAAAAGCAAGUUUUUUUUUUUUUUUUUCCAUUGCAUCAUCAUUCAUUAUAUAUAUAUAUAUAUAUAUAUAUAUAUAAAAGGCUUCCUUCCAUUUGGCACAUGCCUAUUUUUUUUUUUUUCCUCCUUGCUUCCAGUAGCACAGUACACGUACACCCCCCAUAUAUUUUUUUUUUUCUUCCUUCCUUCCUUCCAGUGCUGUGCACACGCGUUCUCCCUCUUUUUUUUUCUUUUUUUUUUUUAAUUAACCCUAACCUAAAAUCGAAAUAUUCCAAGGAAUUUUUUUUUUCUAAUAAAACUUAAGAUCUCCCAAAUUCCAAUGCUAAAAUCAAAAUAUUAAAUUUUCACUAUUUGAUAUUAAAACGAAUUAAAAAAUAAUCUAACCCUAAUCUAGAUUUGGGGUUUUCCAAAAAAAUAUAUCUAAUGUGUUUGAAAUUAAUCAAUGAAUCUAAAAUAUUAAACUAGGGGUUAGAAUCUUACCUAUAGAGAUCUGUUCUUCAACCCUGAAAUCUGACUCCAACCUUACGUUCUCUGGAAUUCUGCGAACAGGAACUCUAUUCAGAAAAGAAGGGAAAGAAUAAAAUUUCUAAUUUAUACCUAGGGUAUUUAUUCGUAAAAUUACUCUUUUACCCCUCUUCUUUUUUUUAUUAAAUUAAUUAAUUAACUAAUUUAAUUAUUAAUAACAAUUUCCUAAAUUACCCUUAAAAGAAAAUGCUUGGGCGUUACAUGGUGUCUCUAGUAGAGCAACACAGAAAAUAACACAAUAAGAAAAAAAUGGUAGAUAACAUUGUGAAUUGCAGAGACUGAAACCCUGAAUUUUCUUGUCUUUUUCCUACUAUUUUUGUUAAUCCGAGAAUCUCUUUAGUUUUGGUGCCACAAAUUCACUGUGGGAUAGCGUGCUACUUCUCUAGGUUGACCUUCUAUAUGUGGCGCCUAAAACAUUGGCCCCUUAGAUUAACUUUUUAAUUGUCUAAAACCAUUUUUACCGCAGGUCCAUACUCCGGGACAAGCCCCCACACCCCCAUCGGAUCAGUGGUGAUAGGCCCAAUCCCCCUGUUAGACCCUAAAAAAAAUCUCAUAGUUUUUUUUUCACCAUAUAUAUUGUAUUGCGAAAUUUUCAAGUCUGACAAAAUAAAAUUCGAGUCACGAAUCUUUAAUAGUUAUCAUCAAGAAAUGAGAUGGAAAUGUUUCAGCUAGUGAAAAUCUACAUCAAGAGGCUUUUUGGGAAGACAAAUAUAAAAAUACAUCUAAACAUCAUUAAACUUCAUGAUUCUAAUACACAUCAUGGGAUGAAUUCUCAAUCAUAUAUAGGUGAGUAUCACAUAUAUAUAUAUAUAUAUAGGUUUAACACACAAUGCUACAUAAUGUGGUGGAUAAAUAUGCAUGUCAAAUUGAUCAUAGUUGUAAAAUUGUUAGCUAGAAACUAAAAAUUUCUAAUCUGAUUCCUAAGUGCUUCUUUUUUUUUCUUUUUCUUUUUUUAAAAAAAAAACAAAAAAUGAUAAUAAUUUCUACAUAAAAUGUAAAAAUUAUCGUAAAAAAUUAAUAACAUUCAAUUUAGAAAAUUUUAAGAUAUUAUAUAAAACAAAUUCACCAUCUUAACAUUUAAAAGUAAUUUUUAAAGAUAUAAGAUAAGUUCAUAUUAUUUAUAUAAAAACUAUUUUAUAAUUUACAUAGAAAUUAUAUAUAUAUAUAUAUAUAUAUUGAAUUGGGUUAUUUCACAAUAUUGGAGCAUAGUUUACCUUAGGUGAUUAAAGAUGUGAUACAGUAUAGUUUUUAGGAUAGAUGUGAUAAUUUAUAAUUGAAGUUUUGAUAUGGGUUAAUUAGUAAUAUUAAACAAAGGAUAAUGCUUUUUCAUAUUCUUAGAUUUAAUUUUUGGUGAAAAUAAUUAAGAGUAAGUAUUUGAUAGUGAUUUUAAGAAAUGUUUUUAGUCUUUUUAAUACUUGAAAAAGAAAAUUUUUCAAGUGUUAGAAAAACCAAAAAUACCUUUUAGAAACAGUACUAAACAUAUUCUAAAUAUGUACUCAAUAAUCGAUUUAAUAAAUUCACGGGUGUCAAAAUAAAUAUGACAUCAAGAUAUGUUAAUAAAUUUUUUUUUUUUUUUUGAAAAAUAAUUCAACAUAUUUAUUGAAUUCACAUUCAAGACAAGGUCGCCUGUAACAUAGGUGCAUGGCUGUCCAUUUAUUCCCAAUUGCCUUAGACAAACAUCCCCUUACUCUUAAGUCAUUUUGUUUUUUUUUUUUGUGAUUGCAUGUUGAAAAUUUGAUUUUAACAUGAGUCCACUAGGAGUUCAGGACAUCUAUUAAUUAAUGGGGGCAGUUCUCGACCUCCAUGGCCUGCCUACUAAUUUUGGUGGGUUGCUCACAGGUGACGUCUGACUUAAAAUACGUCCAUCGCCCAACUUACUAUUCAUGGACAAACAAAAUAUUAGUAAUGUACCAAUCAUCUUGUAUAUGUAGUAACAUUUUCAAAUUUUUAAUCUAAACCUUGGUGUAAAUAAUUAAAUUUAAAUAAAUUAAUUAAAAUGUAUAUUUAAUUUUUUUUCACCCGCAAUUGAAGGCCGGUGGAGUGGUGAAAUCUUGGAAAUGGAAGCCAACCAUGCAGCAAAUAAAGUGACCCAAAGUCCAAGACCACGUUUAGAGCAUUUGUCCAUUUUUACUUGUUUUCAACGGCUUCUAGUCUUGAAGUUGAAAUCUGCGGUUUCAUAAACGGUAUUCUGAAUUUUCUCUCUUGCGUUCUGUUUUUCACAUUUUCCAGGAAAUGGGACCUAUUUGUUUGGCUAUCAGCAAUGAGUUUCUUGUCAGAAUCUGUAAAAGAACUAGAACUUGCAGAGAAAAAAUAAAUAAUUUGAGAGUUACGAAUUGAAGGAAGGCACACAUCUAUUUCACAAAUGAGAAUGCCUAUUUAUAGGCUUACAACCAAACGAAAAUUGCAAAAAAAAUCUUAGCUACUUUCAAAUUUUAUUGGCAUUACUUCUAUUAACUGAAAAUAGAAAAUUAUGGAGUAAGAAUCUGAUAUGAAACAAUAACAAAGACUAAGUCUAACUAAGACUUUUUCAAACUUCAGAGGCAAACUCUCAUGAGUUCUAACACUCCUCCUUGAGAUUUGCCUUGGACAUGCCAAGCUUCAACCUUAGAAACUCCAGCCUUGAUUUAGGAAGUGCCUUAGUCAUUAUGUCAGCAAGUUGCACAUCAGUUGAGCAAUAAUGCAACUUGACAAGUGAAUUCUUUUUAGCUUCCCUUAUAGAAUGAAAUUUUACAUUUAUGUGUUUGGUCUUGCCAUAUUAGACAGAAUUUUGAGCAAUGGCAAUGGCUGACUUGCUGUCACAGUAAAGCUCUGUUGGUGAGCUUUAUUCCUAGCCUAGAUCAGCAAGCAAUUUCCUUAACCAUAUCCCUUGAUUUGCAACAGCUGCUAAGGAGAUAUACUCAGCUUCUGCAGUUGAUUGUGCCACUACUUCUUGUUUUCUUGAAUUCCAGCAAAUGACACCUGAACCGAUUGUAAAUACAUAACCUGAAACGUUCUUCAUGUCAUCAACACUUCCUGCCCAAUCACUAUCAGCAUAGCCAUCUAGCUUAACUCCUCCUGUCUUUAAAUACCAAAUGCCAAGAUUUGUUGUACCUCUAACAUACUUCAGCACCCUUUUUGCAACUCCCAUGUGAACAUUGCUAGGUGAACUCAUGAAUCUUGAAAGUAAACCAGCUAGAAACAUCAAGUCAGGUCUGGUUGCUGUCAAGUAUAGUAGGUUGCCUACCAAGCUUCUAUAUGCAGAGGGUUCCUUAAGUUUCUCACCAUCAUUCUUUGAAAUUUUCUCAUUUUGUGCCAUUCCAAGGAAGUAGUUCAUGAUGCCAAGGUCAGACAUCUCAAAUACAUCUUGCAUUUCCAUUUUGAACUCAGCCAGCAAUCGUACAUUACUUCCAGUCACUAGCAUGGCAUCAACAUAAAGUGACACUACCAAUUGCAAACCAUUCUCAUUUUGUUUCAAAUACAAAGUAGCUUCAUUUUCACUCCUCCUAAAUCUAAGUUGGAUCAGGUGAGAGUCAAUUCUGCUAUACCAGGCCCUUGGUGCUUGUUCCAAACCAUAAAGAGCCUUUUGCAACUUGUACACUUUGUGUUCAUGCCUAGUAACCUCAAAGCCUUCUGGUUGUUGAACAUAAAUUUCUUCAAGAAGUAUGUCAUUUAGAAAAGCUGACUUGACAUCUAAAUGGUACACUUUUCAUCCCAUUUGACCAGCAAGUGCAAGUAACAGCCUUAUAGUGUCAUGUCUGGCUAUUGGUGCAAAUGUAUCACCAUAGUCCACUCCAGCAACUUGAGCAAAACCCUUCACAACCAAUCUAGCCUUGUGCUUGAAGAUUAAACCAUCUGAAUUCAAUUUGGUUCUGAAAACCCAUUUUACACCAAUUGUCUUCUUAGCUUCAAGUAAUUCUGUCAACUUCCAAGUUCCAUUUCUUUCAAUAACAUCAAUUUCAGCUUUCAUAACCUCAAUCCAUUCUAGAAAUCUUGCAACUUCUAUGUAACAUGUAUGCUCAACAUGUACAAGAUUGCACCUCUCAUACACAUUAGAUAAUGGCCUUACCUUAAGCACUGGUAUGUCUAAAGUUGCUUCAACAUCAAGUGGAUCUUCUGCUGGUUCAAGAAUAGAUGGAGUGGUUUGAUCACAUUUAUGGACUUUCUUCAAGUCCCAAUUCUAGUAGGAAUUUUCAUCAAAGUGCACAUCUCUACUUAUCACAAUUUUCAUUCUACUCAAGCUAUAAAUUCUGUAACCUUUUGAUUCUGCUGCAUACCCAACAAAAACACCCUUCUCAGCUCUUUCAUCAAGCUUACCUCUCUUGAUAGAUGGCACAUGAAGGUAACACAAUGAACUAAACACUUUUAGGUGCUUGACAGAUGGUUUUACACUAGACCAUGCCUAUAUUGGUGUUUUGCUCUUAACAGACUUAGUCGGUAGUCUGUUAAGCAAAUAUACUGAGGUGCUAACUACUUCAGCCCAUAGAAGCUUUGGUAGCUUCUUCUCGAGUAGCAUGCACCUCGCCAUCUCCAUUACCGUUCUGUUCUUCCUCUCAGAGACUCCAUUCUACUGCGGUGAGUAUGGAGCUGUCAGUUGGUGUACAAUUCCAACUUCUAGACAAAAAACAUUGAACUCUUUUGAGGUAUAUUCACCUCCAUUAUCAGUUCUGAGCACCUUAACCUUUUGGCCACUUUGAGUUUCAACCAUUUUCUUGAAGCUUUUGAACACAGAGAGCACUUGUGAUUUGGUUUUUAGAAAAUAAACCCAAGUCAUUCUAUUGAAAUCAUCAAUAAAUAGUGCAAAAUAAACAUUGUUGCUCAAUGAGGCUAUGCUCAUUGGUCCACAAAUAUCUGAAUGAACUAAUUCCAUCUUGUGAGUAGCUCUCUUGGACAUAUUUUGAGGAAAUGAUUUGCGAUGCUGCUUCCCUAGCUCACAACUUUCACAAGUUUGAUCAUUAACUGUGAUUUCAGGCAUGUCUUCAACCAUACUUCUUGCAUGAACUUCAAUGACUUCAAGUUGAAAUGACCAUAUCUUUUGUGCCAAACAACACUCUCAUCAAUCUUGGCACUAAAGACAUGACCUUCAACUAAAUCAAGCUUCAAAUAAAAGUUAUUUCCAUUCAUUUUAAUUUUUCCUAUCUCUGUUCCAUGUACAUCAGUGAUAAAACAAAAAUUUUCUUUAAAAGAGACUGCAUAUCCAUUUCUUAGCAUUUGUGUAACACUAAGAAGAUUUUGAUCUAGUUUUGGAAUGUAAAGAACAUUAGUGACAAUUUUUGUACCUCUCUUGGUGUUGAUAGCAAUUGUCCAUUUUCCUUUGGCCUGCACAACUUCACCAUUUCCCAACUUGACCGUUGCUUGAAUUGAUUUAUCAAUGGAGGUAAAAAUUGAUAGAUGUUUGGUCAUGUGACUGGUGCAGCCAUUGUCAAUGAGCCAAGUAUUCAGUUCAUGAGAACUGAGUACUUGUGAUGCCAUAAAUAAAUGCUUAUCAUCUUUUUUGUCUUCUUCAAUCACAUUUGCAUGUUGUUGUGUUUGCUGUUGAGAUUGUUUUUUCUUGGCUCUACAAUACUUCUCACUGUGGCCACAUUUAUUACAGAAAUUACAAUUAAAAAGGGAUUUACCUUUGUACCAACAAUCUUUCUCAACAUGGUUGGUUCUGCUGCAAUGAGAGCAAGGCGAAAAGUUUCAUUUUCUUGAAGAUCCUUCAGCUUUCCCUUUGUUGUUCUUGAAGAACUUCUUUCCUUUUAGGUUUCCAGAACUCUUUCCCUUAUGAUUUGCUCAAAAAGCACCUUCAGUAGCUUCAACACCUUUCAUUAAGACCCUUUGCUCCUGCGCAUGAAGCUUGCUGGUUAAUUCUGCAAUUGUGAGACUUUGCAAGUCACAAGACUCUUCAAUUGUAGAGAUCUUGGCUUCAAACUUUUAAGGCACUGAAACCAUGAUCUUUUCUACCACCUUUUGAUCUGUAAAUGCCUCACCAAGAAGCCUCAUUUGGUUUACAACAUCCAUUAACUUGCUAGAAUAAUCUUUCACAGAUUCAUUGUCUUUCAUCUUCAUCAAUUCAAACUCUCUCUUCAAUGUGAGGAGCCUGACAUUUUUUACUGUCACUACCAUCAAAUUCACCUUGGAGUUUGUCUCAUACCAGUUUAGGUGUUUCCAAGUCCAUGAUUUUGGUGAAGAUGUGGUCUACAAGUCCUGAAUGUAGGCAGGUGAUGGCUUUGUCUUUCUUAAGUUUUUCCUCCUCAUAUGCUUUCAUCUGAGCAACUGUAGGAUUUGCUCCCAAUGGUGGUGGAUCAGCUUCAAACAUCACAACAUUCCACAAACCUUGAGACCUUAAGCAAAACCUCAUCUUGACAACCCAAAUGUGAUAGUGUUCACCAUUAAACACUGGAAUAACAGAGGAAGUACUGCUGGAAGUAGACAUGUUUGCACCACAACUGCCUGAAAAAAAUAAAUCACUCAACCUCACUGUGUUUAGCACUCAAAACACUCAAAGAAACUUUGCCUCACAACUCGUAGGAACAAGGCUCUGAUACCACUGUCAGAAUCUGUAAAAUAACUAGAAUUUGCAGAGAAAAAAUAAAUAAUUUGAGAGUUAAGAAUUGAAGGAAGGCACACAUCUAUUUCACAAAUGAGAAUGCCUAUUUAUAGGCUUACAACCAGACAGAAAUUGCAAAAAAAUCUCAGCUACUUUCACAUUUUAUUGGCACUACUUCUACUAACUGAAAACAGAAAAUUAUGGAGCAAGAAUUUGAAACAAUAACAAACUUUAGAGGCAAAUUCUCAUGAGUUCUAACAUGGCAUAUGGGUUUUGGGUUUUUCAAUUGAGGGAAGCCUAUCAUAGCAUUUAAAAAUGGAUCCCCAUAGUGGCCAACACCAUAGGAUGAUAAUUCAUCAUGGUUCUUAAUCAUGAUCUUUAUUAAAUAGAUCAAACCCAAGUACGAUACAGAUAAUAAUCGUAUUAGAAAAACAUAAAUUCAUCUAAUUAUUUAAUAAACAAUAAGUCGUAUAAUUCAUUUAAUUAAUCUAAUAAUCAUACAGAAUUAGGUCUUAUACAAAUCUACACGAUUAAUUUCUUAAUCUAAUAUGUUUAUAAUUCAAUUAAUUUAUUUAUUUAAAAUCAAUUUUUAAAUAAAUCAAAUAUAAGUUAAAUGAGUUAGGGUUAAUCAUAUUAAUCAGUAUGAUUAUCAAGUUGGUCAAUUAGGAUCAAAAUUGUGUUUGACUAAUUUAUUUAAAAAUAACUUAUUUAUUAAAUGAGUUAUACAUAUUAACAUAAAUUUAAUCCUUAAACCCACAAAAAAUAAAUUGAAUUUGAGUCAUGUUAACGAAAUAUAUUACACUUUUGACACUCGUAGUCUACGUAAAGAAAAGAUGUUGCAUCUUGCCAUUAGCUAAGCUUAGAGCAUCCAACAACUGACUAUAAGGGUCCAUAUCUUAGGCUAAAUUGAAUGAAAGCAUUAUAUUAUACAAAACCCCCUAUGCUGAUGAUGGUGCAAACACCAAAUUUGAUUUCCCAAAGUUGUAUAAUAAUGUAUUAGUUGUGUCUGUUGUGCGGAAGUUAGGUACAACUUAGUGACAAGUGUGUAUGGGGCUUGGAAUCUAGUGAGAAUCCAUUGGAUAGGAGUACAAAAUGUCGGCCAUGAGCAUGAUCUAGCCAUCCACAUUUCUCUGUGUCAGAGGGGUCAGGACCAUGGAAGAAAAUAUCAAAAUAUAUUACUGAUAUAGUAUUGGAGGUUAUAAAAACGAUAUUUGAUGAAAAAAAUAUUAUUCUGACAAAAUUAUUUUAAGGAGUAUCGAUAUAUUUGUGAUUACUGAUAUUUUUAUCUUUGGUCAAAUUAGUUUUUGAAUUCACCCAUGCAUGACAUUUGAGAUUCAGCUUAAAAGUUGGAUCAACCCACCUGAUCACCUAAGCUUAUAGAAUAGUUACAAUGAAAAAAAUAUAGUUAUAUGACAUGGAAACACUUGAGUCUUCAUUGAUUUCCUUUUCAGAUUGAAAACUAUUAGAAAAAUUGAUUCAAUUGUCAUGAAAUUGGUAUCCACAAAACCAAAGAAACACCCUAAAACUAGUCCAAAAUCUUAUCUAACCCACAUAAAUUACAGAAAAUUAUCUUAACAGCAACCAAAUUCCUAAGUCUUUGCACAAAAUCCUAUCCAAGAGAGAUCUUUUAGAUUUCUUAUCCACUCUGGAUUGACUGGUAGAGACUUUUAAACCAGGGUUGUGCCACAAGCUCAUGAACAAAUAAAAUUGGACAAAGAAUUGAAUGAGUGGAUAAACAUCAUUGUCAAUGUUUCUACUUGAGCGAGAAAUACGUUAGAUUUCUACACUUCUAAAUAGUUGCCUUGAGUGAUUCCUUGGUCCCACAGUAUUUGCUUCCCCCUUUCCUCGUGGUUUGGGAAAAGGACAUCCACACGGUUUGGUGUAGGAACCACCCUUUCCUUUGCUAUCCAUGAUUAUUUUUCUUUCCAAUAAUAAGGAAAACAUUCAUCAAGGCCCCAUGUGAAAACUAUUAUUGGUGACUGUAGGAAUAGAGCUAUUCAAUUUUUCCAAUAUACAGGACAUUGGAUGGAUACUGAUAACAAAAAAGAAUUACAUUAAAAUGUAUAAGCGAUGUAUUAUAAUUCAUUUUCUCAUCUAUUUUCAUGUUUUGAUUAUUUUAACGAGAUGGGAUGAAAUUAAAUAUGAUUUUAACAGAAGUGAAACUUGUCUCGUAAAUAGGAUUCCAUGUUGAUUUCAACAGAAGUAUGUGGAAGGAUAUCGUGGUUAAUUUAUUUAUUUUUUCAUUUUCAUUUCUAUUAUUUUUAAAUAUUGAAAUAACAACAAAUACUCAUUUCAAAUUUAUAUUGCUAGAUGCAUACAAAUAUAAGAACUGAAGCACCAAAUUCACUCCUAUUCUAAGAGGAAUAAGAACAUUGAUUUUCAUUCCCUACAGUCAAGUACCGAACAUGGCCUAAAACGUAAGGGUUCAUGGGAGAUCCUUCUCGCCUAUCGACCUUCUUCUAUGGUGGCUAGGAACUCACUAUUCAAGGAUGCUUCUGGUUUGCUUGAAGAAGAAGCUGAGCUGGAAAGGUCUCUCCUUACGACAAAAGCUGGUUGUUUAGGAACUGGGAGUGUGGCAGUGUCACUGCUGAGCAUUACAACUGCAACUGCCAUGGUGGGACGGUCACUUGGGUCUUCUUGCACACACAACAGCCCAACAUUCACGCACCUCAGAAAUUCAUUUGUUUUACAUGUUUCACUUAGUGUCUGGUCCAUCAACUCCAACACCCUGUCUUCCUUCCACAGCUUCCAUGCCUGGGAAAGUUUGGACGUACAAGGGUUUCAUGGCAUAUAUAUAGAAUGUCCAAAGGAUCAAUGCAAAUGAGAAAUUCAAAGCACUUACAUGGGCUAGAAGGCUCAGAUUCCGGUCAGACUGAUAAGAUCUGGUGUUCCUCUUCCCGCUGAUGAUCUCAAGUACCACAACACCAAAGCUAAAGACAUCAGACUUUUCUGAGAAAAACCCAUCCAAUGCAUACUCUGGAGACAUAUAGCCACUGCAUUGAACCAGUUAAAAACACUACUCAGUUAAUUGGGGAUGCAAUCAUGCAACUACUUGCAUUUUACCAUACACAAUAUGCAGUACUUACUAAGUUCCAACUACUCUGUUUGUGCUUGCUUCUACUUGCUUACUCUCAAAAAUCCUUGCCAAGCCAAAGUCUGAAAUUUUGGGAUUCAUCUCGUCAUCAAGUAGAAUGUUGCUUGUUUUCAAGUCUCUAUGGAUAAUCUUCAAUCUUGAAUCUUGGUGAAGAUAAAGUAGCCCUCGAGCAAUUCCCAAAAUGAUAUCAAAUCGCUUCUCCCAGUUCAGUAACAGGCAUAGAGUUUGAUCUUGCAAUGUUCCCAUUGGAAAGCACGACUUCAGCAUGUACACGUUGUAAUAUGGGAGAAAAAAAAAGGAACUUUUAGGCAGGUUAGAGGCAAACCAAAUAUGAAGGAGUCUAAGCUUUUGUUGGGCAUGUAUUCAUAGAGUAAAAUCUUCUCAUCUCCUUCAAUACAAUAGCCCAAAAGUCUAACCAAAUUUCGAUGCUGAAGUUUGGCAAUUAACACAACCUCGUUCUUAAAUUCCUGUAAGCCUUGUCCCGAAGCUCUUGAGAGUCUCUUUACUGCAAUUUCUCGCCCUUCAGGAAACUUUCCCUAGAUGCCAUAGCGCAUGGUAUUAGACAGACAAACCAGAAACCUUGAAAUGAGACUAAUGUGGAAAUUAAGGACUAUUACUUUGUAAACUGGCCCAAAGCCCCCCUGUCCAAGCUUAUUUGCAUCUGAAAAGUGAUCUGUAGCAGCCAGUAUGUCUUCUAAGUCGAAAAAUGGUACGUCAAUGCCUUUCUUAUCAUCUUCUUUGAAUUGCUCAGAGUCUAUUAAGUCUUUCACACGGCUCUCGCUAUGAUACAAGUGAAGCCCUGGAUUUGUUCUGUUUUCUGAAUUCAGAAACAAGACUACAUUAUGAAGAAGUCCCCUAAAAAUAUUAUCAAUUCUGCCAAUCAACACGAAACAAAAAAAGACCAGAACUUAAACGGUGGCGCAAAUAGCACAAAGAUUACCUUGCCCUUUGGAGAUGGUUCUUUUUCGAAAAUAAGCAAUACAACCAAUGAUGCAUAGAAGUCCAACUACUACAACAGCAGUUACUAUGCCUACCACAACUACCAGAGCCGAGGAUGAUGAUGAUGACUUCUGGUUUGCAGGUGUUGGAGCCUCCGCAAGAUUGCCACCAUCUGAAACAAAGAAAGACCACUCUCAUUCAUGGAGAAGGCAGCGCAUCUGCCAUUACUAAUCACUGUGUCUUUCAAUGCAAUUUAGCAAUAUGCUUGCUGAAAAGCAUCCUCACCUUGUGUACAAUUUAAACUGGAGCUGUUCCAUUUGAAGUUUUGAUUACAAAAACACCUUCUCGUUCUAUUUUGCGUUCUGCAACUCGAAUUUGGCCAGUCCUUGCAGUCUGUUGCUGAGUUACAAACCGGCUCUGGUGGUGGAUCCCAACUUAUUUCAAUUUCAUACUGACCUUUCAUAGGCAUGCUGGAGCUAGAAUUUCCUGUGUCAGCAUUGCACCAGCUAGUUAUCCUGAAAGGUGGAUUGAGCUGCAGUAUCUUCGUGUCUUGUGAAUUUCGUGCUUCGCAGUUAUCAAUAUCAUUCACUUGGAUGAGAAACUUCGAUCUCUCUGGAGUGAUGCUGGUUACUCGGUAGCUGCCAUUAGGUAAGGCGAACCAGACUUGGUCUGUGGCCUUGUCACAUCUGAAACUGAAGUACAUGGGAUCACCACAGUUUGGUCCAGUGCUUAGUGGAUAGGGGAUCAAGUUUGUGCCACAAGUUUCACAAUUUCUUACUGUUGAUUCUGCAGAAUUAGAAUGAAUUUCAAGAUUUUCCUCAUUAACAAUCAAUUAAAUUCAGAAGUAGAAGGGGGCAAGCAGAGAGGAUACCUAUAUCUGAUUUGGCGACACGGAGAGAAAGAUUAUAGCCAUCUGUGUUAUACUCCUGAAGACUACCGAGAUCUUCAGACCAAACCAGCACUUGGGAGGGGUGCUAGCACGGCCCCUUCGUAUCGUUCCAACUCCAGCAUAAGCUUGACAGCGACAGGUCUUAAGGCACUCUCUUCUGCAUUCACUUUCAUCCUUAUCCGAAAACUCAAUGUCAUACUUUCUUACUUUAAUCAUCUUCAAGAUCAAGAAUGUGUCCCCACAGAGGGUUGUCUUUUUAGAACACCCACCUGAAAAAUCUCCAUUAGUCCAUCUCUCCAGCGAGUUAGGCUCGAAUCCAGGCAAACAUUUGCACAUAAAUGCAUUGUUAACAUUGCAAGAACCGAAAUUCCCACAAGCAUUCAACACACUGCAUCGGUCUUGCGGCGCCCACCAGAAUGCAGACCACUCCUCCGUAUAAUUAUCCCAAACUAGAUAUCUUAUUUCCCCGGUGAAAUUCAUCACCAACCGUGUAUAAGAACUGCGGACAAAUUCAGACCCAGUUGGUUUUCGGGUCUUGCUAAAAUUGGAUAAGAGCUCGGCUGCUGCAGAACUCAUUCCUUCUGAUUCCUCACUUCUCCAAUAUUUAACAAUUGAAUCUUCAAAUAUGAUAUACUGAUCUUUAUCAUCAUCUUGCUUGAAAGUAUAGCUUCCAGGUGCAGGGUCAACGGGGCUUACCCAUGAAGUCAAUGUUAAGUUUCCCUCCAUAAUCAUCCCAGGAAGAAAAGUAUCAGUUGGGUUCUUGAAACUCUCCCAAAGAAUCUUCCCAGAUCUGUUGUCCCUUAAAACAAAGUUCCCAGAAUCCAUGACCUUGGCCACCCUACCCAUGGAAGAUGAGCUUCCAAGAUUAGUAAACCAGUAAGCUGCUCCACUUUCAUUCACUAGCUUGAGGUUACCGUCAUCUGCAAUGGCAAGAGCUCCAACACUGUCGUCAGGAAGGGGGUUGUCUCUAUUGGCUACCCAUACAACUGUUCUCUCCUUCAACCCGUAGUACCAUAUGCCAAUGUAUUUUCCAUUGUUGAACCCUCCCUUGGGAAUAAAGAAGCCCAAUUCAAAAGUUUGAUUGGCUGAAACAAGAGUUCCUCUACCAUCAUCAAUAAGCAAAUUGUCUGGUGUGAUGGUAUCUCUAGCAGAGCAGCACAGGAUAGAACACAAGAAGAAAAAGAUUGCAUGUCGCAUUGAAUUGCAGAGACUGAAACCAUUAAUUUUCAUCUAGUCCUUUGCAGGAUAGAACCCAAGAAGAAAAAGAUUGCAGACAGCAUAUGAGUUGCAGAGACUGAAACCAUUAAUUUUCAUCUAGUCCUGUUGCCCACCAUUUUUUUUAAUGGUAAGAGUAUGAAAAGUUUGGUGGCAGAGUUGAGUGUGGGGUUGCUGCUGCUGUAACGCACUCUCAAUAUUAUCAUAAAUAAAUAAAUAAAGAUUAUUAAAAAAAAAAAAAAAACCUCCAUUGUAUCUAGGUUGACAUCUUAUUAUGGGAAAAGAAAGAAAGGAAAAAAAAGCAAUGCAGAAUUAAAUUAAAAAAAAAUCCAAAAAAUUAAAAGUGAAAUGGAAAUUCUGCCCUCCCUAAAAAUAUAAAUUUAGUUUUAAUUCUUUUUUUAAUUAAAAAAACAAUAAUGAUAAUUAAACAUUAUUAAUAAAAAAUAAUACUUACCUUUGAGUAUUAAUGAUAUAUUAAGAUUUAAUUAAAAUUUAAAAAUAUAUUUUAUGUUAAUACCUAUUUCUUCCCUUUUUAUCCUAUCUUUAUCUUUUUUUUAGUGGAACCAUUGUUCCAAUUUAUUUUGCAUUAAUUCAAAUUAUAUGAGCUUUUUUGUUUUAUAAUAAACCCUUCAAUGAAAUUGACUUUUUAAAAUUUUGUAUUUGAUGGUUUAUAAGCUUUAAUUUAAUGGUGGGUUAUCUAUAGUUUUAAUCUUAAUAUUUAAAAAAAAAUAUUUUUAAAAUUUGUGACAUUUAAUUAAAUAAUAAAUUUUGCUUUCUUUAGUUUUUGAUGAUUUACUCUUAUUGAAUUGUUUAUAUGAAGUGAUAGCUUAUGUUUUAUUUUAAUUAUAAAGCUGAUGCACCUUAAUAAAAUAUUUUGACUAUAAAUAAUAUCGGUAAAGAUCUCUACACAUAUUGUGUAAUAUAUUUGAUGAAGACCUCUACAUAUAUUGUCUACUUUUGAGUCCAUUAGCUUUUAUAUUCCUACUUAUAACAUUGUUUACAUAUUCCAAAUAGCUAAUGGGUGGUCAUCCUCAUGUUUUCAAUUAGGAAUUAGUUUUAAUAUCACUUAACCCAACUCAUGUAACCUUAUUUUCUUUAAACCCAUUAAUCCUCGCAACUUUAAACCCUAACAACAAAUGGGCCACCCUUAAAGUACUAAAAAUUUCUUAUUCAAAUGAUAUGAAAUAUUAUAUUCGAUCAUUUAUAUAGACACAUUGUUCUCAUCAUGACCCAUAGGGUUUAUGGAUAGUCAAAACUCUACAUAUUUUUUAUUAGGGAUUAGCACAACCUACUAGACUUCUUGAUUUUACGUAUACUAAAUGCAUCACUCUUCUAAGUAUUACGAAUUCUCAUAUGAGAAUUUGAAAAAGGGAAAAGUGGGUUUUUCCUCACUAAUUUAAAGAUAUAUAGAAAAAAAAACCUCAAAUUUUAUAAAUAAGUUUUAUCUUUAUCAAUUUAAAAAUAUUUUAAAAUACAUACACUUUUACAUAAAUCAGAUAAUUAUUUUUUGAAAUAGCACUUUACUUGAUAAUAUAAAAUAAAAUUAUCAAAAAAUAUUUAUCAUUUUAAGUUAAUAAAAGUACAUUGCAAACAAAUAUAUUAUAAAUUUUUAUUAUAUAAUAUAAGGUACAAAUCAUUAUGGAAAAAUUCAGUAUAUUCCUCAAGUGAUAAAUAAUUUUUUUGCUAAUUCUCUAGCUAAUAAUGAUUUUAUAUUUUAUAUUAUAUAAAUCCCUUCAUCUUCUUACCUUUUUUUAAAAAAAAUAAAAUUGAAUAAAAUUUUUGUUGAUUUACAUCAACAAUAAAAUAAGAAACUUAAAAAAAAAAACCUAAAAGUUAAAAUAUAAAAAUAAAAUAUUGACUUUCAAUUGGCGUACACUAGUUAAAAAUCUAGAUAUAAUGGAAGGCAAUAUUUUCUUUUAUUUUAUUUUAUUUUAAAUUUUUAAGUAUUUUAGUUUUAAUUGUAUUUUUAAAAUUUUAAAUUUCUUAUUUUAUUGUUCCUAAGGAUGUUUGUUUCUAGAGAGAGAAAAAAAAUCUUAAAUCAAGUCUCACAAUUAACAGAACUAAAAGAAAAAUUAGUUUUUUACAAUUAAAUAUUUAUGUAUCUACUUGUUAAUUGGUAUUAUUAACAUAGUAAGUGCAAGUAAAAUGUUAUUUCAGAAAAUAAUUAUCUGACUUAAAAAAAUAUAUGUAUUUUAAAAUAUUUUUAAAUGGAAGAAGAUAAAAUUGAUUUAUAAAAUUUGGGGGUUUUCUUUUCUAUAUUUUUUUUUCAAACUAGUGACUUAUAAUCCACUUUUCCCAAAUCAACACAUUUACACCGAUUAAAAUAAUGAUAUAAAUAACAUUUUUUUUCUUAACUUUCAUGUUUUAUUAAGAUAUCAUGUUUUGUACCUAAAAAGAAAAGAAUGACAAAGAAAAUAAUUUUCUCACAUGUAAUAGAAAAAGAAAAAUAGUAAGGAAAUGAUGAGAGAAAAUUUAAAAGAUUUUCUUUUCCAUUUUCAUUAGAUAAAAGCAUGAAAAAUUUAGGAAAAAAAAUAUAUACUACUCAAUAAUUCAAUUUUCUAGAAACCAAAUAUAGUCUAAUAUUGCUCUACGUUCAAAGUCAAUUUUCAACAAUGAAUUCUCCUCUUACAGUACUUCUUCUUAACUCGAUUGUGACAAGUGUUGUCAUAUGAAUUUUCUUCCCUCAAUCUACCUACUGUGAAAUGUAAUGUAAAAAAAAAGAAAAAGUACUCCUAAUCGAAUAAUGAGUAAUCACUAGAGACUUUGGAGUGUAGCAUGCAUCCUAUUCUUUAAUUAUUGUCUCUCAAACCAGUCUUAACAUUUUUAUUCAUUGAAUUAAAUUAUUAAAUAUACAAAUUAUUGACUGGUGUCUAAGUUUUUUCUUUCUUCAAUUUCUAGCUUUAAGUUCCCAAAUGAAAAAAAAAAAUUGUCAAGAUCUUGAUUAGAAAAACCUAUUGUUUAAUUGGAAAUAAAGUGGACUCAGUCUCCUUUCUUGUUGAUACAUUGCUUUCAUCUCUUUUCCUUCUGGCUGGCUACUAUGCUUCCCGCUCUCUUCCCAAGCCUAAAAGAAGGAUAACAUUUUGUUUGUUCCUCCGCCCCCCCUAUGAAUACAUGUCACUGGCUAUGAUCAUGAUGAUGUUCAUUUUUUAAAACAAAGAAAAAUGAAAAAUAUGAGCAUCAACCAAUAAAUUUUAGUACCCUUUCUCCAACUUGGAGGAGUUCCAAAUGGGUAAUUUUUUUAUAUUUUUGUUAUAAUUUUUAUGUUUUUUAUUUUAAAUAAACAAGACAAUCCAUUUUUCUUCUGAACAUUUUUUCUUUUCCCCUUUAGCCCUAAUGGCAGUCCACUUCAAAUAUUUUUGUGCCCAAAGGGUCAAAACUAAGGAAAGAUUCAAGAAAAAAUUAGGAGAAUUAAAAAUCAAAGCCCAAAAAGGGUUCCAGCAAGUGGAUGAUUUUUCUCAGUCAACUACUGCAAUUUGGGUCUUCCUUCCUCUACUUCCUAUUUUAUUUCCCAUAGGUAGGUUAGGCACAUUGACAUCUUUUUAUCCAUUUCUGUUUGCUUUUGUGCUUUUUUGGGAAAUCAUAAUCUGAUGUAGAUCCUGAUGGAACAGGUUUCUAUAGAAAAAUCAACAAGGGCUUUUUUUUUUUUACUUUUAGUUAGAUUCUGUUAUCUCAUGGGUAUGGCAUGGAAGAAUUGAUCCUUCACUCAAAAUUGAGAGGAAAAAAAAUAGAUGUUUAUUUAUUUUUGUAUUAUAGCUCCUUUACACAUGUCACAAUCCCAUUUGCCUUAAUUCGUAGGCAUGACAUCCAAAAGUACUUUUCAGUACCAUAAUUUGAUGGAAAAAGUGGGUUUUGACUCGUUAAGGAAAAUUCUAUAUUACCUCAUGGGUAUGGCAUGGAUGAAUUGACCAUUCAAUGAAAAUUAAGGGGAAAAAAUAGAUGUUUAUUUAUUUUUGUGUUAUAGCUCCUUUACAUAUGUCACAAUCUCAUUUAUAUUAAUUUGUUGGCAUGGCAUCCGAAAAUAAUUUUCGAUACCAUAAUUUAAUGAGAAAAUAAGUUUUGAUUCACUAAUAUGAAAUAUAUAGAUAAAAAAAAAUCUUAAUUUUUCAAAAUCAAUAUUAUCUUCAUUUAUUUAAAAAUCAACAAGGGGUUUUUUUUAUUUAAUUUAUAGGAAUAUUCUAUGUUACCUCAUUGGUAUGGCAUGGAAGAAUUGACCAUUCAUUGAAAAUUAAGGGAAAAAAUAGAUAUUUAUUUAUUUUUGUAUUAUAGCUCCUUCACACAUGUCACAAACCUAUCUAUGUUAGUAGUACAUGUGAUGCUUGCAAAUAAACACAAAUAGGAGAAGGUGCAGAGUUAGCAUCACAUGUUCAUGUAUUACAAUAUGAUUGGUUCUUUCUCUUUCCUCCAUAAAAUUCUCUUAUAUAGUUGACUGGUUCUUUCUCAUAUAUGGUUGUAGAUAUGAUUUGAUCAAACCGCAUUAAAACCCGGGUAACUUAGUUUGCUUUAUUUAUGUUAUUCUGUUCAAUCUGGCAUUAUAGUUUUUUAUCUUGCAAGGAUUCCAUUGAAAAACAUAACUGAAAGGGCUUUUAAGAUUUGGAGUAUAAAUAUAGUUUCCAAUAUCUUCCAAUAUAUGUUGUGGGCUCAGAAAGAAGUCCUCCCAAUUGUACUGAAAAAUCAGUGCAUUUAUGCUGCAAUUUGUUAAUAUAGUUCAGUCAGAAACAGAGCAGAUAAACAGAUAUAACAACAAAAUCCUGGGAGUUGGACAAUUUAUUAGCAGCCUUCACCAUGUACAGGAUCCCAUAGAGACGUCCAAAACAGAGCAUCAAAUGGGAACUCCUCCUGGACUAUCAACCUUCUUCUAUGGUAGCUAGGAUUUCACUGUUCCAGGAUGCUUCAGGUUUGCUAGAAGAAGAAGCUGUCCUAGAAAGGUCUCUUUUUAUGACAAAUGCCGGUUGUUUAGGAACCGGCAUUGUUGCAAUGUCACUACUGAGCAUUACAACUGCAACUGCUAUGGUGGGUCGGUCACUUGGGUCUUCUUGCACACACAACAACCCAACAUUCACACACCUCAAAAAUUCUUUUGUGUUGCAUGUUUCGCUUAGUGUCUGGUCCAUCAGCUCCAACACCUUGUCUUCUUUCAAUAGCUUCCAUGCCUGGGACAGUUUGAGAAUAGAAAGUUAAGUAUGGUAUGGUAUAUCGUUGAGAACGACUAAAAGAUCAAUGCAAAUGAGAGAUUCAAAGCCCUCACUUGACCCAGAAGGCUCAGUGUUUGGUCAGACUGAUAAAAGCGAGUGUUCCUCUUCCCACUGAUGAUCUCAAGCACCAUAACACCAAAGCUAAAGACAUCAGACUUCUCUGAGAAAAACCCAUCCAAUGCAUACUCUGGAGACAUAUAGCCACUGCAUUGAACCAGUUAAAAGCACUACUCUGUUAAUUGGGGAUGCGAUCAUGCAACUGCUUGCUUUUUUCAGUACACAAUAUGCAAUACUUACUAAGUUCCAACUACUCUGUUUGUGCUUGCCUCUACUUGCUUACUGUAAAAAAUCCUCGCCAAGCCAAAGUCUGAAAUUUUGGGAUUCAUCUCAUCAUCAAGUAGAAUGUUGCUUGUUUUCAAGUCCCUAUGAAUAAUCUUCAGUCUUGAAUCUUGGUGAAGAUACAGCAGCCCUCGAGCAAUUCCCAUAAUGAUGUCAAACCGCUUCUCCCAGUUCAGUAACUUGCAUAGGGUUCGAUCUUGCAAGGUUCCCAUUGGAAAGCAUUACUUCAGAUAUGUAUACAAGAAUGUAUAUGUUACAUGAAAAAUAAAAGGGCUUUAAGGCAGGUUUAGAGACAAACCAAAUAUGAAGGAAUCUAAGCUUUUGUUGGGCAUAUAUUCAUAGAGUAAAAUCUUCUCAUCACCUUCAACACAAUAGCCCAAAAGUCUAACCAGAUUCCGAUGCUGAAGUUUGGCAAUUAACACAACCUCAUUCUUAAAUUCCUGUAGGCCUUGUCCUGAAGCUCUAGAGAGUCUCUUAACCGCAAUUUCUCGCCCCUCUGGAAACUUGCCCUGGAAGCCACAGUGCAUAUGCAUUGGGCAUAUGUUAGAACUUGGUGACUUGAAUUCUAUUUGGUUCGAUUCCAGAAGCUCGCGAUGCGACAUAGGUAGUAAAGCUAAAAUUAUGAAUUUUUUUUUUGGUCUAUGGUAGUAACAGAGGGAUCGGACCUAUUACUCUUUCAUGUAUAUAUAUAUAUAUAUAUAUAUACAUGCGGUGAUAUAUAGUUUUCAAUGUUAUGAUGAUUAUGUUUUUGCUAUAGUCGUCCGUAUCUCUUUCCUCUUGUACUAAUUUUUGACAUAGUAAAAUUUCUUCUCUUUGUGGUCUUUCUUAUCUAGGGUUUUCCACACAAAUCUAUGUGUUCUUAUCCUGUUUUAUUCCUUAUUGCAUAUUCUCAUUAUUUUGUAACAGCAUUGAUGAUGAGAAAUCAGUUGAAAAUGAGAGGAACAUGGAAGUUAAGAACAAUUACCUUGUAAACUGGACCAAAACCCCCUUGUCCAAGCUUAUUUGCAUCUGAAAAGUUAUCUGUAGCAGCCAGUAUGUCUUCUAAGUCGAAAAACGGUACAUCAAUGCCUUUCUUAUCCUCUUCUUUGAAUUGCUCUGAGUCUAUUAAGUGUUUCACAUGACUCUCACUAUCAUAUAAGUGAAGCACUUGAUUUGCUCUGUUCUCUGAACUCAAAAAAAAAACAGAAAAUAUUGUAUAGAAGACCCUGAAAUAUUCUCAAUUCAGCCAAGCACAAGUCGAAAAGAAAAGACCAGAAGUUAUAGGCUAGUGCAUAUGGCACAAAGAUUACCUUUCCUUUUGGUGAUGGUUCUUUUGCGCAAACAAGCAAUAUAACCAAUGAUGCCUAAAACCGCAACUAGAACGACAGCAAUUGUUAUGCCUACCACAACCACUGGAGAUGACGACGAUGACUUCUGAUCAGCAGGCUUUGUACCCUCUGCAGGAUUGACACCUGAAACAAAGAAGGAACUGAAUUGAACUUCUCUCACCUACCCAGAAGGCAAAUUUAGUAAGAUACUUGGUGAACAGAAUCCUCACCUUGUGUACAAUUUAAACUUGAGCUAUUCCAUUUGAAGUUUUCAUUGCAAAAGCACCUUCUCGUUCCAUCUCGCGUUCCGCAGGUUGAAUUUGGCCAGUCCUUGCAAUCUGCUGAUGAGGUACACACCGGCUCCAAUGGUGGAUCCCAACUGAUCUCUACUUCAAUACUAUUUUUCAAUGACAUCUCAGAGCCAAAAUUGUCAGUUCCAACCUCUUUGCACACAUCAGUCAAGUGAAAAGGCGGGUUUAGUGGCGGAAUCAGACUUCGUGAACUGCAAUCCGCUUCUUUCAGUUGGAUUACAAAUGUUAAUGUCUCUGGGUUAAUGCUAGUUACUCGGUAGGGACCACCAGGUACCUUGAACUGAACCUGGGCUGUGAUAUUGUUACAUUCAAAAUUGAAGUACGUUGAAUCACCACACUUUGAUCCAGUGCUUAGAGGAUAAGGAAUCAUGUUUGAGCCACAAGUUUCACAAUUCCUUAAUGUUGUUUCUGCAAAGACAGUAGAAUACCAUGUGGGCAUUUCAGUUACAAAUGGAUUAAUGCUUGUUUUUUCAAAGAAAAAAUAAAAUAAAAAUUGAAAGGGACAUACUUAUAUCUGAAAUGGCCACACGAACGGAGAGGUUGUAGGCAUCAGAGGCAUACUCCUCCUGAAGAUCAGUAAGGUCAUCCGUCCAAAUCAAGCAAUAUUCUAGGGCAUCAGUGACACCUCUUUGUCGUUUGAUAUAAGUUUCAGCAUAAGCUUGACAUCGGCAUUCUUUAAGGCAAGCCUUUCUGCAAUAAUCACUAUCAUUCGUAUCUGGUAUAAUCACACGGUCUGGCUUUCUCACUUUCAUCAUCUUUAAGCUCAGGAACACGUCUUCACUGGAACUCUUCUCGCAUAUGGGAGACUUUCUGGUACACCCACUUGAAAACUCUUCAGUUUUCCAAAUAUCCGGCGAGGCGGGUUUGAACCCAGGUAAACAUUUGCACAUCAAAGCAUUGUUAGUGUUACAACUACCGAAUUUCCCACAAGCUUUUGGCACACUGCAUCGAUCUUGCGGUGCCCACCAGUCUGGAGAUGAUCUACUCGGAUUCAGAUAGUACCUGAUUUCCCCUGAAGAACUCAUCACCAACCGACUGGUAUUCUUAUACCUGGAGGACACUAUUUCAAGGGUUCUAUUGUAGAAUUUUCCAGGGCUGGUUGACUUGCCGGUCUUGCUGAAGUUGGAUAACAAGCUGAGUAUUGCAUAUGGCAUUUCUUUCGAGUCCUCACUGCUCCAAUAUGAGACAAAUGAAUCCUGUAUGUUAUACUGAUCCUCAUUGUCUUGAUCUAGCUUGAAAGUAAAGUUUCCAGGUGCCGGGUCAACAGAACUCAGCCAUGAAGUCAAUAUUAAGUUUUCAUCCAUCUUCAUCCCAGGAAGAAAAGUAUCUGUAGGAUGAUCGAAGCUCUCCCAAAGAAUUAUCCCUGAUCUGUUGUCACUCAAAACAAGGUUCCCAGAGUCCAUGAGCUUCACCACCCUCCCUGUUGAUGAAUAUGUUGCAAUAUCAGAAGACCAGUGAACUGUCCCAUUUGCAUCCAAUACCUUGAGCUCACCAUCUUCUUUAAUGGCAAAAACUCCAGAGGGGGUAUCAGAAAGGGGAAGGGGUUUCUUUCGGUUGGCCACCCAUACAACGCUUCGUGGUUUCGACUUGUAAUACCAUAUGCCCACGAAUCUUCCAAUCUUGGAGCUUCCAUUUGGAUUAAAGAAGCCAAGUUCAAAGGUUUUGCCUGCAGAAACAACAGUUUCUCCAUCAUCACUAAGCCAGUCCUCCGGUGUGAUGGUAUCUCUAGCAGAGCAAUACAGGACAGAACACAAGACGAAAAAGAUGGUAGAUAGCAUGUGAGUUGCAGAGACAGGAACCAUGAAUUUUCUUCUUAUCAUUUUGCCUCUUUUUAGAGCUGUGUCCUCAAAUCUAUAGUUUUUAGUGGAGACUUUUCCUCUUGACCCUGAGUGGAGCAAAGUCACGUACUGUUCUUAGUCUUCCUCCCGCAAACCAAAUAAGGGUUGUCCUUUUGUACCCACUAUUUAUUUUGGACCUACCUACCCUCGUUUCAGGACUUUUCUUAAUAGUACGGUAAUUUAAAAAAAUUAUGCUUAAAUUAUUGUAGUAGAAAAAGUUAUUACAAAUAUAUGGUAGUUUUUGCCACCUAGGAGAGAGGAGAUAGGAGAGAAAAGAGAGGGUGAACAGAUAAUUUUUUUUUUAAACCAAAAUCAUCUUUUCAAAUUUCAAAAGACGAAAUCGUCUUUUCAAAAGACGAUUUUAAAAAAAUUUCAAAAGGGAAAUCGUCUCUUUAAGAGACGAGUUCCCAUGAAAAAAAAUAUAUAUUUUUUUUUUAAAAAUUCCCAAAUUAUAAAAAAAAUAAAAAAAUAAAAAAUUCCUCAAGGGAACUCGUCUCUUCAAGAGACGAAUUCCCAUGAAAAAAAAAAAAUCCUCAAGGGAACUCGUUUCUUCAAAAAUAUAUAUAUAUAUAUAUAUAUAUAUAUAUAUAUAUAUAUAUUUAUAUAUAUAUAUAUAUAUAUAUUUAAAAAAUUCCCAAAUUAUAUUUAAAAAAAAAAAAAAAAAACAAUUCAUCAAGGAAACUUGUCUCUUGAAGAAAUUAAAAAAAAAAAAAGAAUUCCCAAAUUNNNNNNNNNNNNNNNNNNNNNNNNNNNNNNNNNNNNNNNNNNNNNNNNNNNNNNNNNNNNNNNNNNNNNNNNNNNNNNNNNNNNNNNNNNNNNNNNNNNNNNNNNNNNNNNNNNNNNNNNNNNNNNNNNNNNNNNNNNNNNNNNNNNNNNNNNNNNNNNNNNNNNNNNNNNNNNNNNNNNNNNNNNNNNNNNNNNNNNNNNNNNNNNNNNNNNNNNNNNNNNNNNNNNNNNNNNNNNNNNNNNNNNNNNNNNNNNNNNNNNNNNNNNNNNNNNNNNNNNNNNNNNNNNNNNNNNNNNNNNNNNNNNNNNNNNNNNNNNNNNNNNNNNNNNNNNNNNNNNNNNNNNNNNNNNNNNNNNNNNNNNNNNNNNNNNNNNNNNNNNNNNNNNNNNNNNNNNNNNNNNNNNNNNNNNNNNNNNNNNNNNNNNNNNNNNNNNNNNNNNNNNNNNNNNNNNNNNNNNNNNNNNNNNNNNNNNNNNNNNNNNNNNNNNNNNNNNNNNNNNNNNNNNNNNNNNNNNNNNNNNNNNNNNNNNNNNNNNNNNNNNNNNNNNNNNNNNNNNNNNNNNNNNNNNNNNNNNNNNNNNNNNNNNNNNNNNNNNNNNNNNNNNNNNNNNNNNNNNNNNNNNNNNNNNNNNNNNNNNNNNNNNNNNNNNNNNNNNNNNNNNNNNNNNNNNNNNNNNNNNNNNNNNNNNNNNNNNNNNNNNNNNNNNNNNNNNNNNNNNNNNNNNNNNNNNNNNNNNNNNNNNNNNNNNNNNNNNNNNNNNNNNNNNNNNNNNNNNNNNNNNNNNNNNNNNNNNNNNNNNNNNNNNNNNNNNNNNNNNNNNNNNNNNNNNNNNNNNNNNNNNNNNNNNNNNNNNNNNNNNNNNNNNNNNNNNNNNNNNNNNNNNNNNNNNNNNNNNNNNNNNNNNNNNNNNNNNNNNNNNNNNNNNNNNNNNNNNNNNNNNNNNNNNNNNNNNNNNNNNNNNNNNNNNNNNNNNNNNNNNNNNNNNNNNNNNNNNNNNNNNNNNNNNNNNNNNNNNNNNNNNNNNNNNNNNNNNNNNNNNNNNNNNNNNNNNNNNNNNNNNNNNNNNNNNNNNNNNNNNNNNNNNNNNNNNNNNNNNNNNNNNNNNNNNNNNNNNNNNNNNNNNNNNNNNNNNNNNNNNNNNNNNNNNNNNNNNNNNNNNNNNNNNNNNNNNNNNNNNNNNNNNNNNNNNNNNNNNNNNNNNNNNNNNNNNNNNNNNNNNNNNNNNNNNNNNNNNNNNNNNNNNNNNNNNNNNNNNNNNNNNNNNNNNNNNNNNNNNNNNNNNNNNNNNNNNNNNNNNNNNNNNNNNNNNNNNNNNNNNNNNNNNNNNNNNNNNNNNNNNNNNNNNNNNNNNNNNNNNNNNNNNNNNNNNNNNNNNNNNNNNNNNNNNNNNNNNNNNNNNNNNNNNNNNNNNNNNNNNNNNNNNNNNNNNNNNNNNNNNNNNNNNNNNNNNNNNNNNNNNNNNNNNNNNNNNNNNNNNNNNNNNNNNNNNNNNNNNNNNNNNNNNNNNNNNNNNNNNNNNNNNNNNNNNNNNNNNNNNNNNNNNNNNNNNNNNNNNNNNNNNNNNNNNNNNNNNNNNNNNNNNNNNNNNNNNNNNNNNNNNNNNNNNNNNNNNNNNNNNNNNNNNNNNNNNNNNNNNNNNNNNNNNNNNNNNNNNNNNNNNNNNNNNNNNNNNNNNNNNNNNNNNNNNNNNNNNNNNNNNNNNNNNNNNNNNNNNNNNNNNNNNNNNNNNNNNNNNNNNNNNNNNNNNNNNNNNNNNNNNNNNNNNNNNNNNNNNNNNNNNNNNNNNNNNNNNNNNNNNNNNNNNNNNNNNNNNNNNNNNNNNNNNNNNNNNNNNNNNNNNNNNNNNNNNNNNNNNNNNNNNNNNNNNNNNNNNNNNNNNNNNNNNNNNNNNNNNNNNNNNNNNNNNNNNNNNNNNNNNNNNNNNNNNNNNNNNNNNNNNNNNNNNNNNNNNNNNNNNNNNNNNNNNNNNNNNNNNNNNNNNNNNNNNNNNNNNNNNNNNNNNNNNNNNNNNNNNNNNNNNNNNNNNNNNNNNNNNNNNNNNNNNNNNNNNNNNNNNNNNNNNNNNNNNNNNNNNNNNNNNNNNNNNNNNNNNNNNNNNNNNNNNNNNNNNNNNNNNNNNNNNNNNNNNNNNNNNNNNNNNNUCAUGUCUUAGCUGCUACACGUAUAUCAGAAUUUCGGGGCUGUUCAGACUUGGGCAAUAUAUGGCCAGUUUAUUCAUCCAACCUACCAGUACUUUCUGGUUAUGGAGCAUCACGAUCAGAUGUUAAUUGUAAGAGCUUUGCGUCCAUUUGACGAGAUUGGACAUGUAAUCAGCAGGAGGGAGAAUUCCGUUAAAAGUGUAAGGAAGUCCAUGAUACAUUGGGAAGGCCUGUAUUACUCAAUCUCCUUAGAUACGGAAUGGUAAAAUAGAAGAGAACAUCUUGUUUAAUAAGAAGAUGGACAGAGAAAGGUAUGAAAGGGUUCUUGAUGCAUAUUCCUUGAAAAAGAACCUGGAGGUUCUCUCAUUUGGUGAUCAGACAGUUAUAGUGCUGUGGAUGCUCGCGCAGGAACCAAUUUCUUUAAAGAAUAUUUGUUGUGUCUCUUAGGUUCGAAAGUAGUGAUUUAUGUUACGCAUCAAGUAGAGUUCUUACCUGUUGCUGAUUUCAUAUUGGUCAUAAAAGAUGUAAUCUUUCUUUCAGAGCAAGAACCCAUGUUAUCCUUUGCUUCAGAAUUACUAGAUCAUGUGGGCUUUCAAGAGAACGAAAUUGUGACAGAGGCUUUCAUAUAGGCACUUACAAGCAAGAAGAUUCUGAAUCUGUAUACUUGGAAGCUUCAGUUUUUAAGGCUCUGUUUCAUUUCAUAUAUUGAGAUCCAUUACCUAGCAUAGAAGAGUUCUUCUACUUUAAGAGGCUUAGUAUCUGCUCAACAGAUUGGUACAGUCCAGGUAGGUCCAGGCAGCUAUGCGAGUCUAAUCUCCGUGAAGAUGCUGCUGUAAAUAUUGUAGCAACUACCUUAGCUUGUGAUCAGAAUAGCACCUCUGUUUCCAGCUAAAAGCUGGAUGUCACAAAUUUGUUGAAAUCUUUGAAAAAUCUGAGAACCGUAGGCCUUUUGUCUGAUUCUCUUUCCAGUAACCCAAUCAGAAAAGGUAUUGGAGCAUGUCAUGGAGUGCAUUGUGCCAGUCUCUGGUUUAUCCAUGGUAGAAAGGCAACAAACUUGAUAAGUGGUUCACGUAUGCAAUGUUUAUAUGCAAUAAACAGAGUGCUAACAGUCUUUGUUACUACUUCUAAACUGGUCCAUUAUGUGAAAUAACCAGCUUAGAUCCAAGAUUUAUAAUCGGUUUGAUUUGGUCAGGAAAGACAAAGUGCUAUGCUCACUAGCUUGGUCGAUUGGCAUUAAUGUUGGCGAAUUUUGGAGCAUUCAUAUAAGCUUUAUAGAGUUUAUGAAACAGCAGUAGCGGCUGGGGAUCUGGAGUCAGUUCUCCAUGUACGAAACGAAAAUGGCAAUUUUUUUUUUGCACACCAGUGGAGAAGGCAAAUUCAAACUGCUCUUCUAAAAAGGAAUUUGUACGAAUCCCAGAAUUCUUUCUUAUGCUGUGCUUAAUAGGUAACAGAAGUGGUUGUGGAACUUGACACUGCAGUAUCAAGAGAAUAAGAGCAUGGAAGAAUGGCUUCAGUUGGUUCUGUCUUGUUAUCUAAGAGUCCAGUGAGUAUCAAAAAGCAAUAAAUUUUGAGAAGUCUUCAUCAGCAGAAUCAGGUCGUCAAUCUUCUUCCUCGACAUAGCUGGAUAUGACAUAGAAGAAAAGAAAGAUGAAAGAGCUGGCACUUGAAUUUUCACAGAGCCCCAUUAUUUAGGACAGCAACAUGUGGACCACCUUCAACUACCUUGACUCCAAUUGAUGGUUCAGAUGAAUAUGAAUUUGUUUCUAAACCCUCUGAGGCAGAAUCCCUCACGUGCCAGACAUACCAUGAGCUUAUUGCUUUAAUUUAUGACUCAAUUGAAGUUGUUAAUUAAGCCUAAACCAUAGUAGCAAUAUGAGGAAACUCUCUGCUAAUGUUCAUGAUUCAUUUCCUGAUUUGAGCAGUCGCACAUCUUUUGCAAAUAAAUUUGCAGAAACUGGUGUACCUAUGGGUAAUAAUGAUAAGUUACAUCACUUCGGUCUGUUAAUAUCUGAGUACAGAGGCUCCCAUAUGAGGUCUAGUCAGUCAUCAAAUCUAUCUACAAAUAUAGGCGAUCAAAGUCACUUCAUAUGUACCUUACAUGAGAGAGAUGCUUUAUUGCCCAGACAGAGUUCGAUAGGUGCUGCGUCCGAUCAAUCUCUUAUUGCAAAGACAUAAUCUGAUGAUUGUUGAAGAAAUAUAUGAUCUAAAUCCCGUGUUCAUCAAAAUGCCAUAGAUGCCCGGCAUUUAUCUCGCAUGGAGCAAGAAUUCAAUAGCUAUGACUUGACAGCAGCAACAAGUUCGCAAUCAGUUUCGAAUCCUACGGAUGCUCAAGCUGUCUUUGGAACCCUGACAAGAAGGAGUAGCUAUUCAGACUGUCUCCAACAAUACACCCAGCGCUGAUAGUUUCUGAUGGAUAACAGAGAUCAGUGCAAGGAAAUGGGAGGGUGCUGCUGCUGUUCUUCUAAGGGAAUUGAACUGAAUGGCAUACCAGCAUACUAUUCUUGCCCAAGAGCAUCAGAAGAACAUGAACUCUUAUCAUCUCGUCAUGGAACAGCCUCCACGCUCUCUACAGGACUCUUAGUUGAUACAGAUCUGGGAACAUCACCUUCUGACGCUUAUAGACCACCUCCUGCACCAAUUCCAUACGAUGUGGAUUGAGGACAUCCUCAAACUUCACCAGUUGCUGAAGAUAGCUAAUGUGGUCUUAUAAUGAGAACUCCCUGCUCCGUAUAAGAGGAAAGUCUUGAUUCAAGGUAGAAGGACGCAUGGUUCAAUCAGUGACUAAGAGAUACUUGGUUUUCGAAACGGCUAGGUCCAGAUUUUGCAGCUGUCGAUAGGGAUGUUCUGGCCAGAAUUGCAUAUUCUAAAUUAUUUGAUUGGGUUGUGGGCAAGACAAUUUGUUCUCCUUAUGACAGAUAGAUUGCAUUCGAAGAUGGAUGAUCUUUUAUAGACUGUGGAUUCUGCCAUUGACCUCCAUAACAAGAUGAUUAAAAAUGUGUACCUGAUAUUAAAACAGAAAUGAACUGGACAGUCCCAGAGAUCAAAGGUAACUUAGCUGAGCAAAUUGAAGAUGCUGGAAACUGCACCCUAGGAGGGAGGCUGCAAGACAAGCUCAGGUAAAAGCUGAUGAAAUUGCAAAGCUGAUGAAAGAAAAUGAGCAGCUAAAAAUUGUAAAUGAGGAUUUUGAAGAGAAAAUCCAAUGCAGCAGAAACUGAGUCUCUACGAGAAAAGCAAGCUGCUCCAGAAUUUCAGAUUGAGAAGUCAAGGGCACAGAUUAGAGAGUUUGAAGAAGAGAAGAAAUGACUGACAACCAAACUACAGGUGGAAGAGAAUAAGGUGGAGAGUAUUAAAAAGAGCAAGUGACAAGCAACACAAAUCGAAGCUUGCCACUGCCAGUGACUCUAAUGACGCUGCUGAUUCUAAAUUCAGGUUAAAAGAUUUAAAUUUGAGAGUAAAUAUAAUGUUUCUCAAUUCAAUAGAACCCACCAGUGGGCUUGCUUAGUUUGACAGAACACAUCAGCAAGUUAGCAUCUGACCAGCAUGAAUAAGAAUCAGUGGGCUCACUUUACCUUGAUUGUCCUCUUGUUGAUGAUCUCCAAGUGAAUCAGAGGUAGCAAGUCCAGGUAUCAGAAGGGUUGGGGUAACUUAACGAUGAGAGCAAGUGAAGAACCUACAGAUUGCCUAAUUGUUUCCAAGAUUACUCACAGUUAUGUUCCAGAUUUUGAAGAAUUCCAUAAGCACUGUGGAGUAGGAAAAGUUGUUUCUGGUUAUGUUUUAAAUGUCAAUAAGGAGCUUUAAGACAUGCCAAUAAACCGCCAAGGCGCCUAAUGAAGGUUGUGACCUAUAUCUAGAUGAUUUUGGGAUGCCCAGUUGCGGCUUCUGAACACAGGGACCUUUUCGAAGAGAAAAUAACAACAAAUUUCCGCAACAACCUCAUCAAUUUCAACAGCAGUUCGUUCCAAGUCAACAUCAACAGAAGCCAUCGGAAUCAAUUCCAGCAGAUCUCCUCUAAAGACCGUUCUAGAGCCCAAUACCAUUUUCCUCUUGCACCCUCCUGUUCUCCUCGUGCUUUUACGUGUUUUGAAUUGUGUUUUCAAAAUCGUUUUCAUCCAAAUAACCCUAACUUUAGGGAAUUACCCCCAAACUCUUUCUAGGUAUAAAAUCCCAGUUUUAACAUGCUAUUUGCUGCCACUUUCCUUCGGGUAUGCACUUUCAACGUUUUAUUUGAUCUUUAACUAUUUUUUGUGUUUUUCUUGAUUUUCAAUAAGCAUGAACAAACUCCAUAAUUCCAAGUCAUGGAAUUUAUGGAAUCAACUCGUGCGAAAUUAAUUAGGGCUUUGAUGGGGGCCCAACAUUCAUGAUAUCCUCUUCAAUAGUUUUUGUUUGACAUUUGAUUAAUUGUGUUUUCUCUUUGAGAUACGUGAGAUUAUUAUGCACCUAUUAUUAAGCAAUCUUGUUUCCCAUAGUGGCGUUUUAGCUUGCUAUCCAGGUACACUCCUUCACACUUAUUUUUGAGAAUUCCAUGGACAUAUGUGUUAUUGAUGACUAUAUCCAUACAUGAUGUGAUUUUUGGAUGUCUUGAUAUAUGCCUGAUUUGCUUGAAUAAAACAAAUGUUGUGUGCUACAUUUCUACACUAACUUUUAUGUUUUAUGAUAGCGCUUGAAGAGUGGUUCAGGUACGCACCUUAACUCUCCUUUAUCGCAAUUUGAUUGUGUUUGGCAUGCCACUCUCUAAAAUCACCUAGCCUUUAUAGGUAUCUAUAAUUAAUGGAUUAAUUGCCACACUUCCCUUAACUUUGUCAGUAGAGACCUUUUUAGGGCUUAGAGGGGUGCUACCUCCUAGAGGUACCUUCCCAAUAAGUAACCUGAUCCCCGGACCUAGACUCGGGUUUCUCAAAGACAUGUUUUUUCCAAAACUAUGGAGUCACUUUUUAGGGUUUUUCUUUCUUGUUUUAUUUUCCGUUUAAAAUAAAAAUAAAAUAGGUGGCGACUCCAACUUUUUUUUAAAAUUGAUUUUUCACAAAUAAAAAGCGAGUCUCGCCGAUCGAGUGGGGACGCACGUGAAAAAUGCGAGUCCACAAAUUGGCGACUCCGCUAGGGAUUUUGAGGAUCAAGCUUGAACAAUAGUUGAGGAAAAUGUGGCGUUUAAUUGGUCGAUUAGUGGGUACCUUUUUUUUUAGGCAAGGUGAUUUGAUUUGCUUGCUUGUUUGGUUUGUUAUCUUAACAUGUUUGAUUGCCUUGGAUGAUCACUUGAUUGUUUUGCUCACUUAGCAUGAUUCACUCUCACAUAUGUUAGAUAGGACUUUGUUUGUUUGAUAUUUAUUUGAUUCGCAUGACUGUUUGAUGUGAUCACUUAACUGUUUAUUCACUUUAGCAUGAUUCACUCUCACAUAUGCUAGAUAGGACUUUGAUUGUUUGAUAUUUAUCUGCUUCGCAUGGCUGCUUGUUGCAUGACAAUCCUUUCUCUUGGAUGUUCGUAUGAUUGCUUGUCUUCGUUCACUAUUUCACUUUAGAUCUUAGGUUUUUCGGAUGCACCCACAUCCUUUAUUAUGCACUUUAGAUUAUCCCUGAGUGUUGAGAGAUGGGAGAGCCUUCACCUUUAAGAAACCCCCUGGGAACGCGAGGAAGUGCAUGUGUGGAGGUGAUGACCACCUUGCAUGGAAGCACCCCGUCUCCUUGGAGGCGUGCAGAGGGUUGCGUACCGUCGGAGGGUACGAUCGCUUCUGCUAGGGAUCCUUUGACCCACCCAUUUUAUCCUAUAGAGCCGCCUCAACCUUGUAGGCUAACCUAGACCCAAUUAAGAAUUCACUCCUACACGUGGGUGCAUCUGUGGACCUUCACAGCUGCCUUGGUCACAAUUGGGUUCAGUUAUCCUCUUCAUGGUCUCCUUUUGGUGUGCUCAGAGAUUGGUACAUGUUUGAGUCUCAAUUGGGCCACCUUUCUGCAUUGUGAUUAGUGUGUUUCCACCUCUUCUGAGCUUCCUUCAUGUCAUUUCUCUUUCCGCGUCUUUGUACCUUAUAGGAAUGUUACUCACUUCAGUUUGGAUUCGACUUUUUAUAUUAGAGUUGGAGAUAGAUUGGUCAAGGUUUCAAAGCAAUCAGGUAUGGAUCCUCAGCAUGAUACAGUUGAUCGACCUACAGUCACCAUGACUCUAUUUAGGAUGCAUUAGCAGGUUUGAGCUAGAUGAUUGAUGGACAGUGAGAUAGAUGGCAUCCAGUUCAAGAUGAGAUGUCGUAUGAUUCAUUACCACCCACCCCCACCACCCAGUUAACCAGUGACAUUGUUGAGGGUGACUUCGUACAUAUGAUGAGUUUAGUGGAUUAUGAGUCAAAGUUUAUCAGAUGAGAGUUCUUAUAGAGGACGUUAGUUUUUCUCAGAUGGGAGAUUUGAUUAACAUGGUUUUUCUUCAUGAUGAGCCUGAGGUAGACGUAUUGGAUGAUAGUUGGAUGUUUGGCACAGAUUAGCCCGAGAUAGUUCACUCUCUUGAUAUGCUUGAGAUCUUCAUUGUUGAGAGUUCAGAAAAGAUUCAGUUUAUUUAUGUUGGGGCAUCCCGCUUAUGUUGAUGAUAUGUUUGAGGACGAUAUUAGCCCGGUUAUGGUCAUGGAGAUUCAUCUAUUCCAGGAGACCCUAGGGACUUACUUGGAAUACACCACUUGUCAUUAGAGAGUUGACCCUAGAGAGGAAAUAUGAUUGACAUAUCUGGAUAGAGACCAGUUCUCAAACCCCACCAAUGUGGAUUAGUUGAAGAAGUAUUACAUUUGAGACCAUGGUCACAGGAUGGGUGGCCAUCAUUUCGGUUAGCCUUACACCUUAUCACCUUAUUGAUAUAUUAAACCAUUGCUAGCCCAUUGAGCCUCACGUGGUAUGUUAUAGCCUUAUUUCUUUCUUAUAGCUUUGAUUACCAUUUCUAUACCCGGGUUGGGGCCCUUUGAUGUAUAUGCAUGCUUUGCUAGGAAAGUCUCAUGAGCUUUAGACUUAUAGGUCUAUCUUCUCAUUUUGUUACCAUCCUCUUAUCACCUUAUUUGUUCUAUUUUAUUAUCACCACAUGUUCAUUCUCUUUCUUGACUCUAUCAUUAUUUGCUUCAUCUUAUCUAUUCUCUUCCUUGGGUUGAUGAUUCUUCACGUCUUAGUGCAAAAAGGGCAGUCAUAUCACUCUAUUUAUUCCAUCAUUUGACAUUGAUUCGGAGAUCUUAGUUUGAGAGGUUGUCUCAUGGGUUGGGGUUCAUGUAUUCAUCAGUGAUUUGAGAGAGUUUAUUCAUUUCUUGUAUCUUUCCCAUUGGAGUUUGACUUAUUGAUGAUCAGAGCAUGCGCCAAAAAAAAAAAAAAAACAAAAAACAAAAAAAAAACAAAAAAAAAACAACAAAACAAAACAGAAAAAAAGAAAAAAAGAAAAAAAGAAGAAAAAAGAGAAAAAAAAAAAAAAAAAGCGCAAUGACAUGUUUAUGUAUGGUAUCUUGCUCCAUUGGGCACUUAUAUCACCUUUUGAGGUCUGUUUACUGGGUAUAUUUGUCAUUGUGGGUUCUUGUGAGAUUUUUAUAUGAGUUUUCACUCCUUGAGCCACUCUUGUUAUGCAUUUGGAGUGUUGAGGGUUCAUGUGAGAGUUUUAUGGUAUCCUAUGCUUCUUGGGCCAUGGUUGAUACGUAUUAGGUAUGAGAGAUGAGUGACCUUUUACUAGGGUCUCCGAAUCAUUGUCUUAUACCCACCAUUCCAUCAUUGGUGAUAUGACUCUCCUUUAUUGUACUAACAUGGGUUGAUCAUCACUCAUUCCACUUUCUCAUUGCUUUCUUUUGUAUCCCAUUACCUCUUUCCAGAUCUUUGUUCCAUCUUUUAUUCAUUCCCUACAUAUUGAUACCCAUUACUGAUUUGAUACCUUCUUCACAUCAUUCACAUAUUUCAUUGAUGGUUUGACCAUUCAUCCUUUCUCUCAUUUCGUUAUCGACAUUCCCUUUGGUUACUUCUAAGUCCAUGACUCAUGAGAUUUUUCUAUGCAUUACAUCUUAUACACGAGGGUAUGGGUUUGAUCAUUGGGUAUUUGAGCCUAGUUUCCCUUCAUUUCUUUCACCCUAUCACCCUAGCCUACGUUACGUCCCGUGUCUUAAGACCACCCUGAGGCCAUGAGAUCAGAUGUUAUCUUUGACAGCCUCUACUUAGGUUGGUGUUUGGGAUUUGGUUGAUAUAUAGAUGUUGUCAUGUUUCUUCUUUUGGGAGAUGCUUCUUUGAUGCUUGGAGGUGAUUUGGUGAUGGAUGUGGAUGAUUGUUUCAUCUUACGGAUGAUAUUUGAUGUUGUCUAGCUUCUACUGUACAUCAGAUAUCCACACUGGGGCAUUUUCCCCUUUCAUUUGGAUGAGAUGAGCUCCUAGUGGAGCACUUUCUUUGAGCAUGGACAUUUUCAUUGAUUCGAGAUCCCUAGUGGAGUAUGUUGAGAUGGUAUUAGUUUUAGUGGAGCAUUGUUGAGUUCAUUGACGACUUUCAUGACCCUAGUGUUUCCAUUUGCGGAGUAUUUCUGAGAUAGACUAGUGGAUUAUUACUGAGUUGGAGGCAGUUUUCAGUGCAGUGUAUAGAUCUGGCAUACUGGGACAUAUUUCCCCAUUUUGAGGUUACCAGAUUCAUGUUGGAUAUAGUCAGGGAUUCAUCAGAGACAUGUUUCUACUUUUGAGAUUACCACAUUCCUCAUCAUUUUGGCUAUUCAUUUGAGAUUAGAUUUAGAGUGUCUCCUUUGAGGCAUUGGUCGAUACAUUAUUCUGACUUCCUAGCAGAUUAUUGUUGAGCUGAGGACAGUUGAUUGAUGAUGUUGGAUUCACCCUUUGGUUGUGCAUUAGAUUAUUCACACUGGGGCAUAUUCCCCUCUCCAUUACGAGAUUUAUUUGGGCAGUGAUAUAAGGAUGGAUGAUUGGUGUCGGUUGUUUAGCUUAUGACUUUGACGUCAGAUCUUAUACUGGGGCAUAUUUCCCCCAUUUUCUUUGAGUAUCCUUGAGAUUGAGACAGUGGCCAGCUUGGUUUUAGAUUGAGUACUAGCCCAGAGCUUCCGACGAUCGACUGUAUCAGGGCCUCCCUACAUGGAUUUGUUGAGAUAGAGAUGGAUCGCAUCAGGUUUCAGCCGAGGAGCGUGGGUGGAUCCUUUAGGCAGAUGUUCAUGAGACAGAUUUGUUUUCAUCAUUGUUACCUUGCAGAUUGGAUUAUCCAGAUAAGCAUCAUUUUAUGCACUUUGAGAUUUGCUUUUAGAUGAGCCACGAUAUACACGCUUUGAGAUUCACCUUUUGAGAUUCGUCGACAGAGCAGUUUUUUUUCAGACACAGAGGCCUCUUUCAGUUUUGACUUUUCAGAGGUUUGUCAUGAUGUAUUGGUUCUUGACCCAUUGCUUCUAGCAGAUGAUUGGUUUACUGGUUGUUUCAGCAGUGUGAGCACCCUGGAUACUGGGGCAUAUUUCCCUUCUUGGUUUCAGUAGUCCGACCCUUGACAUUUUGAGUAUAUGGCUUUGAGCCAAUUUAUUUCAUGUCCACUUUCUAGUUGGUCUUCUCUAUUAUUCCCUUCUAGGCCCUGAGCCUCGUAGCUUUGAGUUAUUCAUUCCUUCUAGACCCCGAGUUUUAUAGCCCUGAGCAUUCUUCUUCCCUUAGGCCCUGAGCCCACUAGCCCUGAGCUAUUUUUUUUUUUUAAGCCCUGAGCCUCGUAGCUGUGAGCUAUCCAUUCCUUCUAGACCCUGAGUCUUAUAGCCCUGAGCUAUCAUUUUUUCCUUAGGCCCUGAGCCCGCUAGCCCUGAGCUAUCAUUUCCUAUAGACCUAGAGUCUUUCCAGCUCUUAGCUGAGCUUUCAUCAUUUGGUCGCCCAUGAGUGGUUUGACCUAGAGUUUGCGUAUCGCAUUCUCCUUCUAGCCGAUCAGUCAUAGAGCCCGGAGCUCAUAGCCCUGAGCUAUUCGUCGACCCAGAGUCAUUUUUCAUCUUGACCCAGAGUCAUUCAUAGCACCCCGAGCCCUGAGCUCACGACCCGGAGUCAUUUGCAUCAUUCACAUCCUUGAGAUGUUUCGUUUUCAUCAUUCUAGCCACUUGUGAGUGGCCUCGACCCGACACCUUGAGUCGGAAAGUAUCCUGAUCGGCUAUCUAUUUAGAGCCCGGAGCUCUCGACCCAGAGUCAUUUUCCAUUUUGACCCAGAGUCAUUCCUUUCCAUUUAGAGCCCAGAGCUCUCGACCCAGAGUCACUUUCCAUUUCGACCCAGAGUCAUUCCUUUCCAUUUAGAGCCCGGAGCUCUCGACCUAGAGUCACUUUCCAUUUCGACCCAGAGUCAUUCUUUCCUAUUUUAGAGCCUGGAGCUCUCGACCCAGAGUCAUUUUCCACUUCGACCCAGAGUCAUUCCUUUCCAUUUAGAGCCCGGAGCUCUCGACCCAGAGUCACUUUCCAUUUUGACCCAGAGUCAUUCUUUCCUAUUUUAGAGCUUGGAGCUCUCGACCCAGAGUCACUUUCCAUUUUGACCCAGAGUCAUUUUCCAUUAUGGUCCAGAGUCAUUUCUUUUCCAUUUAGAGCCCGGAGCUCUCGACCCAGAGUCACUUUCCAUUUUGACUCAGAGUCAUUCUUUCCUAUUUUAGAGCUUGGAGCUCUCGACCCAGAGUCACUUUCCAUUUCGACCCAGAGUCAUUCUUUCCUAUUUAGAGCCCAGAGCUCUCGACCCAGAGUCACUUUCCAUUUUGACCCAGAGUCAUUCUUUUCUAUUUAGAGCCUGGAGCUCUCGACCCAGAGUCAUUUUCCAUUUUGACCCAGAGUCAUUCUUUUUAGAGCUUAAAGCUCUCGACCUAGAGUCGAUUUUCCAUUUCGAGCCCAGAGCUCUCGACCCAGAGUUGGUUUUCCAUUUAGAGCCCAGAGCUCUCGACCCAGAGUCGAUUUUCCAUUUCGAGCCCAGAGCUCUCGACCUAGAGUCGAUUUUCUAUUUCGAGCCCAGAGCUCUUGACCUAGAGUCGAUUUUCCAUUUAGAGCCCAGAGUCGAUUUUCCAUUUCGAGCCCAGAGCUCUCGACCCAGAGUUGGUUUUCCAUUUAGAGCCCAGAGCUCUCGACCCAGAGUCGAUUUUCCAUUUCGAGCCCAGAGCUCUCGACCUAGAGUCGAUUUUCCAUUUCGAGCCCAGAGCUCUUGACCCAGAGUCGAUUUUCCAUUUAGAGCCCAGAGCUCUCGACCUAGAGUCGGUUUUCCAUUUAGAUCCCAGAGCUCUCGACCCAGAGUCGAUUUUCCAUUUAGAGCUCAGAGUCGAUUUUCCAUUUAGAGCCCAGAGCUCUCGACCCAGAGUCGGUUUUCCAUUUAGAGCCCAGAGCUCUCGACCCAGAGUCGAUUCUCCAUUUAGAGCCCAGAGCUCUCGACCCAGAGUCGAUUUUCCAUUUAGAGCCCAGAGCUCUCGACCCAGAGUCGGUUUUCCAUUUAGAGCCCAGAGCUCUCGACCCAGAGUCGGUUUUCCAUUUCGAGCCCAGAGCUCUCGACCCAUAGUCGAUUUUCCAUUUCGAGCCCAGAGCUCUUGACCUAGUGUCGAUUUUUCACUUAUGACCCAGAAUCAUUCUUUCUGUGCAAAGCUUUAAGCUCACGACCUGAAGUUAUUCCCUUUUUGUGAUUGCGUCCCCAUGUUUAGAUCUUACCUCUUCAUGUACUAGGACAAAAUCUCUGGUCCUUCUUUAAUUCUUCGGUAUAGUUCACUUCAUUCUGCUCAUUACUCGUAUUUCUACUCACAUUCUCUACACUCGUGAUCUAUACCGAAGAGGGGCAUAUUUGUAGACCCUCAAUUUUGUCCCUUUAACACAUGUCUUUAAGUUCGUUUCCAGUGCUCCACGGUAGUUCCUUGGUGGCCCAUUACUACUCGUACCACUUACCUUUUUUCUGAGUCACCUCGGAGACUUUGGUUGAGGGAUUAUCUGACCCCUUAUUGUGACCCCUUGGCAGCCCUAAUUUAGACUUAGGCUUUUCUUGUUUUUUUAGGAUAGCCUUUAGAUACACUUGGCCCAUUAGGCACCACCCUAGGCCCGCUUAGUCUCAUCAUAGGCCCGUUUAGGCACACUUGGCCCAUUUGGACAUUUUUAGCGUGACUUGUAUGACUUGCAUGGUUACAUGGCUUUUAGGCUCGGCUUUUGUUUAUUGGUUUAUUUUUUAUUUUUUUUUAUUUUUUUAUUUUAUUUUAUUUUUUUAUUAUUUUUAUUUAAUUUUGUUUUAUUUUAUUUUAUUUUUACCGUUUCCUAAUUUAUUUACUUGCUUAUCUGUUCACUCAAUUAUUUAACUUAGAAAAUUUUCAUGUUUUUGCAAGGAAACUUACUAUUGGAGUUUAAGGAAGGUGGGACUCUCCUUGGAAGGUUUUGGAGGGGAAUUUGAAAUUGGGAAGAUUGCUUUGAUUGGAAGAUUUAAAAAAAGGAAGAGAAGAAGAAAGGAAAUAGGGGAAUUUUCCUUUUGGGAAAAAUUUAGGUCUUGAGGGAAGAUAUAUAUGUGAGAAAAAGGAUUUUUCUGGGGGCGCAGCACUUAUUGGAGUCUAGAGAGGGAGGAGGAGGAAGAAAGAACAAGCAAAAAAGAGGAUUUUUAUCUGGGAAUUAUCCUAGGAGGAAGAAAAAAGAUAGCCAGAAGCCGAGCCAUUGCAACCAAAGCUGUCCAGGUAUGCACCUCGUUGCUUUCGGAAUUCUUACCUAUAUUUGAUUUUUUUUUCCGUGAGUUCGAUUCCUGAAUAUAUAAUUGUUUUGUUGAUUUUUGUGUGGACGAAAAGGGCCACAAUUUGCUUUGUUGAGAUUGGUUACUUGCCUGUUUGCCUUGUUUUGAUUUUGGAUGUCAUUAAUGUCUUCGGAAGCAUAUAUCUCUGUGCCUAUUCCCACUAACCAGAGCCUAUUGAAAAGUCAUGAGAUGUGGUUUUAUUUUCUUUUAAUCUCCCAUGCCUGUUUUCCCAUCGUUUCCGCUAUUCUCUACCAUACUCGUUUUUGCUUUUCUUCCUAUCCGUCCUAUGGCCAUCAAUUCUUCAUAUGGGGGUGAUUCCAAAGCUUGGGCAUGCAAUCAUGAGAUUCAACAAAGAGAACAAACGUUUCAGAAUUCUAGCUUGUCGGCUGUUUAUUCACUUGUUAAGGAUAUGCAGAUUAAGGACAGAUUGAGAAGCAUGGUUCUGGAAAUAGAGGAUCUUUCCGCUGGUUAUUUGGUCUCUGAUAACUACACUUUCACCUUCUGGGUCCGUACCUCCGCUCAGCUAUUGAUGCAUGGGAUCAAUUCGUUUGUACAGGGUGCCGUUCUGAAAAGUGGGUUCAAGUAUGACUCAUAUGUUCAAAGUGGUUAGUUUACAUGUAUACAGGGAUUGGGUGGUUUGGCUGAUUGCUAAUGGAUGUUUUCAUCAAUUUGUGAGCCAAAUUUGGUGUAUCAGAUUGUAAUGGUCAAUGCAUGUGCCAAGAUGGGAGAUCUUUACCUUUGCUCGGAAGUUGUUUGAUAAAAUGCCCCAUAAGAACCUUAUUACACGGAAUGUAGUGAUUUCGGGAUAUGUGCAAUGUGGGUAACCAUGGAGCGAGAAUCACCAUUGGAAAGAAGAGUAUCGACCACUUAAAAGAGAGAAGCACCAGAAUUUCAGAGAGAGGAUGAAGAUACCUCAUGAAAAUAUACAGUGGUUUGGAUGAGCCUGAUGGUCUAUCUGGCCUAGCAUGUUUACACACAUCAUUAAGUUUGCAAGACCAGCUUUCUAAUCAACAAGAAAGCAGGAAACUGGGCAGAAGUUUUAACUUCUUCUGAGUAGGCUUUGCAGAUGGAGCCCACCUCAGUGCAGAGGCAUUCAGAUGUUCUUAAUUGUUUACUGACAUGUGCCACUUCCAGACUAUGGUCCAUUGUUGUUACCUUUCUAAAGGUUCACUCCUAAAGAAGAAAUUUCUCUUGACAUUACUGUACUAGAAGCCCCUCCUAACAUCAUUAUCCCUUCGGAUGUCCCAAAUAUCCUGCUGGUAAAUCCUAUCCUAGUGUAAACUAUGGUGUCUGCUAGAUCUGUUUCUCAUGUCUUAGCUGCUACACGUAUAUCAGAAUUUCGGGGUUGUUCAGACUUGGGCAAUAUAUGGCCAGUUUAUUCAUCCAACCUACCAGUACUUUCUGGUUAUGGAGCAUCACGAUCAGAUGUUAAUUGUAAGAGCUUUGCAUCCAUUUGACGAGAUUGGACAUGUAAUCAGCAGGAGGGAGAAUUCCGUUAAAAGUGUAAGGAAGUCCAUGAUACAUUGGGAAGGCCUGUAUUACUCAAUCUCCUUAGAUACGGAAUGGUAAAAUAGAGAGAAGAUGUUUUAUCUUUUGAUUUUCUAUGAAAUUUCCUUUAAUUGGACUGUUUGUUUAUUUUCUAAGAAUAUUAUAGUAUGUUGUGAUGAAGAUAUUGGUUGGUCAUAUUUGGAAAAUAAUUUUUGAGAAAAUUAUUCUCAAUAUUGUCAUCUCUCGCAAAAGGAUUAUUUUUGCUUUCUUUUCUUAUUGUUUUUAUAUGCAUUGACCAAACUUUGGAGCAAUUUGAAAUUGAUGAUGAAAUUUUCCUUUCAAGGUUAGGAAAUUUCUAUAAAAUCCUUUUAUUACAAAUUUUUUUCCAAUUCUUUCCAUAAAACUCUUCAUUUUCUUCAUUUUUCUUUUUUCUGAAAAAGAUGUUUGAUAAUUUAUUGAUCUAAAGAAUAUUAAAAGUAAAAAAAAUAAAAAUAUUGAAUAUAUUUUCCUUUGAUGUUUUUAAUUUUUUAUUAUUUGAACACAAUUUCAUAUCCAAUUUUUUUAUUAAUUAUUUUAAUUAGAAAAAAGAAAUAUCAAUUGGAGUUUUGACUGAAAAAUCAAUAAUUUUUAUGAAAAACUCUUUAAUUCUUUCUCAUACUAUUUUUUCUCUUAAUAUUUUUUAAUAAUGAAUUAGGUUUUUUGUCUUAUAUACACAAUUUUCAUGCUUGUUAUAAUAUCAUGUCCUAUCAUAUUAGUAGUUGAAAACAUUUUGAUAUUUUGUUACUAAAAUUUUAUUUUAUGUAAUUGAGAUGAAAUUUAAUGGACAUUGUUAUUUCAUAAAAUGAACAUUAAAAAAAUAUUGAAAUUAAGAAAAUCCUUCCAAGAAAUAUAUAUAUAUAUAUAUAUAUAUAAUGUUAAAAAUGAUUUUUAAAAACAUAAUGAAUUAUAAAAAAUAAAUUUAAAAAGUGCAUAUUUUAAGUGGAAGAUUAGUAUUUUCUAAAUUUUAGAUUUAUAUUUUGAUUUGGUAGUUUUGAUUUAUUUUUUAUUUUCUUGAAUUGUUUUUAUUUGAAUUCAAAUGUGACUACUUUGUUAUGAGAUUCAUUAAAGAGAUAAUUGUUGAUUCUAUAGUUAUUGCAUUAAAGGUUUUACUCAUUUAAAUAAUUGCACAUAGUUUCAUACUUCCAAUUAUUGUGAUAUUAAUGUUAUUAUCAUUUGAUUUUAGUUUGAUGAUAAAAAAAAAACAUAUUCUUAAGUAGAAUGUGAUGAAAUUAGAGGAGAAUUGACUACUUUUAUAUUAUAACUAAUCAAGAAUCAUGUUGAUGUAUCGUGAUCAUGCAUGGUGAGUCCCUUAGUUGUUAUAUGAAUUUUCCAUUGGUAUUGUAUAACAUUACUUAUUCUUUACAAAUUAUUUUUAUAUCAAAAUGGAAAAAAGAAAAAAGAAAACAUUAGUAGUUAGAUUUGUUUAUUUUUUAUAACAUUAAUUAAUUUUUAUUUUUAAUAAAAACUCUAAAACUCAUUAAACUAUGAAAUGCAAGUAUACACUCUUGGAAGGACAGUAUGAAGAAUAAAAAGAAAGGAGAAAGAGACAACAAGAUUUUGGGUUUUUAGAUGUAACUUUUAUGCCAUAUAUUAUAGGACAUAAACGUUACUUUAUUUGGUAUCGAGAAUUUUGGGUUUUUGGAUGCAACACUUGUGUCAUUUUAUGGUUAGCCAGUUUUAUGCAUAUGAAUUGUAGGUAUACAUGAAUGUUGGGAUGCUUAACAUUUCUAUGUCAUGUUUUAAUGUGCAUUCACUUUUCCUUUUUAGUUUUGGUGGGUUUGAUGUACUAUCAUUUUGUGAACAUUUGAUAUACAAAUAUUAUUGGAUGAUUUAAUGUAUUACAGGUUGAUCUUAUUUAUUAAUAAGCAUUACAAAAAUCUAUAGGCUAAUCAAUAAAAAACAACCAUAUAUUCCAUAAUCAUUUACAAUGAUGUGACACCAUAACUCAAAGGUGAUGCAUUUAACGUGGCACCAUAACUCAAAGGUGAUGCAUUUAAUAUGACACCUUAUAUAUCUCACACAACUCUAUAUCAAAUUAAGCAUUACUAAAAAUAUAUGGUGCCGCUUCUGAAUGUGUCACCAUUUAUCUACAUUGGUGUCGCUUCCAAAUACAUCACCAAUUGGUACCCUCUAUGGUGUCAGUGGAUAAGGUGACGCUAUGUUGUAGUGACACCUUAUGUUUAUAGUGACUCAUUAUAAAUGUCACCAUAUAUCUUUUUCCUUGUAGUGUAUUCACCCCCUCCCCCUCUAGGUGUAGUCCAUUAUUGAGAUUCACCUUUUCAUCAUCCAUCCACAUGCCAGGAAGAAAAGUAUCAGUAAGAUUAUGGAAGCUCUCCCAAAGAAUCUCCCCUGAUCUGUUGUCACUUAAAACAAGGUUCCCGGAGUCCAUGAGCUUCAUCACCAUGCCUGUAGAUAAAGAUGUCUCAGUAUUAGAAGACCAAUGAACUUUCCCAUUUUCAUCCAAUAAUUUGAGCUUACCAUCGUCUUUAAUGGCAAAAACUCCAGAGGGGGGAUCAGAAAGGGGAAGGGGGCUGUCUUGGUUGGCCACCCAUACAACUCUUUGUGGUUUCAACAAGUAAUACCAUAUGCCAAUGUAUUUUCCAUUGUUGAACCUUCCAUCCGAAUUAAAGAAGCCAAGUUCAAAAGUUUUGCCUACAGAAACAAGAGUUCCUCCAUCAUUUCUAAGCCAAUCCUCUGGUGUGAUGGUAUCUCUAGCAGAGCAAUAUAGGACAGAACAUAAGAAAAAGAUGGUUGAUAGCAUGUGAGUUGUAGAGACAGGAACCAUGAAUUUUCUUCUUAUCAUUUUGCCCUCUAUUGUUGUUAGUCAAAGAACCAUGAAGAGUUGCAGAAACAUGAACCACGAAUUUUCUUCUUAUCAUUUUGCCCUCUAUUGUUGUCAGUCAAAGAACCAUGAAGGGUUUGCUACUGUUGUAUUGCACUCUCAUUUUUAAUGGAGACUUUUCCUUUUGACUCUUGAGUGGAGAAAAUUCAUAUCAGUAUUCUUAUCUUGAUUUUCCUUUUUGAUGCAUAGCUUUCAUCUCUGGACUUUUGUGGCAACUUGAGUCUUUAAGAUGGCAACUUUAAUAUGCUUCCUAGUGUCUUCCAAGUAUUGACGUUUUGUAUGCAUCACCCUCCUCCUUCUACACCAAUUUGUUUCUUUGUAUGUAUAGUUUUAUCUCUUCUAAGCAAUAAAGCAUAUGGCAUCAACCAAUAAAUUUUUCUGUACUUUCUCCAAUUUGGAGGAGCUUCGUAAUGGGACAAACAAGAAAAAUUAGAAGUUUAUUUGGCAAUGCUUGUAGAAACAGUUUUUCAUAACAAUGCUAAGAAACAGUUCUCAAAUGUUUCGACUAACUCAAAUAUAAGAACUAGUUUUCUUUGUUUAUUCUCGUACGUACAAAGCGAAAGUUUAAAAAAUAUUCUUUAUUUUAUGAAUUUUUAUCCAAUGAACUCCAUAAAAAUGAAAAAAAUUACAAACACCUCAAAAUGAUUCUAAAAUAUAAUUCAUCUGCAUAACAAAUUUGGCAAAAAAAAAAAAUCAUUUUUCAUCAAAUGUCUAUCAAACGUGUUUUCUAAUUUACAAAACAAUUUUCUGUUUAAAUAAAAAAAUCUAAAAUAACUACUAAACAUACCCUGAUUUUUGUUUUAAGCUUUUUUCCUUCUCAUGUCUUCUAAUUGCCAUGCAAUGAAUUAUCCACUUCAAACAUUUUUGUGCCAAAGGUAAAGCAAAGGAGAGAAUUACUAAAACAAACCCAGGAAAAUUAAGAAUCAAAGGACAAAAGGGGUUCAAGGAAGUGAUAAAUUUUCUCAAUGAAUUAACUUCACUAAUUGCUCAAAGGCAAGUUGUCAAUUGUUACAGAAUAGUGAAUAUAGGAAAUAAGAAAAACAAAAUAUGAACAUAUAGAUUUGUGUGAAAAAUCCUAAACGAGAAAAACCACGGACAGAUGAGAAGAAGAUCCACUAUAUCAAAAAUUGGUAUAAGAGGAGAGAGUUACGAGCGUCUAUAGCAUAACCCUAAAAAUACAUCAUCACAUAUACACACACAUAUGUAUAUAUAUAUAAAGCAGGUUCAUACUUUUGAAUUCAUUUAAUCUUUAUAUAAUGAAGGAAAGUAAAAUAAAUUAGAAAAAACAUAUGAAAUAAUUUAUUAACUUCGAAUUUAUUUUUUUAUUUUCUUUUGUUUUUUCCUUUCUUCUAUUUUUCCUCUCUAUUUUUUUUUUUCCAUAUUUUGCCUUAUAUUUUUUGAGAACCAAAUCUAGUCUUGAAGUUUCUUGGAAACUUUGGACUUUAGAAAAAACUUAACCUUUUUUUCUUGGGAAUAAUUUUCUAGAUUUGAGGUACAUUAUCUUAGGGGGGUACUAAGCAUGUCAAAAUACUUUCAAAAUCUAACUCCUAUUUUUUGGAAAGUUAUGAAUUAAUAUUUCUAUUUUUUUUUUUUUUUUUACUCUUUCCAAAUCUAAUUUUACUAGGAACCAAAUUUGUGAAUUUUUGCACAAAAUCCUAUCCAAGAGAGGAUCUUUUAGAAAUCUCAUCCAUUCUAUAUUUGAUUGGUAGAGAAUUAAAACCACGGUUGUGCAAAAAGCAUAUGAACAAAUAAAAUUAGACCAAGAUAUAUAUCUAUAUAUCUAUAUAUAUAUAUAUAUAUCAAUGAUUCAACUUAGAAGAAUAAUGCAUUAGAUUUCUACACUUUGAGUAGUUGCCUUGAUUAAGUCCAAUUACUAGAAGCCAAGGUCAAGGUCAUCGAAGUUUGUCCAUUCUCUUUCAUAAUUUCUUUUUUCCUCACUAAAGGAGAGAAUAUCUCUUUUACAAAUCUUGUCUAUUCUUGAUUGAUUUGGUAGAGAAUUUAAAAAAGGGUUGUGCCAAAAGCAUGUCAACAAUUUAAAAUGGACCGAGAGACGAAGCUUCUCAAUGAGUGGAUGUAUAUCUUUGUCAAUCCUUCAACUUUGAAGAAUAAUGCAUUAGACUUCUAUGCUUUAAGUAGUUUCCUUGAUUGAGUCCAAUUAUUAGAAGCCAAAGUCAAAGUCAUCGAAGUUUGUACAUUCUCUCUUGUGGUCCCAUGGUAUUUGCUCUUUUUUACCUCAUUAGAGGAAAAAACAUUAACACAGCUUCAUGUGGGAACCAAGCUUUCUUUUAGCAUCCAUGAUAGUUUUUCUUCCCAAUAAUUAGAAAAAGAUUCAUGAGGACCCCAUAUGAGAACUAUUAUUGGUGAUUGUAUAUAGAAAUAAAGAGAAUUCAUUUAUCCUAUAAAAAACAACCCCUUCCUAACGAUUAUAUAAUUUAUUGGUAACAAUGUGAUAGAAAAUUUUGAGACACAUAUUAUAGAUGAAUCUUGGUUAUGGAUUAUAGUUAGAGGGGGUAAAUAGUUAUUUNNNNNNNNNNNNNNNNNNNNNNNNNNNNNNNNNNNNNNNNNNNNNNNNNNNNNNNNNNNNNNNNNNNNNNNNNNNNNNNNNNNNNNNNNNNNNNNNNNNNNNNNNNNNNNNNNNNNNNNNNNNNNNNNNNNNNNNNNNNNNNNNNNNNNNNNNNNNNNNNNNNNNNNNNNNNNNNNNNNNNNNNNNNNNNNNNNNNNNNNNNNNNNNNNUUUAAGUGACUUGAAAAGCUUGAAGAAGGGCCUUGUGAUUCCAUAAAAGCUUAGUAAUGAUCCUCAAAGUUCAAAUGCAAGCUUAUGUCUAUUUAAUAUGUCUUAAAGAAUUAGUACCACAUAAAAUGAAGUGAUGUCUAGUGUCUAUGUGUUUUGUCCUAGAGUGAAGAACAAGGGAAUUGAAGUUGCUACUUGCACUACUAUUAUCAUCCAGUACAAUCAUGAUUCCUUGAUCUAUUUCAUAAUCACUUUACAAUUGCUUGAUUCAAAGAAGUUAGGCACAAGAACUACCAAUUACAUAUUCCACUUCAUCUAUGGAUAGUCAAACAUCAUUUUGUUUCUUACUCAUCUAAAUCAAGAUGUGAAAUAAAAAAAUGUAUACUUCAAUUGCAAAUAAAGUGGACAAUGUUCCCUUGCUUUUUAAUUAUGAGAGCUAGCCUCACAUGAGCAUUUGGUUUAGAACUAGGUAAUCAUUGAGUCAUCUCCACUAUCUAAUUAAGCCCUUGAAGUCCAAAUACAAGCGAUGAGGUUUGACAAUUUUAUGCUAUGCAAUUAAUGAUAAUGUAGAGAGGACCAAAAAAACAGAAGAGCUUCCUAUUGACACUCAUUAGGAAAAAAAAUUACAUUGAAGCAUAAGAAUAAAUACUCCAUAAAAUUCAAUUUUAAUGAAAUUAUAUAAUACAAAUGAAAAUGAUGUUGUUAAAGAGCAUGGUAUAUAUUGUGAACUCAAAUUCUACAAGUUAACCUUUUAGAAAAAUUGGUAAUUGAGUAGAGCUUGGUUUGACGGGAGGUCAUGUGUUCAAGAGUCGCUUCUCCCCAAUUUGCAUAUUUAUUUCCUCCUAGGCUACCAAUGAUCUCAUUCUUGGAGCAUGUGUUUCUGGUUUGGUAGAAGAAGCAGCAGCCCUACUAUAGAACAAUGGAAGAAGCAUUGGAAUCUUUGUCCCUUCUUCAAGGUCUUUAGAUUUUUUCAAUUUGUUUUCUUUUCAAUUCUCAUGCAUACAUCUAAUUUUCCACUUCCAUAAUAUUUCAACCUCUGGAUGUGAAAUAGUAUUUGUAGAUCAAUCAAAAGUAUUCCAACGUAAUAUGUCACUAUAUAAUAAUCCAAUAUUUCAACCUCUAUAUCUGAAAUAGUAUAUGUAGAUCAAUCAAAAGCAUCCCACCAUGUAUAUUCAGCUAAUGUAAUCGCUACCACCAACAAAACUAAUUAUUGGUUUCAUUUUAAGAUGUUAUAGCUAAUAAAUCCCUACUUUCCUUACCAUCAAUUACUCAAUAGAUAUCAUGCUUCAAUUUAUUCCUAAUUCCAACGGUAAAUCACUGGUAAUAGAAGGCAUGAUAUACAUAUAUAGGGUCAUUUCUUUGAGUGACUUUACUCAAAAGGAUGGUCUUGAUUACAACUAGCAAAUUCUGUUUAUAAGAAGACCCUAUACAAAACUCACAUGGCUAUGAUCAUUACUUGAGUCACUAUCACACAGAAUUCAUACCAGUUUUGCUUACAAAUUGUUCUUAGGAAGAACAUAUUCCAACUGGGGGCUAAUACAAGUAGAGGUUCCAAGCUACAGACCAAGAAGGUAUGUACCAACAGAUACCUAGCUAGGAUUGCUUCUUCUAGUAACGGUUGGUUAUUAGCACAUAAAAAUGUGAGCAGGCAACUAAGUUGGAACCUUAUAGACACCGUUAGUCUCCCUAGCUUAUGAUAAAGAAUCUUUAAGGCCAUUAAGUCAACAGUUCACACUUACUAACUAGGUUUUUCUCUUUGUCGUGACUUUUUUUUUUCUUAUGCUUUUGGUAGAGCCUUGGUUAACACAUAUGCAAUUUGAUCCUCAAUCUUGCAAUAAAGCAGUUUAACUUCACCAUCCUUUUGUUCUUCUCUUAAGUGAUACAACUUGAUCUUGAAAUGCUUAGUCUUGCCAUGAAAAACAUAAUCAUUUGAAAUUGCAAUUGCAGCUUGGUUAUCUACAUGAAUCUGUGUUGGCUCAUUUUGCUUCAUGUGUAGAUCUGCAAGUAUUUUUCUGAUCCAAAUUGCUUGAUUUACAGUAGCAUUGGCUGCUAUAUAUUCUGCAUCUGCUAUACUUUGAGCUAUCACAUCUUGCUUCUUUAAGGACCAUGAAAAAAUUCCAAAUCCAAAGCUGAAACAAAAUCCUGUUGUACUUCUCAUGUCAUCAAUAGAACCUGCCCAAUCACUAUCAGAAUAACCAUGAAGUUUAAAAUUCUGAUAGUAAGAAUAUUUAAUGCCAUAAUUUGUUGUGCCCUUGAUAUAUCUUACAAUCCUUUUGGUAGCUUGAAAAUGCACUUCACUAGCACAAUGCAUGAAUCUUGAAAGCAAGCUUAAUGAAAACAUUAUGUCUGGUUUGGUGGCUGUAAAAUACAUCAAGCAACCAAUCAGGCUCCUGUAUUGGCUUUCAUCCACUUUUUCUGCUCCAUCAUCUUUGCUAAAUUUCUCCUUCUGAUUCAUUGGUGUGCUGGUCCUUUUGCAAUCUUCCAUGUGAAAUUUGUUAAGUAUUUCCUUUGCAUACUUCUUUUGGCUUAUGAAGACUCCAUCAUGAUCUUGCUUCACCUCCAUACCUAGAAAGUAGGACAUCAAGCCAAGGUCUGUCAUCUCAAAUACUUUGAGCAUUUCAGCUUUAAACUCUUUUACCAGUUUCUCAUUGCUACCUGUUACAAACAGAUCAUCAACAUAAACAGAAACUACAAUUAAGUUAGCAUCUGUUCCUUUUAUAUAUAAUGUAGCUUCACUUGGACUUUUAACAAAUCCAAGACUUUGAAGAUGUUCAUCAAUCCUGCUGUACCAGGCCCUAGGAGCCUGUUUAAGACCAUAUAAGGCCUUUUUCAACAAGUAGACCUUCUCCUCUUGUCCCUUGACUUGGAAUCCCUCGGGCUGCUCUACAUAAAUUUCCUCUUGAAAAUAACCAUUUAAAAAAGCAGAUUUUACAUCCAACUGGUAAGUCAUCCAUCCAUUUUGUGCUGUCAAAGCAAGCAACAUUCUGAUUGUAUCCAAGCGUGCUACUGGAGCAAAAGUUUAUGAGAAAUCCACUCCAAACACUUGACUAUACCCCUUCAUAACUAAUCUAGCUUUGUAUUUAUUUAUAGAACCAUCUGUAUUAAGUUUGGUUCUAUAAACCCAUUUGACUCCAAUGACCUUUCUGUGUUGAGGUAUGUCCACCAACUCCCAGGUGUCAUUCUUUUCAAUCAUUCUAAGCUCCUCUUUCAUUGCUUCAGUCCACUUGUCAUCCUUCUCUGCCUCUUCAAAUUCUGCAGGCUCAAAAACAACAACAUUACUUCUUUCAUAAACAUCAGAUAAGGACCUUGUACCUCUAACUAGGGCAUCAUCUAUGUUUUCAUCAAAGUAUUGCGGAACCUCUGGUAGUUGCAUCUUUAUUGACUCCUCCCAAUUCCAUUGUCUAUCCUCUAUGAACUUGACAUCUCUACUUACAAGAAUUUUUCCAUUUUGUGGUUGGAAAAUUCUGUAAGCCUUGGAAGAGUUGCUAUAUCUAAUGAAAACUCCUGGUUCUGCCUUCUUAUCAAGUUUGUCUCUUUUCACCUGUGGCACAUAAGAAAAACAAAGACAACCAAAAGUUCUUGGAUUCUGCAAAUCUGGUUUAUAACCAAACCAGGCUUCAAAUGGAGUUUUUUUUUUUGCAAAACUCUAGUUGGCAGCCUAUUCAGCAAAAAACUGCAGUGUUUGCAGCCUCUGCCCACAAUUUCUUUGGCAACUCCUUCUCAUGUAGCAUACACCUUGUCAUCUCCAUAAUACUUCGAUUUUUUCUCUCACUUACUCCAUUUUGUUGUGGAGUGUAAAGUGUUGUGAGUUGGUGCUCAAUACCGGCUUCUUCAUAGAACUUAUCAAAAAUUUCAUUUGUGUAUUCUUUCCCAUUAUCUGACCUUAUCUUCUGCAUCCUGCAACUGCUUUGAUUCUCCACCCAUGCUUUAUAUUUCCAAAAUACAUUAGGAACCCCAUAUUUGGAUUUGAGGAAAUAAAUCCAACAAAAUCUGGUAUAAUAAUCAAUAAAUGCAAUGUAGUACUUAUUACCAUUUAAAGAUGGUGUUUUCUGAGGUCCUCCAACAUCUGUAUGUACCAGUUGCAGCUUGUGCAUUGCUCUCCAUGUUGUUUGAGGGAAGGGUUUUCUAGUUUGCUUUCCAUAUUGACAAGCCACACAAUCAGCUAGCUUGUCUUGCAGCAAUGGCACACCUUUCACCAAAUUAUGUUUCUGCAUAUAUAGAAGUCCAACAUGGUGGAAAUGCCCGAGCCUUCUGUGCCAUAAUUUUGCAUUGCGUUCAAUGCUUGAAAAUGCUAUUUGCUCAUCCUCCAUUAGAUUUAGAGCAAAGCUUUUUGCUCUCAUUUUCACUUUGAAUACAUCUCUACCUUUCGCGUCUUUGAUCAAGCACCAUUUGUCUUCAAAUAUGACUUUGAAACCUUUUUCAGUUAGCUAUCCAACACUAAGCAGGUUUUGAUCAAUGUCAGGCACAUAUAAAACAUUAGUAAUAUACUUCAAACCUAUUAAGCUUUCUAUAGCCACAGUUCCUUCCUUUACCCUUAACUGAAAUAAAUUCACCAUUUCCAAUUUUUACCUUGGAGAUAAUAGUUUUAUCAAGCUCCUUAAAGAGCUCUUGGUCAUUGGUCAUGUGGUUUGUGCAGCCACUAUCAAUCAACCAAGAAUUGCUAGAGUUGUUACUUGUUGUGAAGCAUGUUGCAACAAAAAGUUUCUCUUCUUGAUGUUGCUUAGUAGAAGCUGUAGGGACUCCUCCCUCCGAGAACACGUGGCACACAUCUUACAGUGACACGUGGCACGCAUCUUACAGUGACACGUGGCACGCAUCUUACAGUGACACAUGGCACGCAUUGUCAUCCGAGUCAUCCUCAUCCGGAUCUUCCUAUAAAGCACACAUGGCGCACUUUUUAUCCGGACUGCCUCAAGGAAGGGCAAACGACGCUUACAAAGCAUAGACAUCCGGACGACUUCCAUUAAUGCGUCCGCUCCACAAUACAUCCGGAUAACCAACAUGGACUAUCCGGAUAUGAUUGUCCGGAUCAUUAACUAAAGUAAAGCGAGUCUUACACUGAUUCGAUGCCCAGUCGGGUCUUUUAAUCAAAAACAUUUAUAAAACCUAUGACCUUAUACUGGCGUAGCAAAGCUACUAUAGUAUAGUAGUUCUAGGGUCGAACUCAGGGAUGAGUUUUCACUCUAUCAGUGACAGACUCUAAAUUAGAAAUUGAUUCUGAUGAUUUCCUUUAGCACAAACUUGAAAUUUAAAAGAAAAUAAAAUUGUUUUGAAAGUGGUGAUUUAAACUAAACUCACAUAGAACUAAGUAAAAAGUGUAAGAAAGAAAGUCUCCCGGAGCUGAAGGUUGCUAGGUUCAAGUGCCAGAUGCAAAGUGGAAAAUUCCGGAUUUUUCUCCUCGCAUUGGGGAUUUAACCUAUAGUUAUUUCCCGAACCGGUAUAGGUUUGACAAUGAAGUUUUAAUCCAUAAAAAGUCACUAGAGAUGGUAGUCAAGGUCCAUUAAUGGCUUAAGACACUAUGGGCUAUCACCUUGAAUCACUUUCCAAUGGCUCGUACAUGAUAACUAAUGGACUGAUAUGGAUCUAGCAAUAAGCAUCCNNNNNNNNNNNNNNNNNNNNNNNNNNNNNNNNNNNNNNNNNNNNNNNNUUCCAAUGGCUCGUACAUGAUAACUAAUGGACUGAUAUGGAUCUAGCAAUAAGCAUCCACAGAGACCUUAAACUUACCAUGUAUUGGCCAGUCAAAGUGAUUCAAAGGAAUUUAAGGCAAAACCUUGGCUUUAUAAACCAUUUAUGGACUCCAACUACCUGAAUUUAAUGCACGAAAACUUUCCAUGUUUUAAUCUGGACUUUUCACCUAGCUUCCUUUACUCCAAGAAACUAAAUGUUUAGCCUCUCAUCCUCUGGGAAAACAUCCUCAGAGGGUGUUUGGCUUACAAGAAAAUAGAAAAUAGAAGAGAGAAAAAGAAAACAAAAGAGAUCUCUGUAUUUCACUAAGUAUCAAAUUUACAUUAGUUGGUCUCCUGGAGAAAGCUCCGAAGCCGAUUUUCAGUGAUUACAAGAGAAUUUAUAUAGGAAGGUAAUUUUACCCUUCCUUGGAUACUUCCUAGCUAAGGAAUUACAUGAGUGGUUGAAUACAAGGAGAAAAUGGAAAUUUAGACACAAAAAUAUCAGAAGAAAAAGAGUCGGCAAAAAUAUCCAAUUUUCGCACGCUGGAGUUCCAAUUUCGCACCUUGGUUUGAGGUGUGCGAAAUUCUCGCACAGUGGACUGAGGAAUUCGCACCUUGCACAGUGGUGUGCGAAAUUGUCCCUCAGCUUGAUGCAGUUGUCUUCCAAAGGCCAUAUCUUUCUCAUUUCAGCUCCAAAUCAUACAUGGUUUGAACCGUUGGAUUCUUGACUUUUGGAGCUUUGAAAUGGUAUAUAGAAUGUAAAAAAUGGACUUCGGAAAGUGCUCCAAAAGUGCGAUGAAAGACUGAAGCUGUGUCCCCUAUUUUCAUCCCCUGUUUUCCUCUUCUCCAUUGUUUCUUCCUUGUAUACUUUGAACGAAUAAGGCAAAGGAUUAUGAGGCUCCAUAGCUUGAUUUCUUCAUAAAUUUAAGCUUUCAAAAGCUUUGCCAUGAACUAUAAAUAGCUCUCCCUCAUUCUUAAAUUGCUUUGGUGAGCAUAAAGCUAUCAAAAAGAACCAAAACUUAACACAAUUGUUAGAAACGAUUGCAAGGGUCCUUAACAUGUUAAUUGGGUUAAAAGGUAAUAAUUACUACUCAAGGGUGUUUAAAAGAGCUAAUUACAAGCUACAAAAUAGCAUGUUUUGAGUAGUAAUCAUACACGCUAUCACAACAACCAACCAUGGCCCACGUCCCAUCACCUGCAGAGUGAAAGGACGGGUUGAGGUGACAACAAGUCACUUCCCACGAUCGUUCUACAUGAUCACUUCCUACGAUCUCUGAUAGCCGCAUCACCUACCACGGUUUCUGACAGCCGCCCGUAGGGUGGUGAUGACCCUGCUGCCAUCUAAAUAUCAUCAUGACAACAUGAAAUAUCUCCCCACCAUUAAUGAGAGGAACAAUACUCCUGACACUAUAUAUAAACCUUCACACGAAGAGGAAGGUAAUCGCCUGAUACCUAGAAAAAGGCCAACUGAUUUAUAUCUCCCUCUCUAACCAUGGCUAACAAAACCAUCGGAGGGUGCGUCCGGACACCCUGUCCGGAUGCCUUUUGCAGGUAUAACGAUUGAAUCAAGAACCUAUUUUGGUUGAGGUCGCGCAUCCAUCCAUUUGGCAACUACGUGGAACACCAGGAGCGCGAGGUAUCAACAUAAGCUUUUGCCUCUUCAUGUUGUCGUGACUUGCAAAUCCACUCCAUGUGUCCAAUCUAACCAUAUUUCUUGCACUUGACAUCAGGCCUCCACCAACACUUCCUUUGUGGGUGAUUUGUCUUUUUGCAGUGUAGGCAAGGUGGAUAGGUUCCAUCCUUGUUUUUGUUGUUGUUGUCAGUCUUGUUGAUCUUCUUCUUAUUGUUGUUUUCUUGUUUUUGCCUCAUCUUGAAUUUUAUGCCUUUGCUUGNNNNNNNNNNNNNNNNNNNNNNNNNNNNNNNNNNNNNNNNNNNNNNNNNNNNNNNNNNNNNNNNNNNNNNNNNNNNNNNNNNNNNNNNNNNNNNNNNNNNNNNNNNNNNNNNNNNNNNNNNNNNNNNNNNNNNNNNNNNNNNNNNNNNNNNNNNNNNNNNNNNNNNNNNNNNNNNNNNNNNNNNNNNNNNNNNNNNNNNNNNNNNNNNNNNNNNNNNNNNNNNNNNNNNNNNNNNNNNNNNNNNNNNNNNNNNNNNNNNNNNNNNNNNNNNNNNNNNNNNNNNNNNNNNNNNNNNNNNNNNNNNNNNNNNNNNNNNNNNNNNNNNNNNNNNNNNNNNNNNNNNNNNNNNNNNNNNNNNNNNNNNNNNNNNNNNNNNNNNNNNNNNNNNNNNNNNNNNNNNNNNNNNNNNNNNNNNNNNNNNNNNNNNNNNNNNNNNNNNNNNNNNNNNNNNNNNNNNNNNNNNNNNNNNNNNNNNNNNNNNNNNNNNNNNNNNNNNNNNNNNNNNNNNNNNNNNNNNNNNNNNNNNNNNNNNNNNNNNNAUUAACAAAUAAGAAGAAUAAGAAAUAUAGUUUCACACUUAAGUAACAACUAAUACUAUAGAGAAAUGACCACAAGCUGGAAAGUCUUGACCAAUUUGAAAAAUCAUUUGAUGUAGUUGAAAUAAUUGAAUUUUGGAUAAAAUUCAUAACUGUCUCAACAUUAUUUUUUUUCCCUUUUUAUUUUUAUUGUUUGAAUAUUCAAGAGUUAAAACCAUUCCAAUGCUCCUUUUUGCCAUGUAUAAUUAAACUGAACCAACAAUUAGGAUAAGCACGAAAAAGAAGGAACCGAGAAGAAGAUAUCAACAAUAUUAACCGGUUUUAUUAUGGGACAACUCAUGAUGUUCAUAUUGAUCUAUUAUGCGCCUUUGCAUCUAGCAUUAGCUAGACUCAUACUGUCCUAGCUCUACUAUAUCUUUUAUUUCAUUUCGAUCUUCUGAAACAAUCACAAACACUUUUCAUUAUUAUUAUUAUUAUGAAUCAAAUGGGACAUAAAUGAAAUUAACAAAUGAGAAGAGUGAAAAAGGUAAUUAACAAAAUUUCAAGCUCAUCGUUGCUAAAUAUUUUAUAAGUAAAAAUUGCCCAAGAAACGAGCCUUUAAAAGUGUACCUUUAUUUAAAAAUAAAUAAAGGUAAAUUAAAGUAUUGACUUAGUACAUAAAUAUCAACACGAUUCCAAUCCAACGCAUUUUUUUGUGGGUUUUGGUUGAAUAUAAUUCUAUUUAUAUCAAAUCCGUAUCAACUUGUGUAAUAUAUUUUACUAAUAGGUUAUUUUUAAAUCAACAUACAUAACAUGAAUUUGACUCAAGUUAACCUUUAUAUUUAAUAAUCAUACCAAUUAACCUAAUUAUAAUUCUAACCGUUUAAUUAAUAUUUGAUUCAUUUUAAAUUUAUUUUUGAACAAAUAGUUAAUUAAAUUAUAACUAUAUUAACUUGUAAGAUUAAUUAUAUAAAUUUAUACAAAACUUAACUCAAUUAAAAAUUUGAUUUAAAUGAGUUAAAUAAAUUACAAAACAUGUUAUUUGUUUAAUAAUUACAUUGUAUUUAGGUUUAUGCUUUUUACUUUAUUAAUAUCAUUAUUAUGAUUGAGUCAACCUAUUUAGUAGAAUGUUUUAGUCUUGAUAUCACACAAAUUGUCAUCCCUAUCUCUAAUCUUGUCAAACAAAUAGUUUGAACGACAUAUUUUUUUAACUAAAGAAAAUUAUUACCUUACAUAGAGUUUUAUUAAAAAAAAAAAGCCAAAUAAAAAAAUGUAAUUAAAAAUAAUUACAAAUUUAUGCAUUUUCAAAUUAUUUAAUAAAUUUAAAGAAGUGAAAUGGAUUUAAACUGACUUAUAAAAAUAAGUUAUCAACUUCAAUUUUUUUUUCUUUCUAAUUUUUUUUUUAAUUUUUUUCCCUCACAUUUUUUUCCAUAGUUAUAGGAAACCAAACAUAACCUAAUUAGGAUCCUACUAUCAUGUUUUUUUAUUCCCAAAAGUUUUUGGGUCUAACCUUUUUCUAAACUUAUUUCAAAGGGCAUCUAUAACACAAGAUAUUAAGUGUGCUUGCUCGACAUGUAGUCUUUCAUUGAUUUCCUUUUCGAUUAAAAACUUUUAGACAAGUCAGAUAUAUAGUUUUUGCUUUCUUAACAGAAAUCAAAGUCUAAGGUGGUGUUUGUUUUUUUACUUAAUUCUAAAUAGAACCUUAAUACUUAAUAGUAUUAAAUAUUAGGUUGUUUGUUUUUGUAGUAUUUUAUUUCUAUUAAGUAUUAAAAAGUAAAAAAAAUCAUUGUGUUAUUUUUUCUAUUUAGAAAAAGCCACAUAUUUUGGCUUUUUCUAUUUAGUAAAAAGUUUAUAAUAAGUCAUGAAAAAGUAAAAAAACAAACAAUCUAAAUUCUAAAACUAAAUGGUUUUCAGCAAAAAGCCAAAAAAACAAACACCAUCUAAGUCUUUGCACAAAAUCCUAAUCAAAGAGAUCUUUUAGAAAUCUUAUUGGAAGAGAAUUUAAAACCAGAGUGGUGACAAAAGCACACGAACAAAUAAAACUGGACAAAGAAAUUAAGCAUCUCGAUGAGUUGAUAAAUAUCUUUGUCAAUGCUUCUACUUGAGAGAGAAAUACAUUAGAUUUCUACACUUUUGAAUAGUUGCCUUGAGUGACUCCAAUUAUUGGAAGCCAAGGUCAAGGUCGUUGAAGUUUGUCCAUUUUUUCCCUUGGUCCCACAUUAUUUGCUUCUCCUUAAUUUCCUCUGGUUUGGGAAAAGGACAUUCACACGGUUUGGUGUAGGAACCACCCUUUCCUUUAGUAUCCAUGAUUACUUUUCUACCCAAUAAUGAGGAAAACAUUUAUGAAGGCCCCAUGUGAGGACUAUUAUUGGUGACUCUAGAAAUAGAGCUAUUCAAUUUCCCUCAUAAAUAGUGUAACAUCCAAAAUAAAUUUUAGAGACAAAAUAGUAAAUUAUUAAUUAAUUAAACUUAUUAAAAAUAAACGAGUCAUUUUACAAUUAAAAAUUGUAUCAAUUAGAUUUUCAAUUUAUCUUCUUUAUUUAGAAAACUUUAUUAACAAAAAAUCAAAUAAUUGAAGAACGUAAGGUUAAAGAUUUGGAAGUCUAUAGUUUGAAGUUCAAUUAUUUUUUUUCAAGUAAGAUUCUAACCCUAGAUUAAUAUAUUAUAUUCAUUAGUUAGUUUUGACUAUGUUAGAUAUUUUUAGAAAAUUUUAAUUUAGAUUAUAAUUAGUUUAUUUAAUUUAUUUUAAGAUAUAAAAAAUUGAAAUUAUGAAUGUUGUUUCAUUGAUGAAAAUAAAGAAAUUCAAAAUUAUUUUAGAUGAAUAAAUCUAAACAAUGAAAUUUAAAAAAAUUAAAUGAUUAAAUAAGUAUAUGAUUAUAUGUGGCUUAAGGGAUUGAAAAAUAAUAAAAAGAAGAAUAACAUGUUUUUGGAUUUUGGAUUUGAGGAAUUUUUUAAUAAUAAAAAUAAUUAAGGUUUACUAUUAAUAAGAAUAAUGAUAAUAAUGAUAUUAAUAAUAAUAAGAAGAAGAAUUGUGUGAAGAAUAAUUUCAUCUUCAACGUAGAAAUGUGAUUGUCAAGGCCUCAGUGAAGAGAACGGUAACGGACCCUGCUGUAAACGACGAUGGGUCACGAGCAAAUGGUGAAAUUGCGGAUGAACCCCACAACUGUAAAGUGCUUUUGACGCGUAAUGGGUUCCACCACUACCAUUAUUGGGGAAUCUUUCUGGUGGAUGAAAAGCCGCUUUUGGGUUCACGGUUGACUCAUUAAAUCUCCUACCUAUCUCUGAGUUUGUCAACUGAGACCACCGAGUUUUAUUUAUUUAUUUAUUUUUUUCUUUUCCUCGGUUCAAUUUUUGUUUCCAAUACGAGGAAAAGGGCUUUCAAGUCUGACACGUGGAAAGUCAGUGGGCUUCAUAAUUUUGUUACAUUUUUAGGGUUUGUUGGAGCUGCAAUAGGGACAAUAAUUUUUGUAUGGAUAAGCUACAAAUCAGAUAUCGAAUCUAAAACAAAUGUUUAAUGGUGCAACUAAAAGAUGUUUUUUCAAACAUUUUAUUUAUAUUUUUUAUGUGAAAUAUGUUUUUUUUUUUCUCCCAAAGAAUAGAAAACUAUUUUUAAAAAAAUGUUAUUAACAAAAUCUAAGUAUAAAAUCAAUUAAAAACAAUGAGAUUUUUUUUCUUAAAAUUUUCUAUGAUAAGAUAACAUUAGAAUGACACUAUUAGCAAAAUAAAAAUUUAAAGCUAAAUAUACAUUCCUACAAUGUGAAUAAUUAAAUAGCACACAAUCUAAUAUAAUUAUUUAAUUUAUUUUUAAAUUAGAUAUUAUUUAAUUAAUUACCAAAAUUUAGAAAAAAAAAAUCAAGCUCAAAAUUAAAGAGAACCUAAAUUUUUUUAAAAAAAAUUAUUUAAUAAAAUGUCAAAUACAAAAUUACCAAAAAAAAAUUAACAUUAUUAGAAAAGUUAUAAUAAAAUUAAAAUUUACAUUUAAUGCAAGAAAGAAAAAUAAAUAAAAUGUUGAAUGCAUGAAAAAAAUUAAAUUGAACUUUUAAAACUCAAAAUUAAAUUUAUGGGGUUUCUAUUUUAUUUUUUAUUAUUCGAAAACCUUAUUUAUAUCUAUGAGAUUUUUUAGGGGACUCGCCCAUCUACUGGCUUGGUCAAUGUAAUAUAAACUUCUUUUAAUCAUAUAAAUGUAUUUUAAAAUCAUGAAUAUUGAUUGUGCUCAAAGUAAAUAAUAUCGUAAAUACAUAUUCUGUUCAAAGUGGAUAAUAUCUACAUAAGAAAAAGCAAAUUAUUAUAAAUGAUAUUAAAAUCAAUCCUUGAAUAUGCGAGACUACCUAAAUGGUCUUAGAGGGAUGUUUAUGUGUUUGACCUUUGCAUGGUAUAAGUAAUGAGAUCUAUCUUAUCACCGACCAAUCAUGAAAUAUGAUAUAAUAUUCAUAUUUUAUCUUAUUUUAUACUAUAUCCGGUUAACCAAACAUGACCUAAGGUUAAUUGUUGUAACUAGUCAAGUUUUAGCCAUGACGGAUGCAUACUCAAUCAUGGUAUUAUCUCAGCCUUUUGGGCUUCCAGGACUGGUCCUUUAAAUUUGGGCUCAAACCCAACCUAAUGGAAGAGGGCCUUAACUCAGUUCAUGGGCCUGUCUAGCCUGCCGCGCUGGUUUCCAACUGGCUCGACCCAGCCUAGACUAGGGGUCGUGCCCGUCCACUAUAUUGUUAUAAUUUUUAUAGGAUCAUAGGUGAUUUAUUCUUUGAAUUUUAUAGUAAAGAGACAAAGCUUGAUAAUAAGAAUUUGGACAUUGUCUAAAAAAUUUUAAGGGUGUUUAGCAUCUAAAUUUUGAGAAUUUUUUUGGCUAUAAAAAAAUUUGAGAAAAACUACAAAGAAAAUAAAAUAAAGAAAAAAAGUAAAAAGGAAAAAAAAUGAUGAAAAAUAAUGAAUAAAUUUAAAGUUCAUGCGAUAUUUUUAUAUGUUAUUUAAAAAAAAUUAACUCUUAUAUAUAAAGGUUGAAUAAUUUGAAAAUAUAUAGAUUUCUAAUUAUAUUAAAUUUUCUUACAUAUUUUUAAUGAUAAAAUCAAAUAUGAAAUCAAACAUGAGAAUAUAAUUUUUCUUAAUAAUUUUUAUUUUUAUUUUUUUAACAUUUUUCUUUCUUUUUAUGAUACAUACUCUUAAGUCUAAUCCAAUGAGGUAGAGGUAGUUGUACAUAGAAGGUCCAACUAAUGUUGGUUGAUGUGGGACAUUGAACUUUCGUCUGUCCUAUGUAGUGAACCUANNNNNNNNNNNNNNNNNNNNNNNNNNNNNNNNNNNNNNNNNNNNNNNNNNNNNNNNNNNNNNNNNNNNNNNNNNNNNNNNNNNNNNNNNNNNNNNNNNNNNNNNNNNNNNNNNNNNNNNNNNNNNNNNNNNNNNNNNNNNNNNNNNNNNNNNNNNNNNNNNNNNNNNNNNNNNNNNNNNNNNNNNNNNNNNNNNNNNNNNNNNNNNNNNNNNNNNNNNNNNNNNNNNNNNNNNNNNNNNNNNNNNNNNNNNNNNNNNNNNNNNNNNNNNNNNNNNNNNNNNNNNNNNNNNNNNNNNNNNNNNNNNNNNNNNNNNNNNNNNNNNNNNNNNNNNNNNNNNNNNNNNNNNNNNNNNNNNNNNNNNNNNNNNNNNNNNNNNNNNNNNNNNNNNNNNNNNNNNNNNNNNNNNNNNNNNNNNNNNNNNNNNNNNNNNNNNNNNNNNNNNNNNNNNNNNNNNNNNNNNNNACCCUAUAGAGUAGUAAUCUGCUCCCUUUAGUUAUGCCUGUAACGUAGGGAUUAUACAACUCAUGUCCACACUCUCCCUCAAGUUGGUGCAUAGAUGUCGUUGAUGCCCAACUGCAUACCAUCUUAGUGAGGAUGUCUGCUAGUUGGUCUUCUGAUUUGAAAAAUGGGAAUCAGAUUAUAUUAACUUCUAAGUUUUUCUUGAUAAAAUGUCGGUCUACUUCCACAUGCUUAGUUCAAUCAUGUUGGACUAGGUUAUAAGCAAUAUCAAUGGCUGUCUUGUUAUCACAAAGCAAGUUCAUCUCGCAACAAGGAGAAUAGCCAAUUUCUAUCAAUAAUCUUCUCAGCCAGAGUAACUCACACAACCCCUUAGCCAUUCCUCGAAACUCCGCCUCUGCACUAGAUAGUGCUACUGAUUCGUGCCCGAUUGGUGUUCCAAUUGAUUCAACUCAAUUGAUGUGCUUUGAUCUCAAUCCUCAGACGGGAGUAAUCAACAAAAUUUAUAAACCUAUUUCACCAUAUACUGGGGUAGCAUUUAACUAGCAUAGUAUAGUGGCUCUAGGAUCGUCCACAGAGAUGGGUUUUCACAUCGCAAUUGAUAUUAGUUCAAAAAUUGAAUUGGUACUUUUUAUUUUCUUUGUUAGCUUUAAAAGAAGACAUAAGUUUGAAUGAAAACGGAUGGUAUUAAGCUAACCUAACAUAAAGUAAUUGAUUUUACUUACAAAGAAAAGUGUUUCUUGGAGUUUUAGAUCACUAGGCUCAGAUUCCUCAUACAAAAAGGGAGUUCCGGUCACUUGCUUCUUUUCCUCGCAUUAGAGAAUUAACAUAUAGUUAAUUCUCUAACCGGUGUGGUACAGAUGCUUCCCAUUAAUGGGUUCAAACACUAAAUUCCUCUCACUGAUGCACCUUGCAAUGGCUCAUACCUCUCACCAAACACUUUCCAUUCAAGGUGAUCUUUAACCUUGGAUUACCCGUCAAAAGCGAACAAGAGAUAACAAUUAGACCUCCAUGGAGCAAGAUUGCAAGCAAUAAGAAUCCAUGGAAUUCGAAAGCUUACCAAAUAUUGGCUAUUCUAGAAAAUCCUACCUUUAAACCACCUACCAAAAGCUCGCAAGAGAUAAACUAGUGCAUCUCUAUGGACGGAGAUCACUUGCCUUACCAAGUGUUAGCUCAGGUGAAUUGAAGGCGUUUUAAGUUAACUAAAAAGAUAAAAACCAUUAACGGGUCACACUUUCUCUUCAUUAAAAACUAAAACAACAAAACUUUCAAUUUAUGCAUGUGGAAACUUACCCGGCUUUCCUCACUCCAAGAGACGAAGAGCCUAGCCUCUCAUCCUCUGAGGAAAAAUCCUCAGAGUUUGGUUAGCUAGAAAGAAAAAGAAAAUGAAAAUGAAAGAGAAGGAAAAACAAAGCAAAGCUCUUUAUAUUCUAUAUACUUAUAUAUCUAUAUCUUUUACAAUGGAUGCAAGGGAAUAUAUAUAGAGAAGUUUUUCCAACCUUCCUAGCUAAGAAAUCUUAUGGUUGGUGGAUUACAAGGAGAAGAAUGGAAAUUUAUACAAAAAUAUCUGAAGAAAAUAUCUAAAAGAGUUGGUGCACAAAUAUCCCAGUUUGCAUGUAGAUUUCGCACGUUGCAUGGUGACUUGCGAAAAUCUCGCAAGUUGAUUUCGCAACUUGGAAUCCAUUUUCGCACGUUGAGCUCCAAGUUCGCAAGUUGCAAAAUCACUUUCGCAAGUUGGGCUUCUCUGUGACUGUGCGGCUGUAUUCCAUUUCCAUUUCGCAAGGUAGGCUUUAAUUUCGCACGUUGGAGUUCCAAAUUCGCAAGAUGCGAAUUUGUCCUUCAACUGGGUACAGUUGUCUUGUGAAAGCCAUAUCUUCCUCAUUUCAGCUCCAAUUCGUACACUGUUUGAAGCGUUGGAUUCUUGACUUCCUGAGCUUUGAAAUGGUAUAUAGCAUGUAGAAAAUGGACUUCGGGAAGUGCUCCAAAAGUGUGAAAGAAGACUGAAGCUGCUGUCCUCUAUUUUCUUCACUCUGUUUUUCCUCUCUCCGUUGUUCUUUCCUUGCAUACUUUGAACGAAUUUGGCAAAGGGCUAUGGAGCUCCAAAGCUUGGUUCUUCAUGAAUUUGAGCUUCCAAAAGCUUUGCCAUGAACUAUAUACAGCUCUCCCUCAUUCUUGGAUUGCUUUGGUGUAGCUAAAAGCUAUCAAAAACACCAAAACUUAACACAAUUUGCUUAGAAACGAUUGCAAGGGUCCUUAACAUGUCAAUUGAGUUAAAAGGUAAUAAUUACUACUCAAGAGUGUUUAAAAGAGUUAAUUACAAGUUACAAAAUAGCACUUUUUGAGUAGCAAUCAGCUACUACUUUAUGUUUUUUUACUUCGACAUGUUUUCAAGUUUCUCCAACAAAUGUGAGGUAACCUGAUGUGGAUUUCCUAUCGGAGAUAUUUCUUGCCCAAUCAACGUCGAUAUACCCUAUAAUUUCCAGGUACCCAUUCUUUGAGAACAUAAUUCUCUUCCCUAGGGUUCCCUUAAGGUAUCUUAAAAUUUGAGUCACUACAUUCAUAUGAUCUUCACUAGGGCAAUGCAUGAACUGAUUCACUACACUGACCGCAUAGACAAUAUCAGGUCGGGUAUGUGAAAGAUAAAUUAGUUUUCCAACCAAUCUCUGAUAUUUGCCUUUAUCAGUGGGGAUCUGGUCAGGGUAUUCUCCAAGCCUAUGAUUCUAUUGUAUUGGAACAUCUGUCAGUUUACAGUCUAGCAAUCCAACUUUUGAUAAUAGAUCGAGAGUAUACUUUCGUUGGGAAAGAAAGAUACCUCGUUUAGAUUGAGCCACCCGAAUUCCUAGAAAAUAUUUCAACCAAGCCAAACUCUUUAUUUCAAACUUUGCUGCCAACUGUUUUUUAAGUUUCGCAACUUCCUCGGUAUCAUUACAUGUGAUGAUCAUAUCAUCUACAUACACUAUUAGUGUUGUUACCUUGCCUUGUCGACGCUUUAGAAAUAGAGUGUGGUCAUAAUUGCUUUGUUGAAACCCAUACUUUCUCAUUGCUAGGUUGAGGCGUCCAAACCAAGCUUGUGGAGACUAUUUCAAGCCGUACAGGGUGGGCCACAGUUUACACACUGUCUUGCCAGACGUUUCAAUGUACCCAUGGGGAAUAUCCAUAUAAAUUUCUUCUUCGAGGUCACUAUGGAGGAACACAUUCUUUACAUCAAAUUGGAGUAGCGACCAAUCAAGAUUCACUACAAUAAAUAGAAGGACUCUUAUAGUGUUCAACUUGGCUACAAGUGAGAAGGUCUCCAUAUAGUCAACUCCAUAAGUCUACGUAUAUUAUUUCGCUACAAGCCUCACUUUUUAGCACUCAAUUGACCCAUCCACCUUGUAUUUGAUGGAGAAUACCCAUUUGCACCCCACUAUCUUGUGGCAUUCUAGUAAAGAGACAAGAAUCCACGUCUUGUUUUUCAACAAUGCUUCCAUUUCUUCCUUUAUUGGUUGGACCCACCUAGGGUCUUGUAGAGCCUCCUCUAUGCUUGUUUGAAUGUGAUGCGCUGAUAAUGCAUUAGAAAAGCUCUUUAAGGGUUCUGAAAGCUUCUUUGUUGAGACGUAAUUGGCAAUUGGGUACUUUGAUUUGUGUGUCUCAAUAUUUGGAGAAUAGCAUUUUGGUAGUUUGCCACGAUUGUGCUUGGAAGGUAACUAAUAACCAUCGUCAGUUAAAUGUUUUGUGGCAAGAGGAAAACUUACCUUAGGAACCUCUUCAGGAAUAUUCUCAGAAGUUGGGUCAUGAGGUACUUUAGAAUGAGGGGGUGUCUCAGGAAUUGGAGUUGGUGUCUCAGUAGUCAGCAUUGGUGGCUCUGUAGCUAUUCCAUACCCAUGGUAGUUGGUGGCUCUAUAAUCAGUGGGAUGUCUGGGAUGUCUUUGAACCAAUUCAACUCUUCAUCGUGUGUCUUCCCCUUAAGAGAAGAAUUGGAUGGAUGAUAGAACAUCUCAGACUCGAGGAAGGUGACAUCCAUAGUAACAUAGAGCCGCAUGUUUGUUGGAUCAUAGCACCAGUAACCUUUUUGAUUGGUGGCAUAGCCUAGAAAGAGACAACGACAAGCACAAGGAUCGAGUUUAGUGCGCUGGUUGCAGUGAAGAUGAACAUAGACAACGCAUCCAAAGGUUCGGGGAAGAAGCGUCGUAGUCGAAAGUACUCAUAUACUCGAGGCUAAGGCCUGUAGAGGUGUUUUGAAAUCCAGAAUUUGGAAUGUCAUUCGAUUAAUGAGAUGCACAAUAAUUGUAACCGCAUUAGGCCAGUAAGGACUAGGUACAUGUGCACUUAAUAGGAGGACACGUGUGGUCUCGAGAAUAUGGCGAUUCUUACGUUCUACUACACCGUUUUGCUCUAGAGAAUGAGGACACGAGGUUUGAUGUAUCAACCCAUGUUGGUGGAAGUACUUCUGGAAUUGUCGAUUCAUGUAUUCAGUGCCAUUAUCAAAGGAAAAAACUCCGAGUUUGGCAGAAAAUUGGGUUUGAGUCAUUGUGUGAAAAGAGCAGAAGACAGUAAAAACCUCAUCUUUGUUUGUCAGUAGGUAGAGCCACAUCAUUCAAGUGCAAUCAUCAACAAAGAGAACAAAUCAGCGAUAACCCGAUAGAGUAGAUUUUAGGGAUGGUCCCCACACAUCAGAAUGAAUUAAGCUAAAAGGUACAUCACUCUUAUUCUUAUGUAAAUGAUAAAUUAUCCGGUGACUUUUGGCCAAAAUACAAGUUUCACAUUGAAAAUCUGAGAUAGAGAAAUCAGAAAAUAAACUAGGUAGUAAAUGCUUCAAAUAUCCAAAUGACGGAUGGUUGAGUCGUCGAUGCCAAAGUCAUAUCUGUUCUAUUCUAGAAUCACCCGACUAUCCCACAUGAUGAGUUUGUCCCAUUUUUAACAGAGCCAUGUUAAAAAUCUCUUAUCUUUCUUUAUUUUCAUGUGUUUGGUUUGGUUAAUGUAGGAGAUCUCCAUCCAAUCUGCAUUUCGCUCAACCAUCCGACAUCAGAAAAUGGAUACAAACUAGAAGUACUUUGCCCUUCCCUACUAUGCAGUCGCUUGUCACCAAAAAUGGUAAGUCCUGGUUGAACUCCAGAAGUCUGCUCAUGGGUGAAAUUCAUCUACAUCCCCAAAAAAUCUCCACCAUACCACUUUCUUGGAAAAUUUGGUUGGAAUCCUGGCAAAUACUUGCACAAAAUCCGAUUUCUACUAUUUCAACUGGCAAAACUCUCACUGGGAUUAUUCCCACUGCACCUAUCUUUUGGUUUCUGGAAAAGCGAAUACCAAGAGGCCGUCUCAUUACGGAACUGUAGAUGUUGUAUCUUGCCGAAAAAUUUCAUCACCAACCUCCUAUAAUAAAGAGAGGUUGUAUCUUGAAAGUCAUAAUCAUAUCCUCCAAGUGAGCUUUUUCUUCUAUCAUCACUGAUAGUGGUAGAUAAAAACCAAACUAGAGCACUGAUGAAAAGAUUGAAAUUGCAUUGGGUUCUUUUAAGAUUGAAGAAGAGAACAGUGGAAAAGGCAUUAUGGGUAAAAGAAUUGUCAAACUUGUAAGAUUUGUUUCUAUUUCUUUUGGUCAUUGGUCAAGUAGUCAUUACUUUUUUAUUUUUUAUUUUAUUUUUAUUUUUUAAAAUCAACUCUUGAUUCAAUGAUUUCACAAUGCAUGUAUCAAUUGGAUGAUGAUUCUUGAAUUAGAAAUUUCCUUCCACACAAUAUGAUUAUAAAUAAAUACACAAGAAAAAUGAGCAACAGAACUACCAAAGAAUCAAACAGUUUUAGGUCUACUUCGCCUUGCAGCCUUAAGGCAAAAAUAUAGAAAAUAAGAUGGGAAGUUACUGAUUUACAAUUGGUGUAGAGAACAAUCGAAUAGAUAUUCAUGAAAUCAAUUUACACUAAAACACACCUGUGAUUAUGUCCUAAGAAAUCCAAUUCUGAUGCAACAUAUAUGAAGUUGAUAACACCAACAAACAAGACUGAACUUUGGCUGAUUCUCCCUAACUAUCUACCUUCUUCUAAGCUGACAGUUAUCUCAUUGUUGGAGCAUGUUUUCGGAUUGGUGGAAGAGGAAGGAGCUAAGCUGGGCGGCCCUCUUCUCACAACAAAGGCUGGUUGCUAGGGUAUUGGAAGUGUGGCUAUCUCACUAUUGAGCAUGAGAAAUGCAUUGGGCAUGGUGGGGCGAUCACUUGGGUCUUCUUGUACACACAACAACCCAACAUUUACACACCUCAAGAAUUCAUUAGUGUUGCAUGUUUCACUUAGUGUCUGGUCCAUCAAAUCAUACACCUUGUCUUCUUUCCACAAUCUCCAUGUUUGGAACAAUUCUCUUGAUAUUAAAAUUAGAUUUGCUAAAGUAAAAUGAUAGGUUGGGCAAUCAUAUCAAUUUGAUAUAUAAUAUAAAGAUUUUUUUUCUAGGGGAGGUCAUCAAUUCAAACCUCAUUGUUUGUUUAUUUUCUUUAUUUACUAAGCUUACAUGCAAAUCUAAAGAAGGCCACUUGUGAGAUAAUGUUGAAUGACAUGUCCUAGGAGCUGCUGACAUGGAGCUACGUAGAAUGAAGUGGAAGUAGUUAAAAUAAGUUAGUCAUGUGGAAGAUUUACCUAUUCCUUAGGAAGUAUUUGUUGGUUUGUUUUUAUUCUUUAGGAAGUAUCUAUAGGUAGCAUGUUUGUUGCUAUUUUUAUGUUUUUCUGUUUUAAGCUAGCUGUAUAAAUAAGUGCUUUGAAGCUUAAUAAAAUAUAACUUCAGAUUCCUCAACAUUAUGUUGCUUCUUGAGAGUUUCUACCCUUUGUUUUUAUCAAAACCUACAAAUUGGUAUCAGAGUUGUUGUUAUUGAGUAACCUGUGAGGUGAGUGAGCCUAUACACCACCAUCUACCCUAUCCAAAACAAUAUCCAUGUUGUUCUUGAGUAACCUGUGAGGUGAGUGAGCCUAUACACCACCAUCUACCCUAUCUAAAAGAAUAUCCAGAAUGACCUCAGAAGCUUCACUGAAUGCAGUGGCACCUCCAGUGUUUGAUGGAAUAAAUUAUCAAGUGUGGGUUGUCUGUAUGGAAGCCUACCUUGAUGCUAGUGAUCUGUGGGAAGCUGUUAGUGAGGAAUAUGAAGUUCCUCCCCUGUCCGACAAUCCAACUAUGGCUCAGAUAAAACUACACAAUGAGAGGAGGCAAAGGAAAUCAAAGGCAAAAGCUAGUCUAUUUGUAGCUGUCUCAUCCACAAUUUUCACCAGAAUCAUGGCAUUGAAGACGAAAAAUGAAAUAUGGAACUUCCUGAAGAAGGAAUAUGAAGGAAAUGAAUGAGUCAAAGGUAUGCAAGUGCUGAACCUGAUUAUAGAGUUUGAGAUGCAAAGGAUGAAAGAAUCAGAAACAAUCAAGGAUUACUUAGACAGACUUCUUAGUAUUGUUAACAAAGUAAGACUUCUUGGUACUGACUUUUCUGAUUCUAGAAUAGUUCAAAAAAAUUUUAUAACAGUUCCUGAAAAGUUUGAGACUACAAUAUCAUCUCUAGAAAACUCAAAAGAUGUGUCAAGUAUCACCUUGGCAGAGCUGUUGAAUGCAUUACAGGCUCAAGAACAAAGGAGGCUUAUGAGACAAGAAGAAUAUGUGGAGGGUGCAUUUCAGGCCAUAUCUCAGUACAAGAAAGAAAUGCAAAGCAACAAUAACAGCAGCAACAACACUCAAAAGUUUCCACCAUGUCCUUACUGUAAAAAAUCCAAUCAUCCACAAAAAAAGUGUUGGUGGAGGUUGGAUGUAAAAUGUCACAAGUGUGGUCAGCUAGGGCAUGUGGAAAGAAUAUGCAAAUCUCAACAGCAGCUAGGAGAAGUCAAGGUUGCUGUGGAAGAACUUCAAGAUGAGCAACUGUUUGUGGUAUCAUGCUUUUUCACUAGCAGCUCCCUAGAAACUUGGCUUAUAGACAGUGGUUGUACAAACCAUAUGACUUAUGAUCAAGGGCUCUUUAAGGAACUUGACAAAACUGUUACUUCCAAAGUUAGAGUUGGAAAUGGAGCAUAUCUUGCAGUAAAAGGCAAAGGCACCAUGGCAAUUGAAGGCCACACAGGUUUGAAAUUAAUCUCUAAUGUCUUAUAUGUUCCUGAGAUUAAUCAAAAUUUGCUGAGUGUUGGUCAGCUAUUGGAAAAAGGCUAUAAGGUGUUGUUUGAGGACAAUCAUUGCAUGAUUGCUAAUGGACAAGGCAGAGAGGUAUUUAUAAUCCAAAUGAAAGACAAAAGCUUUGCCUUGGAUUUGAUACAAGAAGAGCAAGUUGAAAUUCACAAAGAAAAAACAAUACAAUGCUUUGGCAUAGGCGUUUGGGGCACUUUCAUCAUACCGCCCUGCUCUUUAUGANNNNNNNNNNNNNNNNNNNNNNNNNNNNNNNNNNNNNNNNNNNNNNNNNNNNNNNNNNNNNNNNNNNNNNNNNNNNNNNNNNNNNNNNNNNNNNNNNNNNUUAAAUAUGAAGUGCUACAUUUUUGGAAGUUUAAAGCUUGGGAUGAAAAUCAAAGUAAAUGUAAAAUGCAAGUGAUCAGGUCUGAUAAUGGAACUGAAUACACCUCGGAGAAAUUUAACAAAUUUUGUGAAGAUGCAGGCAUUGAGCACCAGCUUACAACACCUUAUACCCCUCAACAGAAUGGAGUCGUUGAGAGGAAAAAUAGAACACUUAUGGAAAUGACAAGGUGUUUGCUGCAUGACAAAUGGCUGCCAAAGAAAUUCUGGGCUGAGGCUGCACAUACAUCAAUCUUUCUGCUGAAUAGACUGCCAACAAAAGCUUUGCAACAAAAUACUCCAUUUGAAGCAUGGUAUGGCUAUAAACCAAGGCUACAAAAUUUAAAAACAUUUAGUUGUCUUUGUUUCUCUUAUAUUCCACAUGUUAAGAGAGACAAAUUGGAUAAAAAAGCUGAAGUUGGGAUCUUUAUAGGCUAUAGCUCAAUAUCAAAGGCCUAUAGAAUCUACCUUCCAGAAAAUAACAAAGUGAUAGUUAGCAAAGAUGUCAAAUUCUUUGAAUCAGAAAGUUGGAGUUGGGAGAAUGAUAAGAAGCUUGAGUUUAAAGAGAAUCUUGAGUUCCAAAAGGACCUUGAGUUUCAGGAGGAGCAUGACAAUAUUGAUGAUGAACCUAUCAGGGGAACCAAAUCACUCUCUAACAUCUAUCAGAGGUGCAAUGUUGCUAUAAUAGAGCCUGCAGGGUAUGAAGAAGCUACAACUGAUAAAAAAUGGAUGGCUACAAUGAAGGAGGAGCUUAAAAUGAUUUUGAUGGACAAACCGACACACAAAAGGGCAAUUGGAGUCAAGUGGGUUUAUAGAACCAAACUCAAUUCCGAUGGUUCUAUAAACAAACACAAGGCAAGACUAGUUGUCAAAGGAUAUGCUCAGAUGUUUGGGGUGGAUUUCUCUUAGACUUUUGCCCCAGUUGCUAGAUUGGACACUAUAAGAAUGUUGUUGGCUCUUGCUGCUCAAAAAGGCUGGAAUAUACAUCAGAUGGAUGUCAAAUCAGCCUUCUUGAAUGGAUACUUGGAGGAAGAAAUUUUUGUGGAGCAGCCUGAAGGUUUUAUUGUUCAAGGAAUGGAGGAGAAAGUAUAUUUGCUGAAAAAGGCCUUGUAUGGUUUAAAACAGGCACCAAGGGACUGGUACAGUAGGAUUGAUUCACAUUUGUUAGGCAUAGGCUUUACAAAAAGCCUAAGUGAAUUUACUCUAUACUUCAGGAAGGUUUGUGAUGAAACACUUGUGGUAUCCUUAUACAUUGAUGAUCUACUUGUGACAGGAAGCAGUAUGGAGCAAAUUGUUAAUUUCAAAAAGGAAAUGAAUGAUGUUUUUGAGAUGACUGAUCUUGGAAGGAUGACAUUCUUUCUUGGCAUGGAAGUACAACAAAAAUAGAAUGAGAUCUUCAUAUGUCAACAAAAAUAUGCCAAGGAAAUCCUGAAAAAGUUCAAAAUGGAAGAGUGCAAUCCAAGUGCAACUCCAAUGAAUCAAAAUGAGAAGUUUUGCAAAAAAGAUGGAGCUGCAAAAGCUGAUGAAAGGCUUUACAAGACCAUUAUUGGGCGCUUGAUGUACCUAACAGCAACUAGACCAGAUAUUAUGAAUGCAGUAAGUUUACUCUCAAGGUACAUGCAUUGUGCUAGUGAAAUUCACUUUCAAGCAGCAAAAAGAAUUGUUAGAUAUGUCAAGGGUACAAUUGACUAUGGUUUGAGGUUUUGUCAAGUUAAAAACUUUACUCUUCAUGGUUAUUCAGAUAGUGAUUGGGCAGGUUGUGUUGAUGACAUGAGAAGUACUUUAGGUUAUUGUUUCAGCUUUGGUUCUGCUAUUUUUACAUGGUGUUCCAAAAAGCAAGAAGUCAUAGCCCAAUCCACAGCAGAAGCAAAAUAUGUAGCUGCUGCUGCUGCUAUGAAUCAGGCUUUCUGGAUCAGGAAAUUGAUGGCUGACUUGUUUAUGGAGCAAAAGAAAAGCACACAAAUACUCGUAGACAACCAAGCUGCAAUUUCAAUUGCAAAUAAUCCGGUGUUCCAUGGCAAAACAAAACAUUUCAAGCUAAAACUCUAUUUACUAAGAGAGGUACAGAAAGAGGGAGAAAUACAGUUGGUCUACUACAAAACAGAAAGUCAAAAUGUUGAUAUCUUAACCAAACUACUUCUCAAAGCUAGAUAUGAGUUCUUGAGGCAAAGGCUUGGAGUCUGCAGCUCCAGAGACAAGGAGGAGUGUUGAAUGACAUGUCCUAGGAGCUGCUGACAUGGAGCUGAGUAGAAUGAAGUGGAAGUAGUCAAAAUAAGUUAGUCAUGUGGAAAAUUUACCUAUUCCUUAGGAAGUAUUUGUUGGUUUGUUUCUAUUCUUUAGGAAGUAUCUAUAUGUAGCAAGUUUGUUGCUAUUUUUAUGUUUUUCUGUUUUAAGCUAGUUGUAUAAAUAAGUGCUUUGCAGCUUAAUAAAAUAUAACUUCAGAUUCCUCAACGUUUUGUUGCUUCUUGAGAGUUUCUACCCUUUGUUUCUAUCAAAACCUACAGAUAAGGUAUUGGCCCACCAUCACAUGAUAGUUUAAGCUUUGGGUUGAAUUGAUAAUUUAACAAAGAAUGACUAAAAGAUAAAUCAUCAUGAGAUAUUCAAGCCACUUACAUAACCUAAAAGGCUCAUAGCUUGGUCAGAUUGAUAAAAUCCUGUGUUCCUCUUCCCACUGAUGAUCUCAAGUACAAUAACACCAAAGCAAAAAACAUCAGAUUUUACUAAGAAAAACCCAUCUAGCACAUAUUCUGGAGACAUAUAGCCACUGCAUUACAUGGAAUGUUAAAAAGUAAUCAGUUGAUUAGGUAUAUGCCAAGGCAAAUAUCUUUCCCCAUGCAUACAAUACUUACUAAGUGCCCACUACUAUGUUUGUGUUUGCCUCUGUUUGCUUGCUCUCAAAGAUCCUGGCCAAGCCGAAGUCUGAAAUUUUGGGAUUCAUAUCCCCAUCUAGUAGAAUGUUGCUCGUCUUCAAGUCCCUGUGAAUGAUCUUCAACCUUGAAUCUUGGUGAAGAUAAAUUAGCCCUCGAGCAAUUCCCAAAAUGAUGUCGAAGCGACUCUCCCAGUUUAGUAACACGCAUAGCAUUCGAUCUUGCCCAGUUGCCAUUAGAAAGAAAAAUUUUAGUGGCAUGGUUCAUUCAGUUAGAUCCUGUCUAUCAGUUCAUGGCACGUAUGCAAUGAUACAACAAAAGUAGGGACUUGACGUAGGUUUAGAGGCAAACCAAAUAUGAAAGAGUCUAAGCUUUUGUUGGGCAUAUAUUCAUAAAGUAAAAUCUUCUCAUCUCCUUCAAUACAAUAGCCCAGAAGUCUAACCAGAUUUCGAUGCUGAAGUUUGGCAAUCAACACAACCUCAUUCUUAAAUUCCACUAGGCUUUGCCUUGAAGCACUUGAGAGUCUCUUCACAGCUACUUCUUUCCCAUCUGGAAAUUUGCCCUAGAAGCCACAAUGCAUAUGCAUUAGACAUUGAUAAUCAGAAAUCAGUUGAAAAUAUGAGCAUUGUUUGAAAUAAGUUAUAUUACCUUGUAAACCGGCCCAAAGCCCCCUUGUCCAAGCUUAUGCGAAUCUAAAAAGUUAUCCGUAGCAGCCAGGAUGUCUUUUAAGUUGAAAAAUGGUACAUCAAUGCCUUUCUUAUCCUCAUCUUUGAAUUGCUUCAAGUCUAUUAAGUGUUUCACACGACUUUCACUAUCAUACAAGUGUAGCACAGGAUUUGCCCUGUUUCCUAAAUUAAAAAAAAGGAAAAUAUUAUAUAGAAAACCUCUGCAAUUUUCUCAAUUUUGCCAGGUACAAUUUGAAAAGAAAAUAGCGGAAGAUCCAUGGUAGAGCUUAUGGCACAAAGAUUACCUUUCCUUUUGGUGAUGUUUCUUUUGCGCAAAUAAGCAAUAUAACCAAUGGUGCUUAAAAGCGCAACUAGAACAACAACAAUUGUUAUGCCUACCACAACUACCGGAGAUGAUAAUGACGACAUCUUAUUGCCAAGGUCUAAAACAAAGAAGAACCACUCUCAUUCAUGGAAAAGGCAAUGCAUCUGUCAUUACUAACCUCUAUGUCUUUCAUUGGAAAAUAAGUUUAAAUGACCAAAACCAAGCAAAAAGAAAGUAUUGAGUUCAACUUCUCACAUACCUAGAAAGCAAAUUUAGAAAUAUACUAGGUCUGUAGCUCACCUUGUGUAAAAUCUAAACUUGAUCCAUUUCACUUAAAUUUUUCACUACAAAAGCACUUAGUGGUUCCAUUUUGUGUUCUGCAAUUUGAAUUAGGCCAAUCCUUGCAGUCUGCUGAUGAGGUACACACUAGCUCCAAUGGUGGAUCCCAACUGAUCUCUAUCUCAAUGCUAUUUUCCAAUGACUUCUCAGAGCCAAAAUUGUCGAUUUUGACCACUGUGCAGACAUUGGUCAUGUGAAAAGGCAGGUUUAGUGGUGGAAUUUUGUUGAUAAGACUUCGAGAACUGCAAUCUAAUUCUUUAAGUUAGAUUACAAAUGUUAAUGUCUCUAGAUUAAUGCUAGUUACCCGAUAGGUGCCACCAGGUACCUUGAACUGAACCUGGCCCGUGGUAAUGUUACAUUCAAAAUUAAAGUACAUGGGAUCACCACACUUUGAUCCAGUGCUUAGAGGAUAAGGAAUCAUGAUUGAGCCACAAGCUUGACAAUUUCUUACUGUUGAUUCUGCAAAUAAAAUGUAGAAUCCCUUGUUAAAGGGUAUUUCUUCCGAUUAUAGUUUCUUCCUAAUGUCUAUAAAUGGAUUUAUGCUUGUGUUGAUCAGUAAACUAAAACAUGAGGUACUUCUUCUCAAGAAAAGGGGAAAAAGAAAUUGGAAAGGGACAUACCUAUAUCUGAAAUAGAUACACGAACAAAGAGAUUGUCAGCAUCAGAGUCAUACUCCUCCUGAAGACCACUAAGGUCGUCUGUCCAAAUCAAGCAUUCUGGGUUAUUGCCCCUUUAUGUUAUUUAGUUUGAGCAUAAUGUCACGGACUUAGUCGUUCACUAAGCUCUUGUGGCACUUAGGCAAGUCAAGACGCUUGAUCUUGCUAAGUCAGCCUUGCUCCCAAUGCUUAGCUUGCUAGGCUAAGACACUCACGACUCGAAAGCUUAAGAAGCUUAGUAAGCAACUCUUUAAAGGAAGCUCUUAUUAACUCAUGGAAGCCUUUACAAGUGCUUGGAAGCUCACUUGCUUGGUACCUUGGCCAAAUGAGGCCCUCACCUAUUUAUAGGCACCAAUGGAACUCUCUAGAACCUUGGAGGGUUCCUUACAACUUAAGUAUAUUCUAGAAUGUCCUACAUCAUUCUAGGUACAAGCCUAUGUACAAGGAUAUACAAGAGACUUCUAGAAUUCUCUAGAAAGCCCUGGACUCCUCUCAUGCCUUCCACCAUAGUGUAGAAUUGUGUGGAUUCCUCCAGGCUUCUCCACAACCUUCCACACUCUUCCCACUCUAGGAGUCUCCAAAAGCUUCCUGGCUCUAUAUAAGCCCAUGGGGAGGCUCAUUUGAAUCAGCUUGUGACACUCUCCUCCACCUAAGCCGCAGACGUUCUUGUCGCGCCUUCUACCCGGAAUCGCUCAAUUUGCUCCUAUAACUGCCAUAGUGCAUCUGUUGGCUCCCAGCUAGCCUCACUUUUUGGUAGUCCUUUCCAUUUCACUAAGUAUUCCGUACCAGGAGGUACACCUCGUCUCCUGAUGACCCGAUCUACGAGAAAGUGUUCUAUCUCCUUAUCAUAGGAGAUCACGACCGUUGUAGGUGCCCUCUUAGACAACCCUCGGCUUGGAUCAUCUUUGUCUUCGUGAUAGGGUUUCAAGUAGUUUACGUGGAAGACAUGAUGAAUCUUCAACCUUGGCAGUAGCUUAACUCUAUAGGACACCUUGUCGACAUUCCCAAGUACGGGGAAGGGUCCUUCAUACCUCCUCAUAAGGCCCUUAUGCACUAACCUUAAGGAUUUGAAUUGUUGAGAAAUGAGCUUGAAAGCACCAUGUCUCCGACUUUGUACUCCGUGUGUUGUCGCUUCUUGUCAGCCCACUUCUUCAUUUUCUUAGCGGCCUUGUCCAAGUAUGAGCGUGAUAUGUCAGCUUGCUUGUGCCACCCUUUCGCGAACUUGAAAGCUGCUGGACUUCUCCCCGUAUAGCCUAUCGUUAGAGUGUGAGGAGUUAACGGUUGCUGCCUUGUGGCCAACUCGAAUGGGCUCUUAUUGGUUGCCUCACUCCUUUGCAGGUUAUACGAGAAUUGGGCUAUGUCUAGCAACUUAGCCCAAUCCUUCUGGUUGGCACUCAUGAAGUGCCUUAAGUAUAGCUCCAAUAAAGCGUUCACCCUCUCAGUCUGCCCAUCCGUCUGUGGGUGAAAGCUUGUGGAGAAGUGAAGCUCCAAACCCAUAAGCUUGAAGAGCUUCAUCCAAAACUUCCUAGUAAAACGCGAAUUGCAAUCACUUUAGGCAACCCCCAAUACUUGACUACGUGCUUUAGGAAUAGCCUCGUCGUCUCUUCCGCAGUGCGGUCAGUCGGGGCUGCUAUGAAGGUUGCAUACUUAGAGAACCUGUCCACUACCACUAUGAUAGAACCGCUGUCCUCCGACUUGGGUAGCCCGAUGAUGAAGUCCAUGGUGACAUUGUCACAUGGGCGCUCUGCUAUAGGUAGUGGCUUCAACAGGCCUCUAGGUUGUUGUUGUUCCACCUUGUCUUGUUGGCACACAAGACAAGUCCUCACAUAGGCCUCUACCUCAUCCCGUAUUUGAGUCCAGUAAUAAGCCGACUCGAGUAGUGCCCUCGUGCGUCGUUGCCUAGGGUGCCCAGCCCACUUGGUGUCAUGGCACUCAUUUAUCAGAUUCCGUCUUAUGUUCCCCCAUUUAGGCACAUAGAGUCGUCUCCCCUUAGUGUAGAGUAGGUCGUUCUCCACCCAGAACCGCUUAGUCUUCCCUUCAUGAGCUAGGGCGAUGAGGCUCUUAGCCACUGGAUCAUGUUGUAGUCCCUCCCUUAGAAGAUCCAUUAUGUCUCCUUGGGGUUGACUCGUCAUGGAUGCUAGCUCCGUUUUACAGCUUAGGGCGUCAGCCACAUGAUUAGCACUCCCUGGCUUAUACUCCAACGUAUAGUCGAACUCAGCCAGGAAGUCUUGCCACCUAGCUUGCUUAGGACUCAACUUCUUCUGUGUUUGGAAGUAGCUAGUGGCAACGUUAUCGAUCUUCACUAUGAAGUGAGACCCUAGAAGAUAGUGCCUCCAGGUGCGCAAGCAGUGGACGAUGGCGGUCAUCUCUUUUUCUUGCACCGUAUAGCACAUCUCUGUGUCGUUUAGCUUGCGAAUCUCAAAUGCGAUCUGGUGUCUUUCUUGCAUAAGGACUCCCCCAAUAGUGAAGUGUGAGGCAUCUGUGUGUAUCUCAAAAACCUUGGUGUGGUCGGGUAGUGCUAACACCGACUCCUCAGUCACAGCCUUCUUAAGAUCUUUAAAGGCUUGUUGGCACCUUUCGUUCCAUUCUCAUGCCUUAUUCUUCUUAAGGAGAUCAGUGAGAGGAGCGACCCUUGCUAAAUAACCUUUGAUGAAUCGCCGAUAGUAAUUAACUAAACCAAGGAAAUAUCUGAGCUAAGGUACCUUGGUUGGUGGAUCCCAUUCCUGGAUGGCUUUCACCUUGCUAUCAUCCAUCUUCAGCUUGCCAUCCUUGAUGCGAUGCCCUAGGAAGCUCACUUCUUUUUUAACAAAGGAGCAUUUUUCCUUCUUCACGUAUAGCUUGUUCUGCCUUAAGAUCUUAAAGACCUUCCUCAAGUGCUCUACGUGCUUCUUUAGGGUGUUACUGUAGAUGACUAUGUCAUCCAAGUAUACCACCACGAACUUGUUGAUUACUACUCAAAAAGUGCUAUUUGAUAGCUUAUAAUUAAUCCUUUUAAACACUUUUGAGUAGUAAUUUUGGCCUUUUAACUCAAUUGGCAUGUUAAGGACCCUUGAAAGCAAUUUUAAUCAUUUUGUGUAAGUUUUGGUGUUUUUUUGUUAGUAAUUUGAUCACCAAAGCAAUUCAAGAUUGAGGAGAGUUAUGAGAAAUCUUGGGCAAAGCUUGGAAGUCAUUUGCCAAGAGUAAAUCAGGAAUGCAAGGAGAAAAAGUUAAGAGAAUCUGCCAUGAAGCAUAUUCUUGAUGACAGUAGUAGCAGCCACUUUUGGAGCACUUUUUGAAGUCCAAUUGAUGCAUGCUAUAUACCAUUUCAAAGCUUAGGAAGUCAAAAAUCCAAUGCUUUAAACGGUACGCAAUUCGGAGUUGAAACGAAGAAGUUGCAGCCAUUGCAAGCCAAUCACUCCAAGCUGAAUGAAGCAUUUUCCAAAGUGUUGCGAAAUCACCCUUUUGUUGCGAAGUGAUUUCGCAGCCUUUUUGUACAGUAGGGUGUAUUUCCUUCUGAAGUUGCCCGAUAUAUGCCGCAAGCUGGAAGCUGAGAACAUCAAGGUGGAAGCCAACUUCGCAGCCCUGCGAGAAUAGCUUUUUGCUCCGAAGUGAUUUCGCAGCCCUUCUUGAGUGUCUGCGAAAUCUCGCAGACACCAUUUUCUCUUGCGAAAUGGUCCCUGGAGCAUCCCGAUAUUUGCUACCGACAUUGGGAGAUAUUUUACAUCAGAUUUUUGUUGUCUAAAUCCCAAAAUACUCCUUGUAAGCCACCAAUUACAAGAUUCCUUAGCUUUUAAGUUAGUAAAAAGAGAAAAUAUCCAUGUAAUAAUUAGUUUUAUAUUAUGUUCAUAUGAAUACUUCUCGGGAGCCUGUUCUCAAAAAGGGACCCUUUUGUAAAGUUUUGGGAAAGCAAGUAAAGUUCAGGUCCUUUGUUUUGUCUUACCUUCUCACUUUGUAUUAUUUAUUUCUUACUAAGUUAUGCACUCUCUGAGGAAUUUUCCCCAGAGAAUGAGUAACUAAACCUCUAGUUCCUUGGAGCUAAGGUUGCCGGGGAAGGUUCCAAAUGCAAGAAUGCAAAGCUUUGUGGUUUCAGCCAUCAAUUAAGAGGAAGUGAAGUUUUUUAGUGAUUUCUAUGUUUUUAGUUAACUUAAAACACCUUAGAGUCACCUGGGCCAACACUUGGUAAGGCAAGUGAUCUCCAUCCAUGGAGAUGCACUAGUUUACCCCUUGCGAGCCUCUGGGAGAUGACUUUAAGGUAGGAUUUUCUGGAAUUGCCAACACUUGGUAAGCUUUUGGACUCCAAGGAGACAUCCAUUAGUUAUCUCUUGCGAGCUAGAGAAGGGAAGUCCAAGGUUAAAGAUCACCUUGAAUGGUUAAGGCUUAGUGAGAGGCUUAAACCAUUGCAAGUUGCAUCAAUGAGAGAAUUAAAGUUGAAAUCUAAUUAAAGGAUGUAUCUGUACAACACCGGUUAGAGAAUUGACUAUAUGUUGAAUCUCUAAUGCGAGGAAAUGAACCAUCUGACCGGAGCUAUGUCUUUUGCAUGAGGAACCACCCCAGUGAACCUAACUCUCCAAGGAAUGUUUUUCUUCCUAAGUUAUUCUCACUACUUAUUCUGUUAGUUAGUUUAAAUCUAAAUCUUUACCAAUCAAAAGGUUGUGUUUUAUUUUUUUAGCUAACCUUGAAAUGAAACAAGACCAAUUCACUUUGAAUUGGUAUCAUUGAUAGCUUGCUAAUCCUUCCCAGUGAACGAUCCUAGAGCCGCUAUAUUAUAGUAGCUUUUUCUUUGCUACCCUAGUAUAUGGUGUAAUAGGUUAUAAAUUUUGUUGAUUACUCCCUCAAUCAAGGAGCACCAGCUGGACACGAAUCAGCUGAGACACCAAUUGGGCACAAAUCACUUGUCUAAGCAUGGGUGGAAGAUCUUGUUCAUGAGGGUGCAGAACGUUGCUGGGGCAUUGGUGAGUCCGAAAGGCAUCACUAAGAAUUCGUAUGAGCCAUACCUGAUCACACAUGUGGUCUUUGGCUCGUCCCCCUCUGCAAUCCUUACUUGGUAGUAGCCCGACCUUAGGUCUAGCUUCGUGAAGUACCUUACCCUUCCAAGUUGAUCGAAUAAGUCAGCAAUGAGCGGGAUAGGAUACUUGUUCUUUACCGUCACCUUGUUGAGUGCCCGAUAGUCUAUGCACAUUCGUAGGGACCCAUCAUGCUUCUUCUGAAAUAGAACCGGCGCGCCAUAGGAAGCCUUGGAUGGUUGGAUGAACCCCUCAUCUAGUAACUCCUUAAGUUGUCUCCUUAGCUCCUCCAACUCCGGUGGUGCCAUUCUAUAUGGCCCAUAGUAGGGGGCUUAGCUCCCGACUCCAACUCAAUCCUGUGAUCUUCCUCUCUCCUAUGAGGAAGUCUCUUAGGCAACUCGGGCGACAUCACGUCCUUGAACUCAUCAAGGACCCCCUCGAUUUCCUUAGGCAUGGGUUCUCCCGACCCAUCGUCUCUUUCUUCCUUCAGGGUGGCGAGGUAGGUCACCUCUUUCCUCUUUAACCCCUUCCUAACUUGCAUAGCUGAUAGCAUAGGGGUCUUAAGCGUACCUUCAGUGACCGUAGGGACCAUGCAUGGCUUCUCCUCCUCUAAGAUAGCCAUUGAGCAUAGGAAAGGUAGUGGCACGACCUUGACCUUCUGUAGGAAGUCCAUUCCUAGCACCAUCUUGAAGUUAUCCAUGGGUGCCACUAUGAAAUCGACCCUUCCUUCCCAUGAGCCGAUGUGCAUAGUCACCCUACAAGCUACUCCAUGUGACGGGCUUGGCAGCUGAAUUAACUGCCUUGAGUCAUCCUCCUUCCUUAGAUGCUUGGAGCUUUAGUCUCUUUGCCUCAUCCUCCGAGACAAAGUUAUGAGUGGCACCAGUGUUCACCAAGGCCUUGGUGGCCUUCCCAUUCACAAGGGCCUCUACAUACAUUAGCCCUUUGCUUUGAGGCGUCUUAGGCAUCGGCUUGGCCUUAAGGGCAUUUAGGAGUUGCAACGAUCCCACUUUAGCAUCGCCUUCCUGCUCAUUUUCCUCAAUCAUAGCAUUUAGAGCUUUCCUCUUAGGGCAGUCUCAUGCCCAGUGUGUACCAUCGCACAGGAAGCAAUUGGUCCUGGGCAUGAACUCCUUCCACUUAUCUUUGCCUUUACCAUCCUUGCCACUAGGGCCUUUGCUUGAUCCUUCCUUAGAAGUGUGGCAUCGUGAUCCAUUGUCUCCCCCACCUUUGGCCUGGUUACCCUUGGAUGGUGGUUUUGGCUUGGAGGAGUCUCCCCUUCUAUAAUCUACCAAGGACUCUGCUACCGCCAUGGUCAUGGCUAGGUCUUAGACACCAUGUCUCCUCAACUCUUGCUCGACCCAACUUUGCAAGUUGUCCAUAAAGUUAAAUAGUAGCUCCUCCUCAACCAUGUUAGGUAUCUCAAGCAUAAACGUAGAGAACUCCUUGACAUAAUCACGGAUCGAGCCUGUGUGCUUGAGACGCUUCAUACUCUUCCUUGCUAGGUAAGCCACAUCUUCGGGAUAGAAUUGUCUUUUGAUUUCUCUCUUAAAGGCAUCCCAUGUGUCUAUGGUGCACGUCUCUUUCUCUAUGUCGGAAAACUGUCGACGCCACCAUAGAGUAGCAUUAUCGGUGAGGUAAAGGGUCGCGGUGCAUACCUUAGUGGCUUCAUCCGUCAAUGCAAUGGCCUCAAAGUAACGCUCCAUGUGCCACAAGAAGUUAUCUAGCUCCUUAGCAUCCCUCUUGCCAUUGAACGAGUGUGGCUUGGGCACCUCCACCCUUGGUGCCUCAUGAGUGGCCAUGACUCAUGCUGAUAUCGCAGUCUUGUAGAUGGCUAGCUCUUGAUGAAUCUCUUGGUCUCGGGUCUCCAUGAGCGCAGCCAAGGCCUCCAUCCUUGACUCCACACUAGCGAACAUGAUCAUGACCUUGUCUUGGAAGGACAUGAACUCCUCGUGUGACACGGUUGAACUUGUGAGCCUAGCACCCCCUCGCGAAGGUCUUGGAUCUGCUCCCUUAGAUCCUCUAAGCCUUUCUCCAUGCCUUGCUCGAUCAAGUCCACCCCUUCCCGGGUGUCCGUCAUGGCUAGCUCCACCUUAGCUAGCCUUGCCUCCAUGUUGGCUAAGGCAUCACGAGACUUAUCCUUCCUGCCUCGGCCCCGUGCAGUAUGCUCCAUCUCCCUUCCAUGGGUUUGCUCGCUAGUCUCCUCCACGUUAGAGCCCGACAUGCUUCCUUUGCUAUGCCCACUUCGUAACCGCCCUCUAAUACCACUUGUCACAGACUUAGUUGUUCACUAAGCUCGUGCAGCACUUAGGCAAGUCAAGACGCUUGAUCUUGCUAAGUCAACCUUGCUCCCAAUGCUUAGCUUGCUAGGCUAAGAUGUUCACGACUCGAAAGCUUAAAAAGCUUAGUAGGCAACUCUUUAAAGAAUGGAAGCUCUUAUUAACUCAUGGAAGCCUUUACAAAUGCUUGGAAGCUCACUUGCUUGGUGCCUUGGCCAAAUGAGGCCCUCACCUAUUUAUAGGCACCAAUGGAACUCUCUGCAACCUUGGAGGGUUCCUUACAACUCAAGUAUAUUCUAGAAAGUCCUACAUCAUUCUAGGUACAAGCCUAUGUACAACGAUAUACAAGAGACUUCUGGAAUUCUCUAGAAAGCCUUGGACUCCUCUCAUGCCUUCCACCAUAGUGUAGAAUUGUGUGGAUUCCUCCAAGCUUCUCCACAACCUUCCACACUCUUCCCACUCUAGGAGUCUCCAUAAGCUUCCUAGCUCUAUGUAAGCCCAUGGGGAGGCUCAUUUGAAUCAGCUUGUGACAAUAAGCUUGACAUUGGCAGUCACUAAGGCAAGCCUUUUUGCAAUAUUGAUUAUCAUUCGUAUCUACUAAAAUAGAAGACUACGGUUUUUUGGCUUUCAUCAUUUUUAAGCGCAAGAACAUGUCUUCAAUGGAAUUCUUCUUGUAUUUGGGUGACUUUCUGGUACACCCACUUGAGAACUCUCCAAUUUUCCAACUAUUCGGCGAGAUUGGUUUGAACCCAGGCAAACAUUUUCACAUCAAAGCAUUCUUAGUGCUACAACUUCCAAAUUUCCCACAAGUAAUUGACACACUGCAUCGGUCUUUCGGUGCCCACCAGACUGGAGACGAUGUAUUCCAAUUCGCAUAGUAUUGAAUUUCCCCUAAAGAACUCAUUACCAACUGUUUUUCAACUGAUGAGUUGGGGAUAGAGCUAUGCCCUUUAUACACGUUCCUCUAGGAGAUUUUGGACAACAAGCUGCGUGUUGCUUCAGGCAUCUCAUCAAACGUUCCAUCCCAGUCCUCACUGUACCAAUGUACAUAUAAAAUUUGAGAUAUGAUAUACUGGUACUCUUUUUCUUGAUCUAGCUUGAAGGUAUAGUUUCCAGGUGUGGCGUCAAUGGGGCUUAACCAUGAGGUCAAUAUUAAGCUUUCAUUCAUCUUCAUACCAGGAAGAAAAAUAUCAGUGGGAUUACGGAAGCUCUCCCAAAUAAUCUCUUCAGAUCUAUUGCCACUCAAAACAAGGUUCCCAUAGUCCAUAAGCUUCACCAUCCUGUCUUUAGAUGAAGGUGUUUCAAUAUCAGUAGACCAGUGAACUGCUCCAUUAAUUUCGGCCAACACCUUCAGCUUACCAUCUUUUUUAAUGGCAAAAACUCCAAUGGAGGUACCAGAAAAGGGGUUCUCUCGGUUGGCUACCCACACAACUCUUGGUGGUUUAGACAUGUGAUGCCAUAUGCCCAUGAAUCUUCUAUUCUUGGAGCUUCCAUUUGGAUGAAAGAAGCCUAGUUCAAAAGUUUCACCGGAAGAGACAAGAGUUUCUCCAUUAGUAAGCCAAGUGUCUAGUGUGAUGGUGUGUCACGCCCCAAGACCCACUCCAAGGGCGUGACGGUCAUUUCACACCUCAAACCCGAAGGCUUAAAGUAUAAUCUGACCCAAACAGUCAUAUUGUAACUGGAUGUUACCAAUUACCAAAUACCUGCUCAGAGUAGCGGAAACAAAGUCUAAAAUCCUCAAAAUUCAAUUUCCAAAUAACUUCCAAAUACAAAAUGAUCCAAAAUAACAUAACUAAUAGUUAAACAAAAUCCAACAUAAAAUCCUAAGUCAAAUCCUAAUGAUGACCAUUCCUCAGCCUAGCCAUCACUCCUCACCCGAACUAAGAGUACCUGAAAAAUUUUCAACAAUUGGGAAUGAGCUCACAGCCCAAUAAGGAAUAUUAAUGCAGUUCAUGGAUCAAAUAUUUUCAUUUCAAAUAGGAGAUAUCAAAUUUUAUUUUAUUUUUUCAUCAAAUAUCAGAGUUUCAAAAAUGCCAAUAUAUUCAAAAUUCAACCAACCAAUUUCAUAUCAAAUUCAAACACUUUCCCAUCAAACUCAAUCAAAUCCAUUCAAUUUUUCAUUACUCUGGUUAUCAAAUAUCAAAUGCCCAGUUAGGUGGGACUUUUCAAAUGGGUGGCUGGCCUCAAAUUGUUCUUGGUGGACGGAACCAAACACUACUAGUACUAGUAACCUCUAACCAAACCCCUAGAGGUUGGGGUCCAAAUCAAUUACAUUCCCACCAUGAAAUGUAAAGGUCAACUAUUAUAUCCCGUUGACAGGGCCGAAUAGUCAACUAUUAUAUCCCGUUGACAAGGGCCAAAUAAACCAGAGUGAUGUUUUUUGUUCAAGUAUUCAAAUUUACACAACAUAAUAUCUCCAUAUUUUGUGUCAUAAAUAAAACAAAAUAUUCCAACAUAACAUUUAAUGCAAAACAAUUUGAUCCAUGCAUGGUAACAAAAUAUCAUUUUAUUUUCCACAAUUCAAAAUAACAUAUAAAAUAAUUUAAUUUUAUAAAUAUUACAUUAACUUCCCUUACCUCAAAAGAAGUCCUUGAAAGCUUGGGAGAAGAAUGAUUCUGAAAAAAAAUAUAAUCUACUCUUCACCUAAUAUAACAUAAGAGAAACAAUUAUUACUAUUUAUUUAUAAUUUAACUAAUCUAUUCCUUAUUUAAAUAAAACUAAUAAAUUCCCAAUUUGUUUCUAAUAACACAUUACUAAUUUAAUUAAAUUACAAUUUUAUGUCAUUAUAAAAUUCUAUAUAUAUAUAUAUAUUUUGCUAAAUCUAUUAUUACUAUUAUCUUAUUCAUUAAUCUAAAACUAAAUAUUAUUAUUUUAAUUAACCAAUUCAAAAGCCACUAGAUGUCUCGAGUACACCAAACCAAAAAGCAAGUUUUUUUUUUUUUUCCAUUACAUCAUCAUUCAUUAUAUAUAUAUAUAUAUAUAUAUAAAAGGCUUCCUUCCAUUUGGCACAUGCCUAUUUUUUUUUUUUUUCCUCCUUGCUUCUAGUAGCACAGUACACGUACGCCCCCCAUAUAUUUUUCUUUUUUUCUUCCUUCCUUCCUUCCAGUGCUGUGCACACGCGUUCUCCCUCUUUUUUUUUUUUUUUUUUUAAUUAACCCUAACCUAAAAUCGAAAUAUUCCAAGGAAUUUUAUUUUUUCUAAUAAAACUUAAGAUCUCCCAAAUUCCAAUGCUAAAAUCAAAAUAUUAAAUUUUCACUAUUUGAUAUUAAAACGAAUUAAAAAAUAAUCUAACCCUAAUCUAGAUUUGGGGUUUUCCAAAAAAAUAUAUCUAAUGUGUUUGAAAUUAAUCAAUGAAUCUAAAAUAUUAAACUAGGGGUUAGAAUCUUACCUAUAGAGAUCUGUUCUUCAACCCUGAAAUCUGACUCCAACCUUACGUUCUCUGGAAUUCUGCGAACAGGAACUAUAUUCAGAAAAGAAGGGAAAGAAUAAAAUUUCUAAUUUAUACCUAGGGUAUUUAUUCGUAAAAUUACUCUUUUACCCCUCUUCUUUUUUUUAUUAAAUUAAUUAAUUAACUAAUUUAAUUAUUAAUAAUAAUUUCCUAAAUUACCCUUAAAAGAAAAUGCUUGGGCGUUACAUGGUGUCUCUAGUAGAGCAACACAGAAAAUAACACAAUAAGAAAAAGAUGGUAGAUAACAUUGUGAAUUGCAGAGACUGAAACCCUGAAUUUUCUUGUCUUUUGCCUAUUGUUUUUGUUAAUCCGAGAAUCUCUUUAGUUUUGGUGCCACAAAUUCACUAUGGGAUAGCGUGCUACUUCUCUAGGUUGACCUUCUAUAUGUGGUGCCUAAAACAUUGGCCCCUUAGAUUAACUUUUUAAUUGUCUUAAACCAUUUUUACCGCAGGUCCAUACUCCGGGACAAGCCCCCACACCCCCAUCGGAUCAGUGGUGAUAGGCCCAAUCCCCCUGUUAGACCCUAAAAAAAAUCUCAUAGUUUUUUUUUCACCAUAUAUAUUGUAUUGCGAAAUUUUCAAGUCUGACAAAAUAAAAUUCGAGUCACGAAUCUUUAAUAGUUCUCAUCAAGAAAUGAGAUGGAAAUGUUUCAGCUAGUGAAAAUCUACAUCAAGAGGCUUUUUGGGAAGACAAAUAUAAAAAUACAUCUAAACAUCAUUAAACUUCAUGAUUCUAAUACACAUCAUGGGAUGAAUUCUCAAUCAUAUAUAGGUGAGUAUCACAUAUAUAUAUAUAUAUAUAUAUAUAUAUAUAUAUAUAUAUAUAUAUAUAUAUAUAUAGGUUUAACACACAAUGCUACAUAAUGUGGUGGAUAAAUAUGCAUGUCAAAUUGAUCAUAGUUGUAAAAUUGUUAGCUAGAAACUAAAAAUUUCUAAUCUGAUUCCUAAGUGCUUCUUUUUUUUUCUUUUUCUUUUUUUUAAAAAAAAACAAAAAAUGAUAAUAAUUUCUACAUAAAAUGUAAAAAUUAUCGUAAAAAAUUAAUAACAUUCAAUUUAGAAAAUUUUAAGAUAUUAUAUAAAACAAAUUCACCAUCUUAACAUUUAAAAGUAAUUUUUAAAGAUAUAAGAUAAGUUCAUAUUAUUUAUAUAAAAACUAUUUUAUAAUUUACAUAGAAAUUAUAUAUAUAUAUAUAUAUAUAUAUAUAUAUAUAUUGAAUUGGGUUAUUUCACAAUAUUGGAGCAUAGUUUACCUUAGGUGAUUAAAGAUGUGAUACAGUAUAGUUUUUAGGAUAGAUGUGAUAAUUUAUAAUUGAAGUUUUGAUAUGGGCUAAUUAGUAAUAUUAAACAAAGGAUAAUGUUUUUUCAUAUUCUUAGAUUUAAUUUUUGGUGAAAAUAAUUAAGAGUAAGUAUUUGAUAGUGAUUUUAAGAAAUGUUUUUAGUCUUUUUAAUACUUGAAAAAGAAAAUUUUUCAAGUGUUAGAAAAACCAAAAAUACCUUUUAGAAACAGUACUAAACAUAUUCUAAAUAUGUACUCAAUAAUCGAUUUAAUAAAUUCACGGGUGUCAAAAUAAAUAUGACAUCAAGAUAUGUUAAUAAAUUUUUUUUUUUUUUUGAAAAAUAAUUCAACAUAUUUAUUGAAUUCACAUUCAAGACAAGGUCGCCUGUAACAUAGGUGCAUGGCUGUCCAUUUAUUCCCAAUUGCCUUAGACAAACAUCCCCUUACUCUUAAGUCAUUUUGCUUUUUUUUUUUUGUGAUUGCAUGUUGAAAAUUUGAUUUUAACAUGAGUCCACUAGGAGUUCAGGACAUCUAUUAAUUAAUGGGGGCAGUUCUCGACCUCCAUGGCCUGCCUACUAAUUUUGGUGGGUUGCUCACAGGUGACGUCUGACUUAAAAUACGUCCAUCGCCCAACUUACUAUUCAUGGACAAACAAAAUAUUAGUAAUGUACCAAUCAUCUUGUAUAUGUAGUAACAUUUUCAAAUUUUUAAUCUAAACCUUGGUGUAAAUAAUUAAAUUUAAAUAAAUUAAUUAAAAUGUAUAUUUAAUUUUUUUUUCACCCGCAAUUGAAGGCCGGUGGAGUGGUGAAAUCUUGGAAAUGGAAGCCAACCAUGCAGCAAAUAAAGUGACCCAAAGUCCAAGACCACGUUUAGAGCAUUUGUCCAUUUUUACUUGUUUUCAACGGCUUCUAGUCUUGAAGUUGAAAUCUGCGGUUUCAUAAACGGUAUUCUGAAUUUUCUCUCUUGCGUUCUGUUUUUCACAUUUUCCAGGAAAUGGGACCUAUUUGUUUGGCUAUCAACAAUGAGUUUCGUGUCAGAAUCUGUAAAAGAACUAGAACUUGCAGAGAAAAAAUAAAUAAUUUGAGAGUUACGAAUUGAAGGAAGGCACACAUCUAUUUCACAAAUGAGAAUGCCUAUUUAUAGGCUUACAACCAAACGAAAAUUGCAAAAAAAAUCUUAGCUAUUUUCAAAUUUUAUUGGCAUUACUUCUAUUAACUGAAAAUAGAAAAUUAUGGAGUAAGAAUCUGAUAUGAAACAAUAACAAAGACUAAGUCUAACUAAGACUUUUUCAAACUUCAAAGGCAAACUCUCAUGAGUUCUAACACUCCUCCUUGAGAUUUGCCUUGGACAUGCCAAGCUUCAACCUUAGAAACUCCAGCCUUGAUUUAGGAAGUGCCUUAGUCAUUAUGUCAGCAAGUUGCACAUCAGUUGAGCAAUAAUGCAACUUGACAAGUGAAUUCUUUUUAGCUUCCCUUAUAGAAUGAAAUUUUACAUUUAUGUGUUUGGUCUUGCCAUAUUAGACAGAAUUUUGAGCAAUGGCAAUGGUUGACUUGUUGUCACAGUAAAGCUCUGUUGGUGAGCUUUAUUCCUAGCCUAGAUCAGCAAGCAAUUUCCUUAACCAUAUCCCUUGAUUUGCAACAGCUGCUAAGGAGAUAUACUCAGCUUCUGCAGUUGAUUGUGCCACUACUUCUUGUUUUCUUAAAUUCCAGCAAAUGACACCUGAACCGAUUGUAAAUACAUAACCUGAAAUGUUCUUCAUGUCAUCAACACUUCCUGCCCAAUCACUAUCAACAUAGCCAUCUAGCUUAACUCCUCCUGUCUUUAAAUACCAAAUGCCAAGAUUUGUUGUACCUCUAACAUACUUCAGCACCCUUUUUGCAACUCCCAUGUGAACAUUGCUAGGUGAACUCAUGAAUCUUGAAAGUAAACCAGCUAGAAACAUCAAGUCAGGUCUGGUUGCUAUCAAGUAUAGUAGGUUGCCUACCAAGCUUCUAUAUGCAGAGGGUUCCUUAAGUUUCUCACCAUCAUUCUUUGAAAUUUUCUCAUUUUGUGCCAUUCCAAGGAAGUAGUUCAUGAUGCCAAGGUCAGACAUCUCAAAUACAUCUUGCAUUUCCAUUUUGAACUCAGCCAGCAAUCGUACAUUACUUCCAGUCACUAGCAUGGCAUCAACAUAAAGUGACACUACCAAUUGCAAACCAUUCUCAUUUUGUUUCAAAUACAAAGUAGCUUCAUUUUCACUCCUCCUAAAUCUAAGUUGGAUCAGGUGAGAGUCAAUUCUGAUAUACCAGGCCCUUGGUGCUUGUUCCAAACCAUAAAGAGCCUUUUGCAACUUGUACACUUUGUGUUCAUGCCUAGUAACCUCAAAGCCUUCUGGUUGUUGAACAUAAAUUUCUUCAAGAAGUAUGUCAUUUAGAAAAGCUAACUUGACAUCUAAAUGGUACANNNNNNNNNNNNNNNNNNNNNNNNNNNNNNNNNNNNNNNNNNNNNNNNNNNNNNNNNNNNNNNNNNNNNNNNNNNNNNNNNNNNNNNNNNNNNNNNNNNNAGCCUUGUGCUUGAAGAUUAAACCAUCUGAAUUGAAUUUGGUUCUGAAAACCCAUUUUACACCAAUUGUCUUCUUAGCUUCAAGUAAUUCUGUCAACUUCCAAGUUCUAUUUCUUUCAAUAACAUCAAUUUCAGCUUUCAUAACCUCAAUCCAUUCUAGAAAUCUUGCAACUUCUAUGUAACAUGUAUGCUCAACAUGUACAAGAUUGCACCUCUCAUACACAUUAGAUAAUGGCCUUACCUUAAGCACUGGUAUGUCUAAAGUUGCUUCAACAUCAAGUGGAUCUUCUGCUGGUUCAAGAAUAGAUGGAGUGGUUUGAUCACAUUUAUGGACUUUCUUCAAGUCCCAAUUCCAGUAGGAAUUUUCAUCAAAGUGCACAUCUCUACUUAUCACAAUUUUCAUUCUACUCAAGCUAUAAAUUCUGUAACCUUUUGAUUCUGCUGCAUACCCAACAAAAACACCCUUCUCAGCUCUUUCAUCAAGCUUACCUCUCUUGAUAGAUGGCACAUGAAGGUAACACAAUGAAUUAAACACUUUUAGGUGCUUGACAGAUGGUUUUACACUAGACCAUGCCUAUAUUGGUGUUUUGCUCUUAACAGACUUAGUCGGUAGUCUGUUAAGCAAAUAUACUGAGGUGCUAACUACUUCAGCCCAUAGAAGCUUUGGUAGCUUCUUCUCGAGUAGCAUGCACCUCGCCAUCUCCAUUACCGUUCUGUUCUUCCUCUCAGAGACUCCAUUCUACUGCGAUGAGUAUGGAGCUGUCAGUUGGUGUACAAUUCCAACUUCUAGACAAAAAACAUUGAACUCUUUUGAGGUAUAUUCACCUCCAUUAUCAGUUCUGAGCACCUUAACCUUUUGGCCACUUUGAGUUUCAACCAUUUUCUUGAAGCUUUUGAACACAGAGAGCACUUGUGAUUUGGUUUUUAGAAAAUAAACCCAAGUCAUUCUAUUGAAAUCAUCAAUAAAUAGUGCAAAAUAAACAUUGUUGCUCAAUGAGGCUAUGCUCAUUGGUCCACAAAUAUCUGAAUGAACUAAUUCCAUCUUGUGAGUAGCUCUCUUGGACAUAUUUUGAGGAAAUGAUUUGCGAUGCUGCUUCCCUAGCUCACAACUUUCACAAGUUUGAUCAUUAACUGUGAUUUCAGGCAUGUCUUCAACCAUACUUCUUGCAUGAACUUCAAUGACUUCAAGUUGAAAUGACCAUAUCUUUUGUGCCAAACAGCAUUCUCAUCAAUCUUGGCACUAAAGACAUGACCUUCAACUAAAUCAAGCUUCAAAUAAAAGUUAUUUCCAUUCAUUUUAAUUUUUGCUAUCUCUGUUCCAUGUACAUCAGUGAUAAAACAAAAAUUUUCUUUAAAAGAGACUGCAUAUCCAUUUCUUAGCAUUUGUGUAACACUAAGAAUAUUUUGAUCUAGUUUUGGAAUGUAAAGAACAUUAGUGACAAUUUUUGUACCUCUCUUGGUGCUGAUAGCAAUUGUCCAUUUUCCUUUGGCCUGCACAACUUCACCAUUUCCCAACUUGACCGUUGCUUGAAUUGAUUUAUCAAUGGAGGUAAAAAUUGAUAGAUGUUUGGUCAUGUGACUGGUGCAGCCAUUGUCAAUGAGCCAAGUAUUCAGUUCAUGAGAACUGAGUACUUGUGAUGCCAUAAAUAAAUGCUUAUCAUCUUUUUUGUCUUCUUCAAUCACAUUUGCAUGUUGUUGUGUUUGCUGUUGAGAUUGUUUUUUCUUGGCUCUACAAUACUUCUCACUGUGGCCACAUUUAUUACAGAAAUUACAAUUAAAAAGGGAUUUACCUUUGUACCAACAAUCUUUCUCAACAUGGUUGGUUCUGCUGCAAUNNNNNNNNNNNNNNNNNNNNNNNNNNNNNNNNNNNNNNNNNNNNNNNNNNNNNNNNNNNNNNNNNNNNNNUCAAAAAGCACCUUCAGUAGCUUCAACACCUUUCAUUAAGACCCUUUGCUCCUGCGCAUGAAGCUUGCUGGUUAAUUCUGCAAUUGUGAGACUUUGCAAGUCACAAGACUCUUCAAUUGUAGAGAUCUUGGCUUCAAACUUUUAAGGCACUGAAACCAUGAUCUUUUCUACCACCUUUUGAUCUGUAAAUGCCUCACCAAGAAGCCUCAUUUGGUUUACAACAUCCAUUAACUUGCUAGAAUAAUCUUUCACAGAUUCAUUGUCUUUCAUCUUCAUCAAUUCAAACUCUCUCUUCAAUGUGAGGAGCCUGACAUUUUUUACUGUCACUACCAUCAAAUUCACCUUGGAGUUUGUCUCAUACCAGUUUAGGUGUUUCCAAGUCCAUGAUUUUGGUGAAGAUGUGGUCUACAAGUCCUGAAUGUAGGCAGGUGAUGGCUUUGUCUUUCUUAAGUUUUUCCUCCUCAUAUGCUUUCAUCUGAGCAACUGUAGGAUUUGCUCCCAAUGGUGGUGGAUCAGCUUCAAACAUCACAACAUUCCACAAACCUUGAGACCUUAAGUAAAACCUCAUCUUGUCAACCCAAAUGUGAUAGUGUUCACCAUUAAACACUGGAAUAACAGAGGAAGUACUGCUGGAAGUAGACAUGUUUGCACCACAACUGCCUGAAAAAAAAUAAAUCACUCAACCUCACUGUGUUUAGCACUCAAAACACUCAAAGAAACUUUGCCUCACAACUCGUAGGAACAAGGCUCUGAUACCACUGUCAGAAUCUGUAAAAUAACUAGAAUUUGCAGAGAAAAAAUAAAUAAUUUGAGAGUUAAGAAUUGAAGGAAGGCACACAUCUAUUUCACAAAUGAGAAUGCCUAUUUAUAGGCUUACAACCAGACAGAAAUUGCAAAAAAAUCUCAGCUACUUUCACAUUUUAUUGGCACUACUUCUACUAACUGAAAACAGAAAAUUAUGGAGCAAGAAUUUGAAACAAUAACAAAGACUAAGUCUAACUAAGACUUUUUCAAACUUUAGAGGCAAAUUCUCAUGAGUUCUAACAUGGCAUAUGGGUUUUGGGUUUUUCAAUUGAGGGAAGCCUAUCAUAGCAUUUAAAAAUGGAUCCCCAUAGUGGCCAACACCAUAGGAUGAUAAUUCAUCAUGGUUCUUAAUCAUGAUCUUUAUUAAAUAGAUCAAACCCAAGUACGAUACAGAUAAUAAUCGGAUUAGAAAAACAUAAAUUCAUCUAAUUAUUUAAUAAACAAUAAGUCGUAUAAUUCAUUUAAUUAAUCUAAUAAUCAUACAGAAUUAGGUCUUAUACAAAUCUACACGAUUAAUUUCUUAAUCUAAUAUGUUUAUAAUUCAAUUAAUUUAUUUAUUUAAAAUCAAUUUUUAAAUAAAUCAAAUAUAAGUUAAAUGAGUUAGGGUUAAUCAUAUUAAUCAGUAUGAUUAUCAAGUUGGUCAAUUAGGAUCAAAAUUGUGUUUGACUAAUUUAUUUAAAAAUAACUUAUUUAUUAAAUGAGUUAUACAUAUUAACAUAAAUUUAAUCCUUAAACCCACAAAAAAUAAAUUGAAUUUGAGUCAUGUUAACGAAAUAUAUUACACUUUUGACACUCGUAGUCUACGUAAAGAAAAGAUGUUGCAUCUUGCCAUUAGCUAAGCUUAGAGCAUCCAACAACUGACUAUAAGGGUCCAUAUCUUAGGCUAAAUUGAAUGAAAGCAUUAUAUUAUACAAAACCCCCUAUGCUGAUGAUGGUGCAAACACCAAAUUUGAUUUCCCAAAGUUGUAUAAUAAUGUAUUAGUUGUGUCUGUUGUGCGGAAGUUAGGUACAACUUAGUGACAAGUGUGUAUGGGGCUUGGAAUCUAGUGAGAAUCCAUUGGAUAGGAGUACAAAAUGUCGGCCAUGAGCAUGAUCUAGCCAUCCACAUUUCUCUGUGUCAGAGGGGUCAGGACCAUGGAAGAAAAUAUCAAAAUGAUAUAGUAUUGGAGGUUAUAAAAACGAUAUUUGAUGAAAAAAAUAUUAUUCUGACAAAAUUAUUUUAAGGAGUAUCGAUAUAUUUGUGAUUACUGAUAUUUUCAUCUUUGGUCAAAUUAGUUUUUGAAUUCACCCAUGCAUGACAUUUGAGAUUCAGCUUAAAAGUUGGAUCAACCCACCUGAUCACCUAAGCUUAUAGAAUAGUUACAAUGAAAAAAAUAUAGUUAUAUGACAUGGAAACACUUGAGUCUUCAUUGAUUUCCUUUUCAGAUUGAAAACUAUUAGAAAAAUUGAUUCAAUUGUCAUGAAAUUGGUAUCCACAAAACCAAAGAAACACCCUAAAACUAGUCCAAAAUCUUAUCUAACCCACAUAAAUUACAGAAAAUUAUCUUAACAGCAACCAAAUUCCUAAGUCUUUGCACAAAAUCCUAUCCAAGAGAGAUCUUUUAGAUUUCUUAUCCACUCUGGAUUGACUGGUAGAGACUUUUAAACCAAGGUUGUGCCACAAGCUCAUGAACAAAUAAAAUUGGACAAAGAAUUGAAUGAGUGGAUAAACAUCAUUGUCAAUGUUUCUACUUGAGCGAGAAAUACGUUAGAUUUCUACACUUCUAAAUAGUUGCCUUGAGUGAUUCCUUGGUCCCACAGUAUUUGCUUCCCCCUUUCCUCGUGGUUUGGGAAAAGGACAUCCACACGGUUUGGUGUAGGAACCACCCUUUCCUUUGCUAUCCAUGAUUAUUUUUCUUCCCAAUAAUAAGGAAAACAUUCAUCAAGGCCCCAUGUGAAAACUAUUAUUGGUGACUGUAGGAAUAGAGCUAUUCAAUUUUUCCAAUAUACAGGACAUUGGAUGGAUACUGAUAACAAAAAAGAAUUACAUUAAAAUGUAUAAGCGAUGUAUUAUAAUUCAUUUUCUCAUCUAUUUUCAUGUUUUGAUUAUUUUAACGAGAUGGGAUGAAAUUAAAUAUGAUUUUAACAGAAGUGAAACUUGUCUCGUAAAUAGGAUUCCAUGUUGAUUUCAACAGAAGUACGUGGAAGGAUAUCGUAGUUAAUUUAUUUAUUUUUUCAUUUUCAUUUCUAUUAUUUUUAAAUAUUGAAAUAACAACAAAUACUCAUUUCAAAUUUAUAUUCCUAGAUGCAUACAAAUAUAAGAACUGAAGCACCAAAUUCACUCCUAUUCUAAGAGGAAUAAGAACAUUGAUUUUCAUUCCCUACAAUCAAGUACCGAACAUGGCCUAAAACGUAAGGGUUCAUGGGAGAUCCUUCUCGCCUAUCGACCUUCUUCUAUGGUGGCUAGGAACUCACUAUUCAAGGAUGCUUCUGGUUUGCUUGAAGAAGAAGCUGAGCUGGAAAGGUCUCUCCUUACGACAAAAGCUGGUUGUUUAGGAACUGGGAGUGUGGCAGUGUCACUGCUGAGCAUUACAACUGCAACUGCCAUGGUGGGACGGUCACUUGGGUCUUCUUGCACACACAACAGCCCAACAUUCACGCACCUCAGAAAUUCAUUUGUUUUACAUGUUUCACUUAGUGUCUGGUCCAUCAACUCCAACACCCUGUCUUCCUUCCACAGCUUCCAUGCCUGGGAAAGUUUGGACGUACAAGGGUUUCAUGGCAUAUAUAUAGAAUGUCCAAAGGAUCAAUGCAAAUGAGAAAUUCAAAGCACUUACAUGGGCUAGAAGGCUCAGAUUCCGGUCAGACUGAUAAGAUCUGGUGUUCCUCUUCCCGCUGAUGAUCUCAAGUACCACAACACCAAAGCUAAAGACAUCAGACUUUUCUGAGAAAAACCCAUCCAAUNNNNNNNNNNNNNNNNNNNNNNNNNNNNNNNNNNNNNNNNNNNNNNNNNNNNNNNNNNNNNNNNNNNNNNNNNNNNNNNNNNNNNNNNNNNNNNNNNNNNGGAGACAUGUAGCCACUGCAUUGAACCAGUUAAAAACACUACUCAGUUAAUUGGGGAUGCAAUCAUGCAACUACUUGCAUUUUACCAUACACAAUAUGCAGUACUUACUAAGUUCCAACUACUCUGUUUGUGCUUGCUUCUACUUGCUUACUCUCAAAAAUCCUUGCCAAGCCAAAGUCUGAAAUUUUGGGAUUCAUCUCGUCAUCAAGUAGAAUGUUGCUUGUUUUCAAGUCUCUAUGGAUAAUCUUCAAUCUUGAAUCUUGGUGAAGAUAAAGUAGCCCUCGAGCAAUUCCCAAAAUGAUAUCAAAUCGCUUCUCCCAGUUCAGUAACAGGCAUAGAGUUUGAUCUUGCAAUGUUCCCAUUGGAAAGCACGACUUCAGCAUGUACACGUUGUAAUAUGGGAGAAAAAAAAAAGGAACUUUUAGGCAGGUUAGAGGCAAACCAAAUAUGAAGGAGUCUAAGCUUUUGUUGGGCAUGUAUUCAUAGAGUAAAAUCUUCUCAUCUCCUUCAAUACAAUAGCCCAAAAGUCUAACCAAAUUUCGAUGCUGAAGUUUGGCAAUUAACACAACCUCGUUCUUAAAUUCCUGUAAGCCUUGUCCCGAAGCUCUUGAGAGUCUCUUUACUGCAAUUUCUCGCCCUUCAGGAAACUUUCCCUAGAUGCCAUAGCGCAUGGUAUUAGACAGACAAACCAGAAACCUUGAAAUGAGACUAAUGUGGAAAUUAAGGACUAUUACUUUGUAAACUGGCCCAAAGCCCCCCUGUCCAAGCUUAUUUGCAUCUGAAAAGUGAUCUGUAGCAGCCAGUAUGUCUUCUAAGUCGAAAAAUGGUACGUCAAUGCCUUUCUUAUCAUCUUCUUUGAAUUGCUCAGAGUCUAUUAAGUCUUUCACACGGCUCUCGCUAUGAUACAAGUGAAGCCCUGGAUUUGUUCUGUUUUCUGAAUUCAGAAACAAGACUACAUUAUGAAGAAGUCCCCUAAAAAUAUUAUCAAUUCUGCCAAUCAACACGAAACAAAAAAAGACCAGAAGUUAAAUGGUGGCGCAAAUAGCACAAAGAUUACCUUGCCCUUUGGAGAUGGUUCUUUUUCGAAAAUAAGCAAUACAACCAAUGAUGCAUAGAAGUGCAACUACUACAACAGCAGUUACUAUGCCUACCACAACUACCAGAGCCGAGGAUGAUGAUGAUGACUUCUGGUUUGCAGGUGUUGGAGCCUCCGCAAGAUUGCCACCAUCUGAAACAAAGAAAGACCACUCUCAUUCAUGGAGAAGGCAGCGCAUCUGCCAUUACUAAUCACUGUGUCUUUCAAUGCAAUUUAGCAAUAUGCUUGCUGAAAAUCAUCCUCACCUUGUGUACAAUUUAAACUGGAGCUGUUCCAUUUGAAGUUUUGAUUACAAAAACACCUCGUUCUAUUUUGCGUUCUGCAACUCGAAUUUGGCCAGUCCUUGCAGUCUGUUGCUGAGUUACAAACCGGCUCUGGUGGUGGAUCCCAACUUAUUUCAAUUUCAUACUGACCUUUCAUAGGCAUGCUGGAGCUAGAUUUUCCUGUGUCAGCAUUGCACCAGCUAGCUAUCCUGAAAGGUGGAUUGAGCUGCAGUAUCUUCGUGUCUUGUGAAUUUCGUGCUUCGCAGUUAUCAAUAUCAUUCACUUGGAUGAGAAACUUCGAUCUCUCUGGAGUGAUGCUGGUUACUCGGUAGCUGCCAUUAGGUAAGGCGAACCAGACUUGGUCUGUGGCCUUGUCACAUCUGAAACUGAAGUACAUGGGAUCACCACAGUUUGGUCCAGUGCUUAGUGGAUAGGGGAUCAAGUUUGUGCCACAAGUUUCACAAUUUCUUACUGUUGAUUCUGCAGAAUUAGAAUGAAUUUCAUGCUUUUCCUCGUUAACAAUCAAUUAAAUUCAGAAGUAGAAGGGGGCAAGCAGAGAGGAUACCUAUAUCUGAUUUGGCCACACGGAGAGAAAGAUUAUAGCCAUCUGUGUUAUACUCCUGAAGACUACCGAGAUCUUCAGACCAAAUCCAGCACUUGGGAGGGGUGCUAGCACGGCCCCUUCGUAUCUUUCCAACUCCAGCAUAAGCUUGACAGCGACAGGUCUUAAGGCACUCUCUUCUGCAUUCACUUUCAUCCUUACCCAAAAACUCAAUGUCAUACUUUCUUACUUUAAUCAUCUUCAAGAUCAAGAAUGUGUCCCCACAGAGGGUUGUCUUUUUAGAACACCCACCUGAAAAAUCUCCAUUAGUCCAUCUCUCCAGCGAGUUAGGCUCGAAUCCAGGCAAACAUUUGCACAUAAAUGCAUUGUUAACAUUGCAAGAACCGAAAUUCCCACAAGCAUUCAACACACUGCAUCGGUCUUGCGGCGCCCACCAGAAUGCAGACCACUCCUCCGUAUAAUUAUCCCAAACUAGAUAUCUUAUUUCCCCGGUGAAAUUCAUCACCAACCGUGUAUAAGAACUGCGGACAAAUUGAGACCCAGUUGGUUUUUGUGUCUUGCUAAAAUUGGAUAAGAGCUCGGCUGCUGCAGAACUCAUUCCUUCUGAUUCCUCACUUCUCCAAUAUUUAACAAUUGAAUCUUCAAAUAUGAUAUACUGAUCUUUAUCAUCAUCUUUCUUGAAAGUAUAGUUUCCAGGUGCAGGGUCAACGGGGCUGACCCAUGAAGUCAAUGUUAAGUUUCCCUCCAUAAUCAUCCCAGGAAGAAAAGUAUCAGUUGGGUUCUUGAAACUCUCCCAAAGAAUCUUCCCAGAUCUGUUGUCGCUUAAAACAAAGUUCCCAGAAUCCAUGACCUUGGCCACCCUACCCAUAGAAGACGAGCUUCCAAGAUCAGUAAACCAGUAAGCUGCUCCACUUUCAUUCACUAGCUUGAGGUUACCGUCAUCUGCAAUGACAAGAGCUCCAACACUGUCGUCAGGAAGGGGGUUGUCUCUAUUGGCUACCCAUACAACUGUUCUCUCCUUCAACCCGUAGUACCAUAUGCCAAUGUAUUUUCCAUUGUUGAACCCUCCCUUGGGAAUAAAGAAGCCCAAUUCAAAAGUUUGAUUGGCUGAAACAAGAGUUCCUCUACCAUCAUCAAAAAGCAAAUUGUUUGGUGUGAUGGUAUCUCUAGCAGAGCAGCACAGGAUAGAACACAAGAAGAAAAAGAUUGCAGCAGCAUAUGAGUUGCAGAGUCUCUUAACCGCAAUUUCUCGUCCCUCUGGAAACUUGCCCUGGAAGCCACAGUGCAUAUGCAUUGGGCAUAUGUUAGAACUUGGUGACUUGAAUUCUAUUUGGUUCGACUCGAGAAGCUCACGACGCGAUAUAGGUAGUAAAGCUAAAAUUAUGAAUUUUUUUUGGGUCUGUAGUAGUAACAGAGGGAUCGGACCUAUUACUCUUUCAUGUAUAUAUAUGCAUGCAAUGAUGUAUAGUUUUCAGGAUUAUGAUGAUUAUGUUUUUGCUAUAGUCGUUUGUAUCUCAUUCCUCUUGUACUAAUUUUUGACAUAGUAAAAUUUCUUCUCCUCGUGGUCUUUCCUAUCUAGGGUUUUCCACACAAAUCUAUGUGUUCUUAUCCUGUUUUAUUUCUUAUUGCAUAUUCUCAUUUUUUUUGUAACAGCAUAGAUGAUGAGAAAUCAGUUGAAAAUGAGAGGAACAUGGAAGUUAAGAACAAUUACCUUGUAAACUGGCCCAAAACCUCCUUGUCCAAGCUUAUUUGCAUCUAAAAAGUUAUCUGUAGCAGCCAGUAUGUCUUCUAAGUCAAAAAACGGUACAUCAAUGCCUUUCUUAUCCUCUUCUUUGAAUUGCUCUGAGUCUAUUAAGUGUUUCACACGACUCUCACUAUCAUAUAAGUGAAGCACUUGAUUUGCUCUGUUCUCUGAACUCAAAAAAAAAAACAGAAAAUAUUGUAUAGAAGACCCUGAAAUAUUCUCAAUUCAGCCAAGCACAAGUCGAAAAGAAAAGACCAGAAGUUAUAGGCUAGUGCAUAUGGCACAAAGAUUACCUUUCCUUUUGGUGAUGGUUCUUUUGCGCAAACAAGCAAUAUAACCAAUGAUGCCUAAAACCGCAACUAGAACAACAGCAACUGUUAUGCCUACCACAACCACUGGAGAUGACGACGAUGACUUCUGAUCAGCAGGCUUUGUAGGCUCUGCAGGAUUGACACCUGAAACAAAGAAGGAACUGAAUUGAACUUCUCUCACCUACCCAGAAGGCAAAUUUAGUAAGAUACUUGGUGAACAGAAUCCUCACCUUGUGUACAAUUUAAACUUGAGCUAUUCCAUUUGAAGUUUUCAUUGCAAAAGCACCUUCUCGUUCCAUCUCGCGUUCCGCAGGUUGAAUUUGGCCAGUCCUUGCAAUCUGCUGAUGAGGUACACACCGGCUCCAAUGGUGGAUCCCAACUGAUCUCUACUUCAAUACUAUUUUUCAAUGACAUCUCAGAGCCAAAAUUGUCAGUUCCAACCUCUUUGCACACAUCAGUCAAGUGAAAAGGCGGGUUUAGUGGCGGAAUCAGACUUCGUGAACUGCAAUCUGCCUCUUUCAGUUGGAUUACAAAUGUUAAUGUCUCUGGGUUAAUGCUAGUUACUCGGUAGGCACCACCAGGUACCUUGAACUGAACCUGGCCUGUGGUAUUGUUACAUUCAAAAUUGAAGUACGUUGAAUCACCACACUUUGAUCCAGUGCUUAGAGGAUAAGGAAUCAUGUUUGAGCCACAAGUUUCACAAUUCCUUACUGUUGGUUCUGCAAAGACAGUAGAAUCCCAUGUGGGCAUUUCAGUUACAAAUAGUAUGCUUGUUUUUUCAAAGAAAAAUAAAAUAAAAUUGAAAGGGACGUACUUAUAUCUGAAAUAGCCACACGAACGGAGAGGUUGUAGGCAUCAGAGGCAUACUCCUCCUGAAGACCAGUAAGGUCAUCCGUCCAAAUCAAGCAUUCUAGGGCAUCAGGAACAUCUCUUCCUUGUUUGAUAUAAGUUUCAGCAUAAGCUUGACAUUGGCAUUUUUUAAGGCAAGCCUUUCUGCAAUAGUCACUAUCAUUCGGAUCUGCUGGAAUCACAGAGUCUCGCUUUCUCACUUUCAUCAUCUUAAAGCUCAGGAACAUGUCUUCACUGGAAUUCUUCUCGCAUAUGGGAGACUUUCUGGUACACCCACUUGAAAACUCUCCAGUUUUCCAAAUAUCCGGCGAGACGGGUUUGAAACCAGGUAAACAUUUGCACAUCAAAGCAUUGUUAGUGUUACAACUUCCGAAUUUCCCACAAGCUUUUGACACACUGCAUCGAUCUUGCGGUGCCCACCAGUCUGGAGAUGAUGUAUUCGGAUUCAGAUAGUACCGUAUUUCCCCUGAAGAGCUCAUCACCAACCGACUGGUAUUCUUAUACUUGGAGGACAGUAUUUCAAGGGGUCUAUUGUAGAAUUUUCUAGAGCUGGUUGGCUUACCGGUCUUGCUGAAGUUGGAUAACAAGCUGAGUAUUGCAUCUGGCAUUUCAUCAGGCGUUCCUUUCGAGUCCUCACUGCUCCAAUAUGAGACAAAUGAAUCAUGUAUGUUAUACUGAUCCUUAUUGUCUUGAUCUAGCUGGAAAGUAAAGUUUCCAGGUGUCGGGUCAACAGAACUCAGCCAUGAAGUCAGUGUUAAGUUUUCAUCCAUCUUCAUCCCAGGAAGAAAAGUAUCUGUAGGAUUAUGGAAGCUCUCCCAAAGAAUCACCCCUGAUCUGUUGUCACUCAAAACAAGGUUCCCAGAGUCCAUGAGCUUCACCACCCUCCCUGUAGAUGAAGAAGAUGUUUCAAUAUCAGAAGACCAGUGAACUGUCCCAUUUGCAUCCAAUACCUUGAGCUCACCAUCUUCUUUAAUGGCAAAAACUCCAGAGGGGGUGUCAGAAAGGGGAAGGGGGUUCUUUCGGUUGGCCACCCAUACAACUCUUUGUGGUUUCGACAUGUAAUACCAUAUGCCCACGAAUCUUCCAAUCUUGGAGCUUCCAUCUGGAUUAAACAAGCCAAGUUCAAAAGUUUUGCCUGCAGAAACAAGAGUUCCUCCUUCAUUACUAAGCCAGUUCUCCGGUGUGAUGGUAUCUCUAGCAGAGCAAUACAGGACAGAACACAAGAAGAAAAAGAUGGUAGAUAGCAUGUGAGUUGCAGAUACAGGAACCAUGAAUUUUCUUCUUAUCAUUUUGCCUCUUUUUAGAGCUAUGCCCUCAAAUCCAUAGUUUUUAAUGGAGACUCGUCCUCUUGACUCUUGAGUGGAGCAAAGUCACAUCAGUAUUGUCAUCUUAAUCUUCCUCCCUCAGACCACAUAAAAAUAAAAACAAAAACAUAUAUCUAAUUGAUUGAUUAAUCAUUGGAGUGUAGCAUGCAAAGCUUUUUCUUUCUUCAUUUUCUGGGUUUAAGUUCCCAAAUGAGAAAAUGAAAGAAAAUAUGGUGGACCAUGUCUCCUUUUCAGUACACUCCUUUCAUCUUUUCUCUUUAUUGCAGCUGGUGUCUUCCAAAGUCUUUAUGUUUUGUAUAUCAUCAUGUUCCUCAUUUCACUCCACUUUCUUCUUUGUAUGUACAGUUUAUCUCUUUUAAGAAAUGAAAUAUGAGCAUCAACCAAUAAAUUUUUCUAUACUUUCUCCAACUUGGAGGAGCUUCAUAAUGGGAUAAACAAGAAAAAUCAAGAGUCUGUUUUUGCAAUGCUUUUAAAAGGGUUUUCGAAAGAAUUCUAAUAAAUAGAUUCAAAUAUAAAAACUAAUUUUCUUCUCUUAUUCAUGUAUAAUAUAAAAGUUUGUGAAGUAUUCUCUAUUUUUUUAAUUGUUACUCAAUGAAUUCUCAAAAAAAAAAAAAAAAAAUCAACUAAAACACCUUAAAAUGUUUCACAUGUAUCUGACUUUAGGUGCCAUUACUUUGUAUCCAAAUUUUUGAUACCAUAAGUUUGUAUUUUACCCAAUUGCUUAGAUUUCAACGUAUAUUUUCAAAUGUUUGGAUUACAAAACUAAUCAUUUCUUCUCCAACAUAUUAAGGUGGUAAUUGAUGUUGAUGGGUUGCAUUCGUAUCAUGUUAAAGUCUAGGUAUUCUACUAAAUAAGUCAACCUAAACCCGACAUGAAUAAUAAUUAUGUUAAAAAUGCAAAUCUAAAUACUACCUAAUUAUUAAAUAGGUAACAUAUCGUAUAACUCAUUUAAUUCAUUCAAUUAUUAGGUCAUUCUAUUUAAUAAUCAAGUUGAAUUAGGUCUUAUACAAGUUUGUAUCAUGACUAAUGACUCAAUCAAAUAUUUUUAUGGCUCAAUUGACCUAUUUAUUUUAAAAAAAUAAAAAUUAAAUGAGUCGAAUAUGAGUUAAAGAGUUUAAUUUUUUUUUUAUAUAGGUAAAUAAGAAUUGUAUUAAAAGAAAGAAAGUAUACACAUCGUAUACGAAGAAAAAAUGACAAAAAUGGGUGAAAACACAAAAACUCACUACCACACCCUAUCGUGAGCCUACCCAAUCUACAAAGUCUAACAAUGAUAAAGAUCCAUACUCAAUGUACAAUCUAACCCAAUCCCAAAAUAGAUACAAAAAGAAAAUUAAUUGUUUGAUAUGUGCUUUCAAAGUUGUCAAAAGACCUCAUAUUUCUCUCCCGCCAUAAAGCUUAAAACAUACACAAUGGAGCUAUUUUCCAAGCCUUAUUCCUCUUUUUACCCACAAAGGACCCAUGCCAACUCAGAAGGACCUCUCUAACUGAACAACUCAACACCCACUGAAUGCCAAAAAAUGCAAAGAUCAACUUCCACAACAGAUGAACUUUCGAACAAUGGAUGAGAAUAUGGUCACUAGUUUCUUCUUCUUCCUUACACAAGUAACAUCUAUUAGGAAUCCUCUAACCCCUCUUUUUGAGUUGAUCCAGAGUCAAAAUCUUGGCUCAAGUUGCUUCACAAGCAAAGAAGCUAAUUCUCGGGGGCACCUAAGAAUUCUAAACAAUACCAUGGAGGAGUAGAAGGACUUAACAAAGAAAACACAUCGGUCUCCACAGAUAAGGGGUGUGCUGACAAUCUCCCCAAGAAGGCUUGUACCUCCUCUAACUCCCAAUCAUGUAGUUGCCUCGUAAACCUAAGACCCCAACCACCAUCAUCCCAAAGGUCACUCACCCAAACAUCUACAAUCACCCGUUUCUAGAGAGGGUCCCUUUCACUUGCAAAUCUCCAAGACCACUUGCCUAAGAGAGCCUCAUUGAGGAUGGUUAAAUCUUUGAUACCAAGCCCCCUUGUUGUUUGUCCAACCGAACAAUAGCUCAUCUUACCAAGUGUGGCUUCUAUUCUAAGACACAUUUUCCCCACCAAAAAGUCUCUUUGAAUCUUCUCUAGUCUAGCGGCUACUCUCCUUGGAAUGACAAAGAGAGACAUAAAGUAAAUGGGCAGACUGGACAAAGUGUUCUUCACCAAAGUCAACUUUCCACCUUUUGAAAGAUACUGCCUCUUCCACAACGCUAAUUUUUUUCAAAAUCUCUCUUAUACCCCAUCCCAUACCCUAAAAGACUUGAAAUGAGCUCCCAACGGAAGUCUUAGAUAAGUAGAAGGGAGGGAACCUUCCUUGCACCCUAAAGCCCAACAAUAUCCUCUAAGUUUGAAACUUCCCUAAUGUGGAUGAGCUCAUUUUUCUCCAAAUUAAUCUUUAGACCUGACAUAGCCUCAAACCACAUAAAAUCCAGUUCAAGUACUCAAGGACUUCCUUCCUAGCAUCACAAAAAAUGAGGUUGUCGUCUGCAAACAACAAGUGGGAAAUCUUCACCCCCUUUCAUUCUCUUCCCUUAACUUGAAAGCCAUUAAUGAACCCUCCUUUUUUGCCUUCAUAAGAAUGAGAGAAAGAGUCUUCAUUACCAAGAUGAAUAAAUAAAGAGACAAAGGGUCGCCUUAUGAUAAGCCCCUAGAACUUUGAAAGAAGCCUGAUGGGGACCCAUUGACCAAAACUAAGAACCAGGUUGUAGAGAUGCACCAUCUAAUCCAGCUAAUCUACUUAGAACCAAAACCCAUCUUUUCCAACACUGCAAAAAUAAAGUUCCAAUUUACAUGGUCAUUGGCCUUUUCGAUAUCCAAUUUACAAAUGACCCAUCUCAAGUUAGCUUUCAUUCUAGAACCAAUGGCUUCAUUUGCAAUCAAAACAGCAUCCAAAAUUUGUCUUCCCGCCAUAAAAGCAUGCUGAAAAAUCGACACUAAGUUCCCCACCACUAUCUUGAGGCGCAUGGCUAUGACCUUAGCCAAAGGCUUAUAUAAGCUUCCUACCAAGCUAACUGGCCUGAAGUCCUUAAGAUCUUCUAUUCCCCCAUUCUUUGGAACUAAGACAAUAAAAAUGGCAUUUAUGCUCCUUGGAAAGUCCCAAACUCAUGAAACUCUGUAAAAAAAACCCAUCACUUUCUUUUUCACCACAUCCCAACAAGCUUGCCAAAAGGCCAUGGAAAAGCCAUCUGGCCUAGGAGUUUUAUCCCCAUUCAAGCAAGAAAGAGCAGCAAAUACCUCCUCCUCAGUGAAAUGAACCUCCAAAGCUUGAGUUUCAAGGCUAGAUACAAAAGCAAAGUCUAACCCACUAAUGGGUGGUCUCAAAUCCCCCGAAUCUGAAAAGGUACUUUGAAAGGCAUUUGCCACACCUUCUUUAAUAGCCACCUCCUCAAUUAACAAAACACCAUUCACUCUUAGCUUGGCCAGAAAUUUUCUUCUUCUAGCAUUAGCCACCUUCUAAAUAUAUAUAUUGUUGUUCUUAUCUUUAGCCACAAUUCCCUUGACUUUUGUCUCCAAGAAAUCUCCUUCAAAUCUGCCCAAUAUUUGAAGUCCUCUACUACCUUUUUUCUAAUCUCUCAUUCCUCAACGAAGAGAGACAUUUCCCUUUCUUGAGCAUCCCAAAUACCAAGUUGAGAUAAUGCAACAACCUUCUUGGUAAAAAUAUUUCCAAACACCCUCUCUAUUCCAAGCUUUAAGAUUUUGUUUCAGAGCAAUGAGUUUAACAGCUAAAAUGUGGCUAAAUGACCCCUGAACAUUAUAACCUUCCCACCAACCCCUGAUCAACUCUUUAAAGCUGUCCACUUUCAGCCACAUGUUUUCAAAACAAAAAUGAAUUUUUCCUGUCCUCAUCCUGCCUCCAUCAAGCAGAAUGAGAGAAUGAUCUAAGACUAGUCUUGGGAUAAUGUACUAACACAACCUGCUAAAGUGAUUCUCAUAGUCUUUAGCCACCAAAAAAUGAUUAAGCCUAGAAGUUGAGUCAUUAUUUAACCCACCCGUCCAAGUAAAGGCAUCCCCCAACAGUGGCAAAUCUUUUAGAUCCAAAUCAUCAAUGACCUCAGAAAAAUGCCUCAUAGAGGCUGAAACGCAUUGACAGUUUCUUCUUUUCCCCUAGAAUCUCAUACCAUUGAAAUCCUUGCCCACGCACCAAAGAUCAUUCCAAAGCCCUCUAAUGUCUCCCAAUUCAUUCCAAAAAUUCUCCUUCUCUUCAUUCAGCAUAGGACCAUAAACAUCCAAGAAAAGUUAUCCUCACAAUUUCUGAAACAACAAGAAACUAAGAAAACACCUACUUCCGUGUCAAUGAGUUAUAACACCCAUGUGUUCCAAAAAACCAAGAUGUCUCAUGCCUGACCUCUAGCCUUUGCUACUCCCCAGGCCAGAAACCUUCCCACCCCAAGCUCCUCACUAAGGAGGUUGACAUUUAAUGGACCUUAGUUUCUUAAAAGCAAACCAGAUCAGCUGAGUGCAAGCGAAUCAAAUCUUUAAUAACUUUGUGGUUUUCCCUCUCAUUAACCCCUCUUACAUUCCACAAAAGGAUUUGAACCUUCAUUGACAAAAACUGAAUAAUUCCCCAAAACUCUUACUUAUUCUCAUCCCAAUACCCGAGGUUGAUUUGUAGUUCACAGAGUAUUUUAGUUUGCAAAGCUCCCUCUCCGACUUAGAGCCAGGCAUCACACUCUUUUUUAGCUCCUGCCUCAAGCCAUUUCCUUUCUUUCCUUUCUUUUAAAGCUUUAACCUUUGAAAGAGCUCCAUAAUUUCCUUUUCACGACCUUCCACUAGGAGUCCCAAAGACUUACUAAAGGUCAGUAACCUCUUAAAGUUGUCUUUCGACACGUCGAGAUCUCUUUCAGAAUCCAAACACUCUUCUUCCCCUGUUCUAAACACGACUUCCAUACUCUCGCCAAUUGCUUGUAGAUCCAUCUUCGAACCAUCCUUCAAGACCAUUUUAAGAGGAAAUUCCCCUACAGCCUAUUCUAUAAGUGAAAGCUCACAACCACCCUUUACCAUAUCCUUCCAACAAAUCAAACUCUUUGACUAUUGGUCACCACCCUCCAAUCCCACGAGAGAAAAAGAAUAAGAAAAAAAAAGGUCCAUAACCCAAGGGAAAAGAGAUAAAGUACAUCAUACCUGGAAAUCGGUCCGACUUCUCCAACAAAGCGAAUUCAGUUGAGAACAACUGCCAAUGGAACAAUGCAUAGAUCAGAAGGGCCACCAUGAAGCCUCAUCUCCUAACUGUAGAGCCCUUCUAGGGCAUAGUGCCCUUUCAGCAAAUAAGGAAGGGCCUAGUAGGGACUUAAACCUCUCUCACUCACAGAAGCCCAAGAGGAUAAGGGUCAUAAAGCCUUUAUGGGCAAAAGGCUUCUUUUGGGAAAUUUGGAGAACCAUGAGAGCCCAAUCCCCCAUGAAAGAGGUAGAAAGGCUUUUAAAAGUUGCCUCCAGCCCAGACCCAAGGCCCAAUCCAAGAGAGAAAAAGGCCACAUCCACUAAGACCCCUUCAAAAUUUGUUUCUUCUGCAGCCACAUGACAGUCUUCUAUCAACUCAGCUAUCUCAUUUCCCACCCAAAUCAGCUUUUUCCCAGAAAAGCCUACCGGGGCAACUCCACCACCAGCUAGCCAGCCAGUCCUUCAACAAUGGACACAUCACCUUUCUUUGCCUACAUUUGUAGACUUGGGGACCCCACGCUCCCGAACAUGCGUGUGACCCCACCCAUCUUCUCCAUUGUGCCCAACUACUCGUUACAAGGGUACAUCUAUGAGACCUAAGUGAUUCAAGCCAAAAUAUGUGCUCUAAUUGCACAUAUUCAAUAUGAUUUGUGCACUAAUGGACAUUCAAAUCACCCAACUUGACCUAAAUCGAUGCUAAGGUCCUAACCAUGAGUUUAACUUGUACUUUAGAGACUUAUCUUAGGUUUAAGUGAAGAAAAUGGUGUAAGUUGAAUCACUUUAGAUUUUGAAAUAUCAAGAAAGGGCUAAAUGAGGAUAUAAGUGAGUCAAGACUCAUGGACCAUGAGAAAAGGCAAGACGAGGAUAUCAUGAGUUUGAAAAAUGAGAAAUGAUCAUUAUGGAGUAAGACAUAAUGCAAGAAAACAUGGGAAAUGAGGUAUGAAGCAAGAUCCAACUACAUGGAAAUUUGCAACUCAAAAUCUGGUGGCAACAUGUACUUUGAUUUUGAGGAAAAAUUUGGAGUAUUUUUUAAAGUCCAUUUUAGUUAUACUAUAUAUUUUUUUGAAGCUCGGGAAUUCAAGAGUUCAACACUUCAAACGGUGUACAAAUCAGAGCUAAAAUGAAUAAGUUAUGGUCAUUUGAAAACAAUUGUGUAAAGUUGAAGGGUCAUUUCGAAAUGAUUUCGAAAUUCAACUUAUGAAUUCGAAAUCCAAUUUGAAAUAACCCCAAUUUCAAAUUCACCCACUGCCACUUUGAUGUUUCACCUCCUCUACCUCAGAAAUUGCAUCUAGCGCACUCCAUUAGCCCUAAGUGGAUCACACGCGACUAGAAAUCACCAUUUUAUUAUUUUUAAUCAUUUUUAGAUAAUUAUUUUUGUAAUAAGUGGCCAAUGAAAGUGUGCCACAUGUUAGGUAAUUAAUAAUAUUAUAUAAACUCUCUUAGUUCUAGGUUUUAGAUAUCUUGGAUCUUUUUCCGGAGAGUUUGACAUUGGAGGUGGAAGAAGAUGAGAACUUUGGUUUGUUUUCUUUUCUUCUUUAUUAAAUAUAUUGUUUUUAGUUUCUUUUGAUUAAAAUUAUAGAUUUUUACCCUAUUAUGGAUUGUCAAUUUGACACCACCCCCAUGAGAGGCUAAGAAGUCAACUUGAGUCUUGAAGCAUGAAAACGUACGGGUUAGGAAACCUAUAAGGACAAUGGGUAAAUUAUUAUAACAAUUAGAUUAAUUAUUGGUUGGGUGACUAUUUAUCAAUUUUUUUAUCCUAUCCUUGUAAGUUAGUUUAGGGAAUGAUAUGGUAGGUUAUUACCCGAUACUAGUGAUUCUUGGUAAUUCUUGAUCAUUAGUUAUCCUUAUCUUCUCUAUCAUUAUUUGCCCCAAAGCAAAGCUAUAAGGGAUAGGAAUGGUUAAAAAGCCAAAUCUUAAAUACCAUCAACUCAUUCAUUUGAUGGUUUUAGGAAUCUGUUUUAAAAAUGAAAAAUUAGGUUUUAGAUUCAAUUUUGAGUUAUAGAAUUCAACUUGAUCGCAAAUGGCCAAGGAUCCCAAAACCCUAAGAUCAUAUUACUUAAAAGACCUUUGUUUUCCUUCAUUUCUAUACCCUAGGUUGGAUUAUGGAAAGCCCCAAACUUAAAUCAAUCAAAUUUAAAAUCAAUAUUCAUCUGAGGGCCUCAUAUGAGAAAUCACCUCAUCGCUCCACUAAGCAACGAUUAAUGACUUGCAUUUUGUUGAAAGAGUUAACAUUUCCAAACUACAGCCAUACAGAAUCGCACAUAACCUUCCUUGACUCCUUCGUCACCUCAACAUAAGAAGCUGGAACUUUAUCUCCCAUAGACUCAGCUCUCUUAGAGUGAGGAGCCUCUCCUGAUGAUUCCUCGAACAUACCAUGAGGACUCAUUACUCCGCAACUUCUCAGUUUCUGUACCAAGACUAACCAACCUAAAAUGAACCUUCUCUCUUGUGCAGUAAAAACUGAGCACAAGAGAAAUAUUCCUACUUCAUUACUAUGUAGCUGAAGUUUGAAGCUUCUCUCUUCUUCGACCCAAGAAUUGCUAAAAACUUUCCUAUUCUUUUUUUGAAUACAGAACUCCACCCCUUGUAGGAGAAGGAAGAGACCACUUUCUCCAAACCUAAUACAGGUCCAAAAUCUCCACCCCCUCUCAGUGAUAACCUUAGAGACUUUUCCUUUGAAGAAGCCAACUGAAAUCUUAAAGGAUUUCGAGUCAACCCCAAACCAAGCUCUUCCCCCCUUCAUGGAAGCUAUAUGAAGAAUUCAUUAAGAAUUUAAAAUUAUAAUUAAGUUAAUCAACAAGAUUAUUUGUGAUGUGCAAGUUAACCUAAAAAUUAUCUAUUUAUUAAACGAGUUACACAAGUUGACUCAAACUCAAAUAUACUCAAUUCAAACCUAUGAAAAAGUGUGUAGGUUUAAAUCAUAUUGGUGAAUCUUAUCAAACUUUGUCACUCCUAUAGCAUGGUGUCAUGCUACUUAACUCAUUGCCUCAAACUAAAAAAUGAAGUGAACACAAUAAUUUUAUUAAUACUUUCUUCAACUUUGAGAAUCAUCAAGUUUCAAAUACCUACUUUAGUUAGCAAGAAUCAAGGCUCUAUUUUGGGAAGUGUUUUCAUAAAUAAUUCUAAAAAAAUAGUUUUGAAAAAAUUUUCUCUGAUAUUUUACAAAAUAAAAAUUUAUUUGGAAACUUAAAAUAUUAUUAACAUGUUUUAAAUGUUUUUAAAUAUAUUUUAAAAAUAGUUUCUAUAGUGUUUUAUUUUUAAACAUUCCGUUUUUAAAACAUCUUUCAGAAAAACAAUUAUAAGAUGUUCUUUGCAAACACCAUUUUUUUUUAAGAACAAAAAAUUGUUUUCUAUUUUCUAGUUACCAAAUAUAUGAUUUUUUUUAAGAAUAGAAAUUUAAAAAAAAAACAGUUAUUAAAUAUGACUCAAUUUUCUUUUCUUUUUUUAUUUCUUUUUUUCUUCUUUUUCCUUGUAAUUUCCAACAUUAAUUUAGGAUAAUAUGCUUUGAGUUAGCUAUCUAUAAGACAAUAUUUACCAUCUCUUUCCAUGUGCUACUUCUCUAAAUGCAUUUACACAAAAGGACAUCACCUUUUUUUAAUAGCAUCCAACUGUUUUUUCACUCAAACCAAGAAAGAUAACUUAAACCGAGUCCAUUUCUUAAUCCAACCUGCACGAACUAAACAAAGCUCUCUUUGGUAAAAUCUUAGUUAAAAAUUGGUACUUUUAUGGGAAACCAAAAUAAAUAAAAUAUAUAAGAAGAUAACUACAAGCAAAUGAACUUUCUUUUAUUAUACUAGAUCUUAUUUCUCUAUGCUUUAUCUAAUACCACAUCAUUUUCUUAAUUGAAUUGAAUUAUUGAAAUGUCCAACAUCAAGAACAUCCCUUUUUGUUGGACCCAUUGCCAUUACUUUCUUUUCAUUUUGCAAAGUAAUGUAAGUCAUGAUUAAAAUAUCAACCUCAAAAAUGAGCUUAUUUCUCUAAUGAGCUAAAGGGACUCAAACCUCUCACCAAAAAGUUGCAUACAUACCAUCAGGGCAAGUUUACCCUUUGAUAUACACACACACACACACACACAUAUAUAUAUAUAUUAAAAAUAUCAUAUCAAUAAAAUAUUUUAAACAACAAAUUAAUCAUAAUUAUUUUAUAAUUGAGUGAAAAUUACACACACAUAUAUAUCUAUAUAUAUAUAUAUAUAUAUAUAUAUAUUAAAAGUAUCAUAUCAAUAAAAUAUUUUAAACAACAAAUUAAUCAUAAUUAUUUUAUAAUUGAGUGAAAAUUUCAUUUAGUAGAUUAACAAAAAUAUAAAAAUUAUCAUAAUAAUUUCUUCAUAAUGUUUUUAAUAUUAAAAAAUUAUACAUUUAUCAUCUUUUAUUUUAUAUCAUUUAACACACACACACACACACACAUAUAUUAAAAGUAUCAUAUCAAUCAAAUAUUUUAAACAACAAAUUAAUCAUAAUUAUAUUAUAAUUGAGUGAAAAUUUCAUUUAGUAGAUUAACAAAAAUAUAAAAAUUAUCAUGAUAAUUUCUUCAUAAUGUUUUUAAUAUUAAAAAAUUAUACAUUUAUCAUCAUUUAUUUUAUAUCAUUUAAUACACACACACGCACAUAUAUUAAAAGUAUCAUAUCAUUCAAAUAUUUUAAACAACAAAUUAAUCAUAAUUAUUUUAUAAUUGAGUGAAAAUUUCAUUUAGUAGAUUAACAAAAAUAUAAAAAUUAUCAUGAUAAUUUCUUCAUAAUGUUUUUAAUAUUAAAAAAUUAUACAUUUAUCAUCAUUUAUUUUAUAUCAUUUAAUACACACACACGCACAUAUAUUAAAAGUAUCAUAUCAUUCAAAUAUUUUAAACAACAAAUUAAUCAUAAUUAUUUUAUAAUUGAGUGAAAAUUUCAUUUAGUAGAUUAACAAAAAUAUAAAAAUUAUCAUGAUAAUUUCUUCAUAAUGUUUUUAAUAUUAAAAAAAUAUACAUUUAUCAUCAUUUAUUUUAUAUCAUUUAAUAUAAUUGAAUUAAAUGUAUCUUAAUUUAAUAUUAAAUAUAUUUUAAAAUUAGACAUAUUAUAAUCAAAUAUCACAAUAUUAUUAUCAAAUAAUAUUUGAUGUAAUUUAAUAAUCAAUGUACACUUAUAUAUACCAAUUUUUUCAACAAAACAACUUUAAAAAGUCUAUUAUACUUCUAAUUUUAUUUUUCAAAGUUUUUUUUUAUAUUUUUAUUCAUUUUGAUCAAUUUUAGACCAACCGAUAUUUUUUGUCAAAAUAUCUGUCGAUAUAUAUUCGUAAAAUCGAAGUACCAACAUAUCCGUAAUUACCGAUAUUUUUAUCUUUGGUCAUGAUGGAAUUAGGUUUCUAAAAGUAUAUGGCAUUGCCUUAUUUUAACCUAAUCCCUUUUUUCAAUUAAGAAAUCAAAAAAGACCCUCUCAUGACAAUGUGCAUCGCUUCAUAUUGACUUGGAUAAUUUUUAAGUCAACUCAACCAUCUAAUUUGAACAACAUAAAAUGGAUACUUAUUACUAAAGCAUACAUAAAAUGCAUACAAAUGAAGUUUUGUUUUUUUCUUUUCUAAAAUAUAUGUCUUCGAGCAUAAGCCUCCUUAUUCACUUGGUAUCUCUUGAACUCUCUUGCAUCCCUAUCUAUCAUAUAUAGUCUUCAUAAGUUCAUCUCAUAACUUUUUUUCCCUUAUAACCCUCUCCAUCUCAUAAUCUAAAUUUUCCUCUCAAAAUCUAAAACAUCUAUAAAAAUAAGUUUAAUAACUUUUCUUAUUUUAUAAGAAAAUCCAAUAUUGCAAUGAUAUACAAACGUAUGAAAUAUUUUAUAUAAUAUUAUUUAGAAAAAGAAAUAUUUAUCGAUCGAGAAUUUGAGAUAUUCCUUCCUUAUCUUUAUCACAUCUUUAAUCUUUUCUUUCUUUACACGGAUUAGAAACGUAUGAAAUAUUUUAUAUAAUAUUAUUUAGAAAAAGAAAUAUUUAUCGAUCGAGAAUUUGAGAUAUUCCUUCCUUAUCUUUAUCACAUCUUUAAUCUUUUCUUUCUUUACGCGGAUUAGAUGAAAAUGUCUCUUCUAAUGAACCCACAUGAAAGGCUUUUGUAUUUUGUAGCAAGCCCUUUUUAUCAUGACAGACUUUUUCCGUAAGAAAUUGGAAUCAUGAGAGUCUCUUUGGUAUAAAAUUUGGAAAGUAUUGCACUAAAAGUUAUAGUUCUUUGUCCUCAACCUCAAAUUUUACUUGAAGCUUUCAUGGGGACUUUUUCCUAGCUCUUGAGGGGUGGCAAAGUCACACAGUACUAUUGCAGUCCUCUCUCAGUCCACUCAGUUAAAAAGGAAAAAGAAAGAUUUGCAUAAUUGAAUGGUCGUUCAUUGCAGUGGUUGCAUGCUUAUUUCCUCUUCCAAAUCUUUUAUUUUCAAACAUUCUCAUUCAUUUUUCGCUGUAACUCCAAUUGCCCUAAACCAAUUAUGAGAAACUGCAUGAAAAAUGAAAGGAUAUGUAGACAAUAAAUUGGAGUUCUGUUGGUAAGUUUAAUUUCAAGAACAAUCUUUUAAAAAAACAAAAAAAAAUGAAAACGUAUUUGGAUAUGAGUUGUUCUCAAAACAGGUUUUAGGCAAUAUUAUAAAAAUAUGAUGUUUUUAUAUAACAUAUUUUAAUUAUUUUUAUUUAUUUAAUAUAUGACGAUUAUUUAAAAAUAAUAAUUGUACAAAUACGGAGAAUGAUUAAAAAUAAAGGAUUAUAAAUAAAAAUUAUUUUAAGAAAUAUUUAAAAACACAAAGAAACCGAUUGAGAACAUUCUAAGUUUCCUAACAAACUUUGAUUAUAAAAAUCAUUAGAAAACUAUUUUUGAAAACUAUUCUCAAAAAUUCUUUUGAGAGUUGUUUUUUAAAACACUUUCAAAAACAGAUCCUAAUAUUUUGUUUGAUAUUUUUCCUUAUUUUUUCUCCUCACAGCCUCAUAAAUAACUUUAGGAAAUACAACUCAUUAUCAUCAUGGUGAUGUUUCUUAAUUUCACAUCACUUUUUUCUCUAUGUUUAGUGUUAUCUCAUUUUUCUUUAUAUAUAUGGGCCAAGGGUUUAAGUGUUUAACCAUCUUAUUUAAUUAACCUUUUUAUAACAUUCCACGUUAUAUUUAGCUUUCUCCACCAUGUGGCCAUGCAUUGACUUAACUGACAAUCCAUGUGGAAUAAUAUACUUUAACACCCAGCUUUCUAUAGGACUAUUUUUACCAUCUCUUUGCAUGUGCUACUUCUAUGAAGCAUUUCCACAAAAGAUUAUCACCCUUUUUAAUAGCAUCCAAUCAUAUUUUCUCUCAAACCAUGCAAGACAACUUAAACAUUUCUUAAUCCAACUUGCAUGAACUAAAUAAAGCUCUCUCAGUAGAAUCUCAGUUUAAAAUGGUUAUUCUUAUGCGAAAUCAAAGUAAAAAAAAAAAACAAAAAACCAAGAACAAAGUUGCAAGCAAAUAGUGGCAGACAUGGAUUUAAAGUUUGGGGGGCAAUUGGCAAGAUUUUUCACUUUUCUAUGUAUAAUGUACUAGUGGUCUUAAUAAUUAAAGAGAAAAGAUAAAGAGAAAAAAAAUAAGAGUAAGCAUAUGGGGGAGGACCACAUAUCAUAUUACUUUUUUAAAUAUUAUCUAUAAAAAAAAUUUCCAAGUUACCCCCCCAACCCACCCCCUAGCCCCUGUUCUAUCUGUCUUUGUAGGCAAAUGAACAACUUCUUUAGUGAAUAAUUUGAGUCUUUUUUUUAUAAGUUGAAGGAUACAACUACAAUAUUGCCCAAUCAUAAAUCAUAUAUCAUAUAAUCAAUUUCAUUACUUUAUAUCUUAUCAAUAGUCUCAUUGUUUUGUACAUUAUUCCUAUAUUAUUGUAUUUAGGUCUUAUUUCUUUGUACCUUUUUAAAUUUUUUUAUAUUUGAAUCUAAUGCAUAUAUACUACCAUCCACAUCAUUUUUUCUUAAUUAAAUUAUUGAAACAUCUACUAAUAGGAACAUCCUUUUUUAUUGGGCCAUUGCCUAUGCUUUCUUCCCCUCUUUUUGCAAGAUAAUGUAAGUCAUGAUGGGGACAAAUUUCUAAAAGUAGAUAUAUUUGCCUUCUUUUUAACUCAAUUCCUUUUUCUCUAACUAAGAAGUGGAAAGAAAAGACCUCUCAUCACAACAUGAAUUGCUUCAUAUUGACUUCGAUGAUUUGUAAAUCAGCUCAAACCAUCUAAUUGAACAAAAAAGGUGAAAGUAGUAACAAUGAAAUCAAAAACAUUUUGGUCGAUAGAUACUCAAGUAAUUAUUGUAGCAAAGAAUGAAAAUAAAAGAGCAUAAGAUGCAUACUUAUCACAAAAGGGAAAAAAAAUGCAUGAAAUGCAUAUCAAAGAAUUUCUUCUCUUUUUUUUUUUUCCAAAAUUUGUGCACUACUACUGUUUCAAAGUAUGCUAUACAUUUGGCAUGGUUGCUUCGGGUAUAUGAUAUUGUUUUUGUCGAGGCUGAAUCUGGCUUUUGUAUAGCAUAAGCAAUAAUGUGAGGUCUAGAUAGAGUCGAAUAAGGCAAGCUUCCCACUAGUUUUCGGUAAUUUUGUUAAUUUUGAAGAACUUGUCUAUGAGUUUAAGCUAGUCUAGAACCAGUGAGACCUGCAAGAGACAAAGGGUCAAGAUCAUAUUUAAGUUGAGUUAUGUGAUUCUGAAUGAAUUUAGUUGAAGAAUGGGAGUUAGAUAUUCUUCACAUAGGGAAGUAAUAAAAGUUAUAUUAAUGGGAGUUAGGUCUAUCUUGAAAGAAUGUAGGACGCUACCCUACCUUUUGGCCACCUUCAGGUAGAUUGGUCUCACCAUAUGUGGGGAUACUACUUUUUGUAGGGACUAGGGAUAUUUCUCUUAACAUCCACAGGGAUAACGUUCUCAACCAGUAUAAGGACAUUGUUCUCCACCUACCUGAUCAUCAAAGAUAUUUUUCUUGAUCAUAUGAGAGAAAAAAUGUUCGUGUAUAAAAUUACAUUAAUGCAAGAUAUGCAAGGGGCAUACGCUUGAACUCAUUUUGACCUCCAAGCAUAUGGUGAGAUUGUGAUGAUGUGGUAAUUUAGUGGUAAUGUGGCAAAGAGGCUAAUUACAUGGAAAAAUGGCAGUUGAGGUUUGCUGUAGAGAGGGAAGAGAGGGAGAUUUGAUUGAAUCAUUAAAAACAAAGGAAUAUAUUAUUUAUUGAACUACUAAUUUUCCUAAAAGUUUAAGCUUGUAGAAUUUGGAUUCAAUAUGCAAAUCAUACUUUUUAACACCCUCUCUCACGUGCAACCUCAUACACACAUGUGAAGAGAUAUCACAUAGAGAAGUACUAGAAGUUAAAUUAUUGGGAGUUAGGUCUAUCUUGAAUGAAUUUAGGACACUACCCUUUAAUGUUUCCAGCCUUGGAAUAGAUUGAUCUCACCAUAUGUGGGGAUACUACUUUUUGUAGGGACACUUCUCUUAACAUCCACAGGGACAAUGUUCUCAACCUAUACGAGGACAUUGUUCUCUCCACCUAUCUAAGCAUCAAAGAUAUUUUUCUUGAUCAUAUUAGAGAAAAAUUGCCCAUAUAUUACAUUAGAUUAAUGCAAGAUGUGUAAGGGGCAUAUGUUUGGACUCAUUUUGACCACUAAGAAUAUGGUAAGAUUGUGAUAAUGUGGUAGUUUAGUGGUAAUGUGGCAAAGAGGUUAAUGACAUGGAAAAAUGGCAGUUGAGGCUGGCUGUAGAGAGGGAAGAGACCUUUAAAAAGGCUAGGAAAUUGCAGGGAGAUCUGAUUGAAUCAUUAAAAUAAAGAGGUAUAUUAUUGAGAUUGCAAAUUAGAAACCAAAAGUUUAAGAGAGGGAUGGACAUAUUGAAAUGGAACAAAAGAAGAUUAUGCUAGAAUAAGAAGAAAGAAAAACAUAUCAUGGAUAACAUGUCAAAAAGUCAAAAAGAGGAAGAAAGAACUGGAUAUUAGGAAUAUCCAUCCUGCAAAGAAUCAUAGUAGAAAAUAUAUCUUAUACUUCCACAGCUUCAAUGGCUUCAACAGAACCUUCAUAAAUAUUCGUUUAGUCUUCUAACAGAUCUAUGAAGUUUUAUCCAUUUCCCUUGAUGGUGCCCUUGCAUUUGUUUCUCUUCUCAUUGGAGAAAGGACGGUAUGAUAUUAUUAUUGUUUCUUAUAGGAACCAGCCUUUCCUUUAGUAUCCAUGGAAAUUUUCUUCCCAAUAAUCAAGCAAAGAUUCAUGAAGACCCCAUGUGAGAAAUAUAAUUGGUGACUACAAAAAUAAAGCCAUUCAAAUUUUUCCAUCAAAAAACAACCACACAACCUAAGAAUUGGACAAUUUAUUGGUAGUCUGCACCAUAUACAGAAGCCCCAAUCCAAACCAUGAUAUUGAAAAAAGUUUAUAUACACAAAUACAACUGAUGGAGAGGAAAACCAAAAUAGAACAUCAGAUGGAUAAAACUUAUUAAACUAAGUAAACAGUAAAGGAUACAUUGGAUCUCCUCUUAGCUAUCGGCCUUCUCCUAUGGUGGCUAGGAGCUCAUUCUUCCAGGAGGCUUCAGCCUUGCUAGAAGAAGAAGCUGUUCUAGAGAGGUCCCUCUUUACAACAAAAGCUGGUUCUUUAGGAACGGGCAUUGUUGCAGCGUCACUGCUGAGCAGAAGAACUGCAAUGGCCAUGGUGGGACGGUCACUUGGGUCUUCUUGCACACACAACAGCCCA